rnacentral:lncRNA from 1 species
CAUACACAUUACUUGGAGAUUGCCCUAGGCAUGGCCAAGAAGCCUUUAAGUUCAUCAGAACCAGAGUUAAAGCACCAACCAUAAUCCAUAUAGUAAUUGGGAUAAGGAGCACAGAAGUUUCCAGUUCCUUUCUUGAUGCAUUCUUCAUCAGAUUCACAUAAGUUGGGAUGUUCAUCUAUCAUCUUUGCCAUAGAUGAUGAAAGUCCACUUCGACUAAUGCAGGUACCAGUAAUCAUUCCAUGAGGGAAACACUGACACUCACUUGACCCGCAUGGUCGCGUGUCAAACACUGAACAAGCACCUGAACAUGCUGCAACUUCUAUGUUCUUCAUCGAAAACAUUACUAAAAAUGACAUUUCAAAGUCAGAAGAAAUGAAGUAUGUGUAAUAAUUUUGUGUAGAUCUCAAAUAUAUAAACAGAAAUGAUGAACAAUGGGAAGUUACAUACUGGAAGUUGCAAGCAAGAAGAGAGCCAAAGAAGCAACACUAACAAAACCCAUUCUUUGAUUCUGCAGAUGUGUUAUUCUCAGUUUGUGGUGUGUUAUUCUCUUCUUGCAUCUAACUAUUUAUAGCCAUUUUGUUUUUGCUCAGCUAUAUCACUAAAAGAAAAUAAUAAUAAUAAUAUAAAGGUAAAAGUUAUAAAAUUUUAAUUAUUCAACCGAAAAUAAUAUGCAAAAUUUUAAUUAACUAAAAUUUAUUAAAAAUUAUUUAUUUUUUAAUUAUUUUUGUUAAUAAAGAUAAAUUUAUGAAUUCAUAUUUUUAUCAUUUUAAAAAUAUUAAAAAAAAUUAAUAUCUAUUAUAUCACUUACAAAAUUUAAUAAUUGUUUUUAUAAAAAUCUAGAAAUUUUAUCAUUUUAAAAAAAUUAAAAUUUUCUAAUAUCUAUUAUAUUCCUUACAAAUUUUAAUAUAUUUUUCUUACAAAUUUACUUUUACUAUCUUUCAAUUUUUCUAUAUAAAACUAUUUCAUAUUCAUUCCCUCUUCGGUCAUCUCAUCCAUAAUCUUAACAGACUGUAAAAUAACUCUGGUAGGGUAGAUGACUAAAGACAUAUCGGUGGUGAAUCGUCCCUGUCAUGCUCAUUGGUUUGGAAGCUGUUGUCACAGCCAUACUUGCGGGGGAUGGUGCCUCUAAUUCACCUAUGGAAGGUUGCAAUGCAGCUGACUACAGUGGGCGAACCUGAGCAAAGGAGUACCUUAGGGUUCUCCUUGGAAGGGUGGUGUCAAUUGUUAGUGUAAGUAGCGGAAGGCAAGGGUUCUGGCUCUGGAGCAUCUGAAGGACUGUUAUGUGGAAGGAUGAUAUUACAGUCGGUGAUCGUCGAAGGUAUGCAAGUCAACAUGAUCGUCGGUCGGUGAAGUGGUGCUUUACAUAGGUUACCUUGAUUGCCGAUCGGUGAAGCGGCAUGACCCAUUGUAUGUAGUCGGUGAUCGCUGAUUGUGCAAAGCUCAACAUGAUCGCCGGUAAUUGAAACGGCGAUUUCAACAUGAUCGCCGGUUGAUGAAGCGGCGCUUUCCACUUCUGUGCAGACGGCGAUCGUAGAUGGCAGCGCUCAACAUGAUCGCCGGUUAUAAAAAACGGCGAUGGUCAAUAUGAUCACCGAUCGAGGAAGCGGCGUUCCUCAUAUGUGAGUAGUCGGUAAUCGCCGUAGCUACUUGAAACGGCGUGCUCCAUAUGAUCGCCGGUCGGUGGUGGUCGAUAAUCGCCGGUCGGUGGUGGUCGGUGAUCGCUGGUCGGUGGUCGUCGAAGUUAUGCAAAGAUAAUCGCUGGUCGAGGAAGUGGCGUGCUCUUUAUGGACGUAGUCGGUGGUCGCCGAAGGCAAUGUGAAUGGGUAACCCGUUGCGUGGUGAGGUGAAUGUAGAGGGCAUCGGUAGUGGGCGUCUCGAGCUGUGUCUUAUUCAAAGCACAAGAUGUUAAGCAGGUUCCCUAUACGUAUCCACUGUUCCUGGAUGAGUAGCUGUGUGGUUGGUGUGCGGUAGUUACAGGGGACUGUUGAGUAUAGAGCCUGCGGUGGAGAACGUGUGUUACUCAACACCGUUAACUUAGCGUACCUUUUCUGGCGUGGAGGGAGCUGGUGGUUUAAUAGAGUGUUGAUAUGGUGUGCUGUCGAGGUUUUCGUGGUCUCCUAUAAGGGUUAAGUUUGGUUCUGUCUUAGGUGGUGAGUGAGGGUCUUUGUGGUGUUUUUGUCUGUUGAGGUAAAUGGGUAAACCAUAUUUGAGGUUGGUUCUUUAUGUCUAGCAGAAUCGGUUUAGUUUAUGCGUACAGUCUGGACUUUAAGAUCUGAUGUAUACGGGUUGGGACACCCCUAAAGUGUCUCUUUUAAUUUUUAUUAAUUCAUUGCUGAUAAAAAAAAAAACUCCGGUAGGGUAGAGUUGGCCUAUUCUGGUUUUGCUUCGCUGUGUCACUAAAAGAAAAUAAAUUAAUAAUAUAAAUAUAAAAAUUAUAAAAUGCUAGUUAUUUCAUCAAAAAUAAUAUAAAAAAAUUAUUUCACUUUUUAAAUACUUUUUAAAAUAAAAAUAAAUUUAUAAACUCAUAUUUUUAAUAUUUUAAAAAAAUUAAAAAUUCAUUCACAUUUUAUAAAUUUCCUACAAAUUCAUUCUCCAUAUCUUAAUCUAAAUAAUUUUGGAUUAACUUAAUUUUCUUCUCACUUUUUUUUCUCAAAUUAAUAAAAAUUCAUUUCUCUGUUCAUAAUGCAUAAUCCCAACACACCAUCAUUUUGUCGUAAACACUUGGCCUAUUCUUGUUCACUGAUUCCUCUGCUUUUUUCAGUCUUUUUUCUUUCUGUCUUCGUGCUUCAAUAAGAAUUAUUUUCGGCAGAAAUUAUUUCAGAAGCAAUCACGGAAAAUUUAUUCGUACAAUUUUGUUUCUUUAUACAUAAAGGGUACAUUUCAAAAAACAAAUUAUAAAAAUGGGUAACUAGAGGAAAGAAGUGGUGAUUUAGCACCACUUAUAAUUUGUUGAUUUUCCAUUUUUUUCAUAUUUUAAUUUUAGUGCAAUAACAUAUAUUAUAUUUAAUUUUUAUGUUAUUUAUUUUUAAAAUUGUGUAUUUAAUUAUUUGUAAUUGAAUAUAAUCUAUUAUUAUGAUUUAAAUAAAUUUAUUGGUACAAUUUUGUUUCUUUGUACAUAAAUGGAUAAAUUUCAAAACACUAAUUAUAAAAUUGGGCAUUACUGCACUGUUGUUUUUGUUCAUCUUCCCAUUAAUGCGGUGUUUUCACGUGAAAUACAAUUUUUGCCUCUUUGCACGUGAAAUACAAUUUUGCAGAUUUAUAUAUGCUAUUGUGUUCUUUUCUUAUAUGUUUUGUUUCCUGUGUAUUUUCUUUUUUUGUUUUGUUCUGGCUUGUUAGGAUUAAAAAAUUAUUUUAGAAUAAAAGUGAUAUAAUUGGAUAUCUAAAUAAUUUAUUAUUAAAAUAAAAAUAAUAUAUAAAUAAAAAAUUUAGUUAUUCAGGUUUCAUUUCAAAAGAAUCAUCAAUUUUUAAAUUUUUUUUCCUACUCUGUAAGAUUCUAACUUCCUCACACAUCAGUUUGAUGAUUGAAGUCAGCCAUAAGACUUCUCGCAAUGAGAUCUACAAGACUAUCCGAUCAGAAUAUCUGAUAGAGUAAGUUCAAUUUUACUCUUCUCUUUCAGUUAAAUUUUGAAUUUGUAGGUCUGUCUCAAUCUAAGUUUAUGCAUGUGCCUCUUUUAGUUAUAAAAUUAGUCUUUGUUAGAUCAGAGUCCUAGUGUUAUAAUUAAAUUUUUUAUUAGGAAUCUGUGGUGCAGGUUAAACUACUCUUAAAGCUUUUGGUAGGUUUAAAGCUCUUCGUGAGCAUCUACUAAGGUAAAGGUAAGGAAAGCUAGUUUAAAUUUUCAAAAGAACCCUAAACUAGAAGAUCUGGAUGUGAAGGUGACAUGGUCACCAGUUCAAAACUUUUGUUUACAGGAUUUCUUGUUUUGAGUUGAUUGGAAACCAUUCAAAAAGUAAUGACCUGAUAUUGAUCAGUUAUAAUAAUUUUCAAUUAAAAGGGAAGUAUUUUGGAAAAUAUUUUAUGUUUUUUGAGAAAAACUAAUACCUCCAAAAUAAUUUUAUUAUUCUACUUUAAUAAUAUUUUAUAUUUCUUGGUCUAAUAAUUAUUAUAAUUGCUAUAUGUAUUAAGUGCAAAACUCUCAAGUGUUCUUUUUAAUUUUAUUUCAUUCUUUGUUCAUAAAAAAAAAUUAAUUAUCAUUUUUACUAGUUAAUUUCAGGUAUUUAAUUAUAAGAAAAUGAGGUAUAUGCCUAUAUCAUAUAUGAUUUAUGAUUGCAAAAUAUAACUCAUAAUUAAAUAGCAGUAGAAGAAUAAGCAGAAGAAUAAACUACACACUUGGUUUCGUAAUGAGUGGAUUAUUAAUGUAGUCUUUGUAUUAAAAUUGAAUUAAUAUAUUUAUUAAAUAUAUUACAGUAUCACUAACAUUAAGAUUAUUAUUAGUUUUAAUGCUUAUGUAAUAUAAUAUGUAAUGAUAUGUGUAUUUAAUAUGUUAAUGUAGUUUUCAUGAAUAAUUUAAAUUGUAUUUUUAAAUAUAAUGAACUAUUAAAUUUCAUAAUUUUAUUAAUCAUCAUAUAAGUUUAUUAAAGAUAUGGAAACAAAACUUUUAGAAGAAGCUAAUAUCAAGUGUGUCUUUUGUAAAUCUUACCUGUUUCUCUUUAUAGAAGUGUAUAACCUUUGUUUUAUUUUUUCUCAUUGACCUUUUGUUUUCAAUUCUCUACGUAACAUCCCAAAAACACCUAUAACUAUUAUAAUACAAGUUUUAUAGGUUUCUAUAAAGGCUUAGAGUUUUUUUUAAAAAUUCCUAAUACAUGAUUAGAGCUAAUAGAAAUACAAAUAUUUACAAUUCAUAGUUCAAAACAAACUCUAAAGCCUUCCAGACUCUCAUGCACCUGUAUGAUCAUCUGCUCGUGUACAUACUACAAUCAUCACAGUUCAAACACAACAAGAAAAACAAGGGUAAACUAAAAAUAAAGUUUUAUAAUAUACACAACUAAACCAAAAGAGAAAACCAAAUUACAUGGAUCAAUUUCUUAAUUAUUCAAUCUUCUUCAAAUUCCAACAUAAAAAUCACAUAGAUCUCACAUGUAUCUACACAUCCCAGAUAUUCAACAAACAGAAUAACAACUUACGUCAUCCGAAAGACACAUAUUAAGUAAAUUCUACCAGAGACUAACACAUGAUCCAAAGAUUACCAGCGAAUCCAACAGAAAGGAUCAGGGCAAGCUCAAUUAAACACAAGUCGUGUAUCUCAUAUGUCACAGUGUGCAUGAACUCCCCCCAUCAGCUUCUCACCACCUGAUGUCUAAUCUAUGUCACUUACAUCAUCAGUGAAGCUCGGAGAUCUCUAUUACCACAUAGACAUCAAUACUUAAUACACAAACAAACAUCAGUCCAUACAUUAUCCCAAAUGUAUGAAUUCAAUUUCAUACAAUUUUCAUCAUACAAUAUAAUUCAAAACGCAAUCCACAAUAUUUAAAAUCUUAUUUAACAUAAAAAAAUAACACUUAAAUACUAAACCAUCAAAAUCUAAUAUUUUUAAGUUUAAACAGUAUAUAAACAAACAACACAAUAUAUAAGCAAACAACAUCCCUGCAAGAUAAAUUGAAUAUUGGGACCACGUCCCCUCCACAUCUAGAUCUUUUAGCCUAGGUACUAUUAAAAAUUAAAGUUAGUUUCCCUUACCAGAAAUUCCACUAAUGGAAAUUCUACCUCAAACAGGGAACCACUCCAAAAUUUAGGAACCUAUAACAAGUUAUUCAAAUAUUACCAAACUUUAGUAUAUGGUAAAAUAAGUUGAGAGGAACAUUUUUCUCAACUGUUCUCAUCAAGAUUGAUGAACAAAUCAUAGAGAAAAACAUAGAAUAAGGGAUGUUUAGGGUAAAAAUAACUUACUCUGUUUGAAAAUCUAAUCGGAUAAAAAUGUACCCUGACUCCCCGGUUACAACAUAGCGUGAUCAGAUUUUGAAAUAUAUGAGUUAUGGGAGAGAAAUUGAAUAGAUAAGAGAGAUAGGGACUUUAGAGAAAGAGAAAGCACCAUAAAAAAAAAAAGGAGGUAGGGGUGGGGGAAGGUGUCUGACAGGUCUUACAAUUAUCCCCAACAACAAAAAAAAAUUUCCUCGGAUAUUUGCUUAUCAAGAAAUAUUAGAAUAUGAUUAACUUAUCUUCUCUUUUAUUUUUUUAAGUGAGAUUUCGCAACAUUUUGACUAUAUCGAUAUUUUUACCACGAAGUUACUUUACUUGAGAACUCAUUUGUGUUUAACUGACUUCAUAUCAAAAGACAAAUCUUUUAUUUAACUAAAUCAAAUACUAGAAGAUGAUUGUGACCAAUUAUAUAUAUUUUCUUAAUUACGAUACACGAAGGACAUAAUUCUAAUAAAUUUAUUUAAUUGACAGAAUUUUUUUAACCUUCCUUAAGUUCCAAAGGUUAUUUUAAAAUUUCAGCAAAAGAACGAAGGUUUUUAUAACUUACAUUAAAAUCCAAAUGUUUAUUUUAAAACCUCAGUAAAAUAGCAUAGGUCUUCUUAACCUUCGUUAAAUUCAAAAGGUUUAUUAUAAAACAUUAACAAAAUAACAAAGUUUUUUAAACCUUUGUUAAAUUUCAAAGAUUUUUUUAUCAUUUAUUAAAUUUCAAAAGAUUUGUUUUUAGAGAUGCCAAUAUCGACUAAUCCGUCCCACAUAGACCCGCUCGUGUUUGAUCAAUCCCACACAAAAAGUGCGAACUCAUUUUACUAACCUGUGUCGCAUAAAAAGUAACUUACAAACCUGCCGGCCUUUCCACGUAACAAAAUCAUCUAAAGUUUUAAUCUUUUCAGUUACGGUGUUCACUAUAAUUCCUCUUUUACUAUGGCAAAACCUACCAAAGGUGUUGGCUGACAAUGUUGAAUAACAUGUUACAAAAUUCAAUGCAAAGUUUAAAGUUUAAUGGAGAUUGAAUGGGUAUUGAAGGUCCAUUAUGAGCAUUUAGUAGUACUCGGUGACUCUUUACAUGUGUAACAACGGUUAAAACACUGUUAUAAAAUUCUAAGAGUUCUUUUUAGUCUAUAAGAUAAGUUUGAAUAAAUGCGAUAUAGGUGGAUCUCAAGUCAGGAAAAAAUUAAUAAUGAUUUCCAUUUUUUAUAUAAUUACGAUAUAACUCUCAAUAUUAUUACUUUAAUAUAUUUUUAUAUUAUUUAAUUUCAAACUUAUUUUUAUUAUAUAUAUUUAUUUUAAAACCAAUCUAUAAAAAAAAAAAUUGAGAGAAAAAAUGUGUAUUAGGGUUGCAGAUUCUUCCAAGAGCUUGUCGAUUCCUACCCAAAGAAACAAAAGUGAAGACUCUAACAUUCAGCAACCCAUUUACAAAAGUUGUUUUAUUUGAAGGAGAAAAUCAUGAUUUUUGGGUUCCUACACAAAGAAACAAAACUGAGGACUCUAACAUUCAGCAACCCAUUUAUAAAAGUUCUUUUAUUUGAAGAAAAUUAUAAUUUUUGGGUUGUAAAAAAGGAAACUUCAUUCACAUAUUUGGAUGUUUCAGAUUUCAUACAAACACAGUAGGAUGAUGAAGCCAUUGAAGCCACUGUGAAAAGAAAAUUAAGUUUUCAACACGAGUUUGAAGGAAAUUUAAAGGUGAAAAUUAACAAUACCGUGUUGAUUUUGAAGAGACAUUUAUUCCUGUGAUAAGUUUAAACGCCAUUAGAACUUUAGUUUCCCUUACUAUUGAAAAUGAAGUCAGCAUUUUCAAAUCGUGAACACGGAGUAGGAUGAAAUACUCUCAUUUUAUUUAUACCAGUAAAUGCAUCAUGCAUGACAACGCACGACCAUACAUGACCACAUUUCGCAGGCAUGCACAUUACUUGGAGAUUGCUCUAGACAUGGCCAAGAACCCUUUAAGUUCAUCAGAAUCAGAGUUAAAGCACCAACCAUAAUCGACAUAGUGAUUGGGAUAAGGAGCACAAAAGUUUCCACUUCCUUUCUUGAUGCAUUCUUCAUCAGAUUCACAUAAGUUUGGAUGUUCAUCUAUCGUCUUUGCCACAGAUGAUGAAAGUCCACUUCGAUAAGCGCAGAAACCAGCAAACAGAGCAGCAGGGACACAGCUGCAGUCACUUGACCCGCAUAGUGGUUGCAUAUCAAACGGUGAACAUUCACCUGAACAGUCUACAGCUUCUAUCUUCUUCAUCGAAAACAUUACUAAAACUGAAAUUUCAGAGUCAGAAGAAAUGAAGUAUGUAUAAUCAUUUUGUGUAGAUAUGAAAUAUAUAAACAUAAAUGAUGAACAAUGGAAAGUUACAUACUGGAAGUUGCAAGCAAGAAGAGAGCCAAAGGAGCAACCCUAACAUAACCCAUUCUUUGAUUUUGCAGAUUUCUUAUUCUGAGUUUUGUGAUGUGUUUUAGUUUGUGCUUGCAGACCAAAACACCCAAGGAGUAAGGCGUAGUAAGUCUCGAAACCGAGAGUGAACAAAACUUAUUUUCCGAAAACAAAAUGUCCUUGCUUUUUUUCCCCAUAUAUUCUUCUUGCGAUUUGCUUAUGGACGUGCCUCCUUACCUAGGUGCAAACAACAUAUGAAAGUACUUGUUUGAAUUUUUUCGGCACGAUACGAACCCAGAAUAAAAAUUGCAUAAAUUAGGACGAAAUUUCACAAGUUUUGGUAUAGGAUAGUCUUGGUUUGCACAAAAUUUCUGAAAAAUUCUUCCGAAAUAGUUUUUUUCUGAAAUUCCACGUAGUAAUCUCCACUGAAUUUGGGACAAAACGCGACAAAUUUCAAGUCAAACGGAUGAGUAAUAACCCACGAAAAAAAUCAACAAGUUUCACACACAAACGAACCUUCCUUUCAGCUCUGGCGGUGCUAAAUAUAAAAUUUAUUCUCAAUCUUGUGGGACGAAUCUGGUGCUCAAAUAUUAGCCAAAAUUUAAUAGACACAGUGUCGAGCGUCUAGUAAAAAUUUCAUACCAAAACACCCAAAGUGUAAGGCGUAGUAAGUCCCAGACCAAGAGUGAACAAAACUGGUUUUGCGAAAACAAAACGUCCUGGCUUUUCUUCCCAGUAUCUUCCUUUUGUGAUUUUUUUAUGGACGUGCCUCCUUACUUGGAUGCAACCAACAUAUGGAAGUACUUGUGUGAAUUUUUUCAGCGCGAUACAGACCCAAAAGAAAUAUUGUAGAAAGUAAGGCAAAAUUUCAUAAGUUUCGUGGGUUAAUACUCAUCCGUUUGACCUAAAUAUUUUCGCGUUUUGUCCCAAAUUCAGUGAAGAUUCUUACGUGGAAUUUCAGGAAAAAACUAUUUUGGGAGAAUUUUUCAGAAAUUUUGUGCAAACCAAUGUUAUCCUCUACCAAAACUUAUGAAAUUUCGCCCUACUUUCUGCAAUUUUUAUUCUGGGUCCGUAUCGCGCUGAAAAAAUUCACACAAGUACUUUCAUAUGUUGUUUGCACCCAGGUAAAAAGGCACGUCAAUAAACAAGUUGCAAAAAGAAGAUACGGGAAAAAAAAGUUAGGACGUUUUGUUUUCGGAAAAUCAGUUUUUUUCACUCUCAGUCUGGGACUUACUACGCCUUACUCCUUGGGUGUUUUGGUCUGAAAUUUUUACCAGACGUUCGACACUGUGUCUAUUGGGUUUUGGAUGAGAUUUGAGCCCCAGAUUCGUCCCACAAGAUUGGCAAUAAAUUUUUUUAUUGAGCACUGCCAGAGCUGAAAGGAAUGUUCGUUUGUGUGUGAAAUUGUUUGAUUUUUUCGUGGGUGAAUACUCAUCUGUUUGACCUGAAAUUUGUCGAGUUUUGUCCCAAAUUCAGUGGAGAUUCUUCCAUGGAAUUUCAGGAAAAAACUAUUUCGGGAGAAUUUUUGAGAAAUUUUGUCCAAACCAAGGCUUGCACUAAAAUUUGUGAAAUAUCUCUGUACUUUCUGCAAUAUUUAUUCUGGGUUUGUAUCGUGCUUGAAAAAAUCACACAAGUACUUUCAUAUGUUUUUUGCACCCAGUUAAGGAGGCACGUCCAUCAACAAAUCACAAAAAGAAGAUACGGGGAAGAAAAGCGAGGACGUUUUUCUUUCGAAAAACCUGUUUUGUUCAUUCUGGGUCUGACACUUACUACGCCUUACUCCUUGGGUGUUUUGGUCUGAAAUUUUUACCAGACGUUCGACACUGUGUCUAUUGAGUUUUAGCUGAGAUUUGAGCACAGAUUCGUCCCAUAAUAUUAGCAAUAAUUUUUUUGUUGAGCACUCUCAGGGCUGAAAGGAAGGUUCGUUUGUGUGUGAAACUGUUUGAUUUUUUUCGUGGGUGAAUACUCAUCUGUUUGACCUGAAAUUUGUCGCAUUUUGUCCCAAAUUCAGUGGAGAUUCUUCCAUGGAAUUUCAGGAAAAAACUAUUUCGGGAGAAUUUUUGAGAAAUUUUGUCCAAACCAAGGCUUGCACUAAAAUUUGUGAAAUAUCUCUGUACUUUCUGCAAUAUUUAUUCUGGGUUUGUAUCGUGCUUGAAAAAAUCACACAAGUACUUUUAUAUGUUUUUUGCACCCAGUUAAGGAGGCACGUCCAUCAACAAAUCACAAAAAGAAGAUACGGGGAAGAAAAGCGAGGACGUUUUUCUUUCGAAAAACNNNNNNNNNNNNNNNNNNNNNNNNNNNNNNNNNNNNNNNNNNNNNNNNNNNNNNNNNNNNNNNNNNNNNNNNNNNNNNNNNNNNNNNNNNNNNNNNNNNNGCCCUAUAGCCAGGGCUCGGUUUUCCACACGGUUAGUUGCAACGGUUCACAUUUGUUGCAUUUUGACGAAGGUUUUUUUAACCUUCGUUAAGUUCCAAAUGUUAUUUUAAAAUUUCAGCAAAACUAUGAAGGUUUUUUUAACCUAUAUUAAAUUCCAAAUGUUUAUUUUCAAACCUAAGUAAAAUAGUUGAGAUCUACUUAAACUUCGUUAAAUUCAAAAGAUUUAUUCUAAAACAUCUAACAAAAUAACAAAGAUUUUUUCAACCUUUAUUAAAUUUUAAAUAUUUUUUUUAAUAUUCGUUAAAUUUUUAAAUGAUUUAUUUUUAAAGAUGACAAAUAUGAGCUAACUUGUCUCACAUAGACCCUUUCACGUUUGGUCAAUCCCACACAAAAAGUGCAAGCUCAUUUUACUAACCUAUCUCGCAUAACCUAGAGUCAUGUAGGCCUUUCCACAUAACAAAAUCAUCUAAAGUUUUAAUCUUUGAAUCUUUUCAGAAGUUGUUCUAAUAUAAUUUAUAGAUGUAAGUUCUUUUAAUAACUUUAAUAGUUAAUGGUUUUAUUUUUAAUUUUUUUUAACUGAUCAUAUGAUGACUUAUUUUAUAAAUAGUAAACAUAAUUUUAUGUUGUUAACAACAAAGCUUUGAAAUCAAAUACUUUUACACUGCUUAUUUGUUUUAUUUAAUUUUAUUUAAUUAUUAUUAUUAUUAUUAUUAUUAUUAUUAUUAUUAUUAUUAUUAUUAUUAUUAUUAUUAUUAUUAUUACUUCUUUAUUUGGGUGUUACUAGAAACUAAAAAUAAUUUACUGAGUUAUAAAAAAAUAAAUCUCACUCUCUCUCAAUUAUUAAAGUCUGUUUCAAUAUUUAAAUUUAAAAAUAAUAGAACUGUUUUAAGAGAUUUUGCAUGAAUAACCUUUUUACUGUAUUUAAUUUUGUAUAAUGUUUUUUUAACUUACUAUUAUUAUUAUUAUUCCUCUUUUACUAUGGCAAAACCUACCAAAGGUGUUGGCUGACAAUGUUGAAUAACAUGUUACAAAAUUCAAUGCAAAGUUUAAUAGAGAUUGCAUGGGUAUUGAAGAUCCAUUAUGAUGUGACUCUUUAUAUGUGUAACAACGGUUAAAACACAUAUAAAAUUCUAAGAGUUAUUUUUAGUCUAUAAGAUAGUUUGAAUAAAUGUGGUAUAGGUGGAUCUCAAGUCAAGAAAAAAUUAAUAAUGAUACAUCGAAAACCCCAUUUUCUAUAUAAUUAUAAUAUAACUCUCAAUAUUAUUAUUUUAAUAUAUUUUUAUAUUAUUUAAUUUUAAACUUAUCUUUAUUAUAUUUAUUUAUUUUAAAACCAAUCUAUAAAAAAAAAUUGAGAGAAAAAAAUGUGUAUUAGGGUUGCAGAUUCUUCCAAGAACUUGUCGAUUCCUACCCAAAGAAACAAAGUGAAGACUCUAACUUCAGCAACCCAUUUACAAAAGUUGUUUUAUUUGAAGAAGAAAAUCAUGAUUUUUGGGUUCCUACACAAAGAAACAAAACUGAAGACUCUUAACAUUCAGCAACCCAUUUAUAAAAGUUCUUUUAUUCGAAGAAAAUUAUGACUUUUGGCUUGUAAAAAAGGAAACUUCAUUCACAUAUUUGGAUGUUUCAGAUUUCAUACAAACACAGUAGGAUGAUGAUGAAGCCACUGAAGCCACGGUGAAAAGAAAAUUAAGUUUUCAACACGAGUUUGAAGGAAUUCAAAGGUGAAAAAUAACAAGCCAUGUUGAUUUUGAAGAGACAUUCAUUCCUGUGAUAAGUUCAGACACCAUUAGAACUUUAGUUUCCCUUACUAUUGAAAAUUAUUCUAAUUGAACAAGAAGUCACCAUUUUCAAAUCGUGAAUUGAAACACUGUUUUUAUUUAAAGCAGUAGAUGCAUCAUGCAUGACCAUACAUGACUACAUUUCACAGUCAUACACAUUACUUGGAGAUUGCUGUAGGCAUGGCCAAGAAGCCUUUAAGUUGAUCAGAAGCAGAGUUAAAGCACAAACCAUAAUCCAUAUAGUGAUUGGGAUAAGGAGCACAGAAGUUUCCACUUCCUUUCUUGAUGCAUUCUUCAUCAGACUGACAUAAGUUGGGAUGUUCAUCUAUCAUCUUCGCCGCAGCUGAAACUCUAUUUUGAGAGGCGCAAAUACCCAAAAGACAGACACAAUUAGGUUACAUGCAUGGCACAAACGCUGUCUAAAGCUGAAAUGGACAUUCAUCUGCUUCUAUCUUCUUCAUCGAAAACAUUACUAAGAAUGACAUUUCAGAGUCAGAAGAAAUGAAGUAUGUAUAAUAAUUUUGUGUAGAUCUGAAACAUAUAAACAGAAAUGAUGAAGAAUGGGAAGUUACAUACUGGAAGUUGCAAGCAAAAGAGAGCCAAAGGAGCAACCCUAACAUAAACCAUUCUUUGAUUUUGCAGAUGUGCUAUUCUGAGUUUUGUGGUGUGUUAUUCUGUUCUUGCAUAACAAUUUAUAAACAUUAGUCCAUACAUCUAAUGCAUAAUCCCAACACACCAUCAAGAAACUCUUGUCGUAUACACUUGGCCUUUUCUUGUUCACUCAUACCUCUUUCAAAAACAAAAUUUCUUCUCCUCUUCAUUCAUUGAUUUCUCUGUCAGAUUUGUUGCUUGCUCCUCCAUAAAUGUAUGUAAAAACUAUUUAAUACCUAUCUUUCUGUCUUCGUGCUUCAAUAAGAAUUAUUUACGGCAGCAAUUAUUCCAGAAGCAAUCACGGAAAAUUUAUUGGUACAAUUUUGUUUCUUUGUACAUAAAUGGAUAAAUUUCAAAACACAAAUUAUAAAAAUGGGCAUUACUGCACUGUUGUUUUUGUUCAUCUUCGCAUUAAUGCGGUGUUUGCACGUGAAAUACAAUUUUUUCCUUUUGCAGGUGAAAUACAAUUUUGCAGAUUUAUAUAUGCUGUUGUGUUCUUUUCUUAUAUGUUUGGUUUCUGUGUAUUUUUUGUUGUGGGCUGUAAAGAUCUAAAAAUUAUUCUAGAAUAAAAAGUGAUAUAUUUUGAAUAAUAUCUAAAUAAUUUAUUAUUAAAAUAAAAAUAAUAUAUAAAUAAAAAAUUUAAUUAUUCAGGUUUCAUUUUAAAAGAAUUACCAUCUAUCUAAAGAUUUUUUUUAUUUUUCUACUCUCUAAGAUUUUAACCUCCUCACACAUCAGUUUGACGAUUGGAGUCAGCCAUUAGACUUCUGGCAACGAGAUCUACAAGACUAUCCGAUCAGAAUAUCUGAUAGAAUAAGUUCAAUUUUACUCUUAUCUUUGAGUUAAAUUUUGAACUUGUAGGUCUGUCUCGAUCUAAGUUUAUGAAUGUGCCUCUUUUAGUUAUAGGAUUAGUCUUUGUUAGAUCAAAGUCCUAGUGUUAUAGUUAGAUUUUUUAUUAGGAAUUUGUGGUGCAGGUUAAGCUACUCUUAAAGCUUUUGGUAGGUUUGAAGCUCUUCGUGAGCAUCUACUAAGGUAAAGGUAAGGAAAGCUAGUUUAAAUUUUCAAAAGAACUCUAAACUAGAAGAUCUGGAUGUGAAGGUGACAUGGUCACCAGUUCAAAACUUUUGUUUACAUGGUUUCUUGUUUUGAGUUGAUUGGAAAUUGAUUGAAAUUGAAAUGUGAAAUGGUAGAUAUAGUAUAUGUUGUAGAAUGUAUUUGAAUACUUUGUAGAAUCAAGUUAAAUGAAAUGUUUGAUGAGAAUUGGUUGUUGAUUUUAAAUGAUUUUGAUUUAGAAAUCAUAUAUAUGUAUAGAUUGACAUAAAAGCUCAAUGACUCAAUGAGGGUGUUUGUAUAAUUCUGAGUAGGAAGUGUCUAUGUAAUGUGUAGAUUUUAUAAAAUUAUAAAUUGAAUGAAAUGUGGAUUUAAAAUCUAACAAGUAUAUUAGGUUAUGCACAAUUUUUCUGCAUAUCUCGCUCAGGCUUGAUAAUUCUAGCUCAAGUUAGAAUAAAAAUGAAAUUUUGGGUGUUCUCGAGUUGAUUCUAGCUCAAGCUAGACUCUAAAAUAAUAAUAAUUUAUUUUUAAAAUAUUGGUUUAUUUAUUUCUGUAUAGUUUUACUUAUAAAUUAUGUAAACUUUUAUUAAAUGUAUAUUUAAUUGAAAAUCUCUUUAAUUAGACCUUUAUAUGAUUACUAAAUGAAUUAUUGUGUAUUUUGGAAAUUCUAAACAUUGGUAUGAGUUGAUUGUUUGAUGUUGGAAAUUGUGAGAUUUAAAAUAUGUAUUUUAAUCAAAACAUAGUAUUUUCAGAAAAGAAAACACCGCUUAAAAUAAUAGAAUCAUAUAGAUCAAAAUCCGUAUAUAGUUUUGGCGCCAUAAAACGGAGAGUAAAAUAAAAUCUAAUGGAUAGGAUUCAAAAUCAAGUUCAUUGAGUGAUUAAAGAACUUUAACUACUACAUUACAUAUGAGAAAUUCUUUAGAACUUAGAUUUUGCAUGAACUAGGUUCUAGUGCAAAUUUGGAAAGCACAUUUGUUAUGAGUACUUUAGUUAAACUAGAACCAAAUUAUCUCAAAUAUAUAAACAGAAAUGAUGAACAAUGGGAAGUUACAUACUGGAAGUUGUUUCGAAGAUUUUGUCUAUCAGGUUGAAAAGAGUAAUCAGUAAAGUUAUUGACGUUAGACAAUCUGCUUUUCUGGAAGGAAGGGGGUUAUUGGAUAGUAUUUUGGUAGCCAAUGAAACCUUAGAAGAGUUGAAGAGGAAGAAGAAAAGUUGUGUGUUUUUCAAAGUGGAUUAUAAGAAGGCUUACGACUCAGUGAGGUGGGAUUUUAUAUAUUAUAUGCUAGGAAGGCUUGGCUUUUGUGAAAAAUGGAUCUCCUGGAUUAAAGCUUGUUUGGAAUCAGCGUCAAUGUCAAUACUCGUAAACGGGAGUCCUACUAAGGAAUUUUUUCCGAAGAAGGGGUUGAGACAAGGUGAUCCGUUAGCUCCUUUCUUGUUUCUUAUAGUGGCUGAAGGGUUAGCUGGAGUAUCUAGAACUGCGGUUGAGAAAGACUUGAUUGAGAGCUUGGAGAUUGGGAAUAAAUCAGUAAAAGUGAAUAUGCUCCAGUAUGCUGAUGACACUUUGUUCUUUUGUAAGGCAAAGAGCAAAAGUGUAUUUAAUAUAAAGGUUAUGUUGAAUUGUUUUGAGUUGGCAUCUGGUUUGAAGGUGAAUUUCUCCAAGAGUAGAAUUGGUGGGAUUGGGGUGAGGCAGACGGAAAUUAUUCACUUUGCGACUAUCUUAAAUUGUGAGGUGAUGAGAACUCCUUUCAAAUAUUUGGGGAUGCAUGUGGGGGGUUGUCAUAAGAAGAGUGAGUUCUGGGAUGAAGUGGUUAACAGGGUAAAGAAAAGGCUAGGCAGGUGGAAAGGAAGAUGUAUUUCGAUGGCGGGGAGGAUAUGCUUAAUUAAGUCUGUCUUGUCUUCAAUACCUUUGUUCUAUUUGUCUAUGUUCAAGAUACCGUCUAAUGUGUUAAAGAAGAUUGUGUGUCUGCAGAGGGAUUUUUUGUGGGGUUGGGGGUCAAAUGGAAGGAAGGUUGCAUGGNNNNNNNNNNNNNNNNNNNNNNNNNNNNNNNNNNNNNNNNNNNNNNNNNNNNNNNNNNNNNNNNNNNNNNNNNNNNNNNNNNNNNNNNNNNNNNNNNNNNNNNNNNNNNNNNNNNNNNNNNNNNNNNNNNNNNNNNNNNNNNNNNNNNNNNNNNNNNNNNNNNNNNNNNNNNNNNNNNNNNNNNNNNNNNNNNNNNNNNNNNNNNNNNNNNNNNNNNNNNNNNNNNNNNNNNNNNNNNNNNNNNNNNNNNNNNNNNNNNNNNNNNNNNNNNNNNNNNNNNNNNNNNNNNNNNNNNNNNNNNNNNNNNNNNNNNNNNNNNNNNNNNNNNNNNNNNNNNNNNNNNNNNNNNNNNNNNNNNNNNNNNNNNNNNNNNNNNNNNNNNNNNNNNNNNNNNNNNNNNNNNNNNNNNNNNNNNNNNNNNNNNNNNNNNNNNNNNNNNNNNNNNNNNNNNNNNNNNNNNNNNNNNNNNNNNNNNNNNNNNNNNNNNNNNNNNNNNNNNNNNNNNNNNNNNNNNNNNNNNNNNNNNNNNNNNNNNNNNNNNNNNNNNNNNNNNNNNNNNNNNNNNNNNNNNNNNNNNNNNNNNNNNNNNNNNNNNNNNNNNNNNNNNNNNNNNNNNNNNNNNNNNNAAGAAGAUAUAAUUUUUUCUGGAAAAUUAAGGCGCUUCCCUCAGCACAUGUCACAGCUUGGAGAGUGAUGGAAAACAAGGUUGCUUGUAAGAUUAAUCUGGAGAGAAGAGGAAUCGGGAUUGAGAGUAAUUUGUGUUGCUUGUGUAAGAGGUACGAGGAGUCAACAAAUCAUUUGUUUUGCGAAUGCAGAGUUGCUUGAUUAAUUUGGAAUCUUUGUUAUGAUUGGUUAGGAGUAAGAUCUGUCGAUUUUAUGGAUCCUAGGUCUCAUUUUGAACAUUUCAAGAUUCUGGAUGCACCCACUUCAGUUAAUCUUAUUAUGGGUAAUGUGUGGAUAGCAUUGAUUAGUGAAAUUUGGAGGCAUAGGAACAACUGUUUAUUUAAAGGUGGAGUGGUUGACCACAUUGAGGUGUUCUCUUUGGCACAAAUUAAGGCUUGGUCCUGGAUCUCUUCAAAGGUACCGUCAGCUAAUUUCUCAUUCUCUGAUUGGUGUCUUGAACCUUUGGUUUAUAUGCAUUCAAUUUAGUUUUGAUAUGAGGAUUGAUCUUUGUUAUUCUUUGUUAUUUUGAUAGAUAUGGGUUUGACUGUAGGAGGUUUUGUUGGCUGAUUUGUAGUUAGAAAGGUAUUUUACUGUAUAAGAGUUGGAUCACCCCUGAAGUGAUCCCUUUUAAUUUCAUUGCUAUUUGCUGAUAAAAAAAAACUGGAAGUUGCAAGCAAGAAGAGAGCCAAAGGAGCAACCCUAAGAUAACCCAUUCUUUGAUUUUGCAGAUAUGUAGUCCACUGUUGUUUUUGCUCAUCUCCACUGUAUCAUAAAAGAAAAUAAUAAAGAUAAUUAACUAAAAAAUAUUUCAUUUUUUUUAUUUCUUUUUUAAAAAUAGAGAUAAAUUUAUGAAUUCAUAUUUUUAACAUUUAAAAAAAUUCUAACACCUAUUAUAUCACUUACAAAAUAAAUUUUUUUUCUCAGUAUCUUAUCUUAAUCUGAAGAACGUAACUUUCUUCCAAUUUUUCUCUAUAAAAAUAUUUCAAAUUCAUUCCCUCUUUAGUUUGGCCUACUCUGAUUUUGCUUCGCUGUGUCACUAAAAAAAAUAAUAAUAAAAGAAAAUAAAUUAAUAAUGUAAAUAUAAAAAUUAUAAAAUUUAGUUAUUCACCGAAAAUAUUUUAAAAAAAAUUAUAUCACUUUUAAUUACUUUAAAAAAAAACAAAUUUAUAAAUUCACAUUUUUAAUAUUUUAAAAAUUAAAAAUUCAUUCUUAUUUCUUACAUUACUCAUCAACUUUUUAUGAUGUUUGUGUCCAUGUCAUAUUAAUAUUCCUUUCAGUGUUUAUGUUACAAAAAUAAUUGUAUAUAAUUUAUUUUAUGAUUUAAAUAAAUAUUUAGUUACUCUACCUUUUUAAAAUAAUUUAUAGGCAUUACUGCACUGUUGUUGUUGUUUUUGUUCAUCUUCGCAUUAAUGCGGUGUUUGCAUGCCAAAUAAAUUUUUGCAGAUUUAUAUUUUCUUAUGUGUUUUGUUUCUAGUGUAUUUUCUUUUUUGUUCUUGAGAGUUGUGGAAAAAAAAAUUGUAUUUCUAUAAAAUAUUUACAAUAGUAAUUUCUGGUUAUGUUUUAAAAAAACUUAAAUAUUUAAUGAAUAAAUCUUAAAUAAUUUAUUUUAAAUAAAAUAAAAUUGGAAACUGUGAAGAUUUAUGUUUUGUAUACACUUCGUUUUAUAAUUGAUUUAAUUUGUUGAUAAAUUAAUUUUUUCGUAACUUGAUAUUGCAUAAGUGUGAGCCCUUUGCUAGUUAGUCCUAAACCAUACUUUUUUUCCGUAUUGUAAUUAGUUAUAAAUUAAUUUUUCUGUAUUAUAAUUAGUUAUAAAUUAAUUAUAUUAUAAACAUGAAACUUUUUAUUUAUAUUUAUCUUUAAAACAAUAUCUCCAUAGGACUUAGUCAAUAUAUUAUAUAUUGUUUUCAAUAAUUUAUUGAGACCUAAAUUUGUAUAAGUUUUUUAAGUAUUUUAUUAUCCAGUCAGUAUAUACGAAACAGUUAAUAUUCGUUAAAUAAUAUGAACAGUAAUUAUAUACAGUUAUUUUUAUAUUUUUACUAAUAUUGGGUGAUAAUUUUCACGUUUCAAUUCAUUUUCAGAUCACCACUUUUUUCACAUAAUUACGAUUAGUCUGUAAAAUUUUAGAACAGAGAAAAUGACAAGACUAUAAAAAAUGAUAGCAGUGCAGGCCAUGAUUAGACCAAGCAGUGAAAGUAGAUUCUCCUAUUUAGGGUAAAUCAAUUACCCACAUGAGCUAGCCACUGAAAUACAUUGGGUAGAAUAAUUUUUUUUGGAUAGAUUCUCCCAUUUAGGAGAAAAUAAUGAAAAUUUAAAAAAAUUAAAAUUGGUUUAUCUAUAAGUUUAAAUUAGUUUAUCUAGAAGUAAAUAGUAGAUUGUAUGAUUAUGUAAGUAAUAACUUAUGGAUAUUUCAUACAUUACUUUCCUUUUUUGGAUUCAAUGAUUCAAAAUUUCCUUUUGGAUUCAAUGAUUCAAAAUGUGUUUGUUGGUUAAUGUUUAUAUAUAUAUAUAUAUAUUAUGAAGAUAAAUAUUUUUUUUAUGUGUUGCAUUAAAUGAAGUGCACGUAAUCACAUGUAAUCGCAAUGGAGAAAGGGAAGUUCUGAUGAACCUUAAUUGCAAAUGAAAAAGAAACAAUGACUUAAGCAUAAAAGAGAGAAAAACAGAAAAAAGAAAAUACAAAAAAAAUUCUUAUUUUCUUGUGUAUUAGAGAGUAAAAUAUAUGGUGUAUAUAUAAGAAAAAGAAUAAGACCGAGCUGAAACAGAAAAAGAAAGUUGGACAAAACAAACAAAACUCAAUAACUUAAAAUGGAAAAACUAAAUAUGUUAACAACCCCUCGAGCUGGAGAGUAGAUAUUCGUCAGACCCAGCUUGGAUUUGAGAGUAAAGAAUUGUACGGAAGCAAAGGGCUUGGUGAAUAUGUCAGCAACUUGCAUGACAUAAGUAAUGGGCAACAGUUUGAGAAGACCAGAGUUAAUUUUUUCACGAACUAGGUGACAAUCAAUCUCGAUGUGCUUAGUGUGUUCAUGAAAGACUUGAUUGGACCCUAUUUAAAGGAAGAUUUGUUGUCACAAUACAUGGUUGCAGGCUGGGGGAGAGGAAGAUGUAAAUCCUGAAGGAGGUAAGACAACCAUUGUAGCUCACAUGUGGUGGUGGCAAGGCUCUAUACUCAGCUUCGGAGGAGCUGCGGGAGAUAGUUGGUUACUUCUUUGAGUGAUAGAUUUGCGUGUGGUAGGACAUGUUGCCCAGUCAGAGUCACUAAAACCACAGAGGUGAAGUGAACUAGUAUGAGAAUAUUAGGCACAGGGUAGAGGAGCUAGAGAGAGAAGAUAUAAAAUGUAACUCAAUCAAUCUUAUUAAAGGUAUAGAAUCUACUUUAUAUACAAAGGUUAAGGAGGGGAUAUAUCCCUCUGGUUAACACCCCCCGUUAAACUCAUGGCUGGAUUAGGAACCACCAUGAGUUUAUCCCUGACAUUAAGAAACAUAGUUCCAGAUACUGGUUUGGUGAGAGGGUCCGCGACUUGGAAGCGUGCAGGCAGAUGAAGAAGAGUAAUGUUGCCCUUGCAGAUGUGGUCACGAACAAAAUGUAGGUCCAACUCAAAAUGUUUUGUCUUUGAGUGCAUGACAGGAUUGGCACUUAGAAGGACAGCACCAAGAUUAUCAGAGUACAACUUCGGUGUGAGAAAGGGAAUACGUAAUUCUGAUAAAAGAGACUGAGUCCAUAUAACUUCAGUAAGAAGAGCUGCAACAGCACGGUAUUCAGCUUCUGUUGAGCUUCUGGAAACAGAUUUUUGCUUGUGAGUAGACCAUGAUACGAGAUUGGAGNNNNNNNNNNNNNNNNNNNNNNNNNNNNNNNNNNNNNNNNNNNNNNNNNNNNNNNNNNNNNNNNNNNNNNNNNNNNNNNNNNNNNNNNNNNNNNNNNNNNNNNNNNNNNNNNNNNNNNNNNNNNNNNNNNNNNNNNNNNNNNNNNNNNNNNNNNNNNNNNNNNNNNNNNNNNNNNNNNNNNNNNNNNNNNNNNNNNNNNNNNNNNNNNNNNNNNNNNNNNNNNNNNNNNNNNNNNNNNNNNNNNNNNNNNNNNNNNNNNNNNNNNNNNNNNNNNNNNNNNNNNNNNNNNNNNNNNNNNNNNNNNNNNNNNNNNNNNNNNNNNNNNNNNNNNNNNNNNNNNNNNNNNNNNNNNNNNNNNNNNNNNNNNNNNNNNNNNNNNNNNNNNNNNNNNNNNNNNNNNNNNNNNNNNNNNNNNNNNNNNNNNNNNNNNNNNNNNNNNNNNNNNNNNNNNNNNNNNNNNNNNNNNNNNNNNNNNNNNNNNNNNNNNNNNNNNNNNNNNNNNNNNNNNNNNNNNNNNNNNNNNNNNNNNNNNNNNNNNNNNNNNNNNNNNNNNNNNNNNNNNNNNNNNNNNNNNNNNNNNNNNNNNNNNNNNNNNNNNNNNNNNNNNNNNNNNNNNNNNNNNNNNNNNNNNNNNNNNNNNNNNNNNNNNNNNNNNNNNNNNNNNNNNNNNNNNNNNNNNNNNNNNNNNNNNNNNNNNNNNNNNNNNNNNNNNNNNNNNNNNNNNNNNNNNNNNNNNNNNNNNNNNNNNNNNNNNNNNNNNNNNNNNNNNNNNNNNNNNNNNNNNNNNNNNNNNNNNNNNNNNNNNNNNNNNNNNNNNNNNNNNNNNNNNNNNNNNNNNNNNNNNNNNNNNNNNNNNNNNNNNNNNNNNNNNNNNNNNNNNNNNNNNNNNNNNNNNNNNNNNNNNNNNNNNNNNNNNNNNNNNNNNNNNNNNNNNNNNNNNNNNNNNNNNNNNNNNNNNNNNNNNNNNNNNNNNNNNNNNNNNNNNNNNNNNNNNNNNNNNNNNNNNNNNNNNNNNNNNNNNNNNNNNNNNNNNNNNNNNNNNNNNNNNNNNNNNNNNNNNNNNNNNNNNNNNNNNNNNNNNNNNNNNNNNNNNNNNNNNNNNNNNNNNNNNNNNNNNNNNNNNNNNNNNNNNNNNNNNNNNNNNNNNNNNNNNNNNNNNNNNNNNNNNNNNNNNNNNNNNNNNNNNNNNNNNNNNNNNNNNNNNNNNNNNNNNNNNNNNNNNNNNNNNNNNNNNNNNNNNNNNNNNNNNNNNNNNNNNNNNNNNNNNNNNNNNNNNNNNNNNNNNNNNNNNNNNNNNNNNNNNNNNNNNNNNNNNNNNNNNNNNNNNNNNNNNNNNNNNNNNNNNNNNNNNNNNNNNNNNNNNNNNNNNNNNNNNNNNNNNNNNNNNNNNNNNNNNNNNNNNNNNNNNNNNNNNNNNNNNNNNNNNNNNNNNNNNNNNNNNNNNNNNNNNNNNNNNNNNNNNNNNNNNNNNNNNNNNNNNNNNNNNNNNNNNNNNNNNNNNNNNNNNNNNNNNNNNNNNNNNNNNNNNNNNNNNNNNNNNNNNNNNNNNNNNNNNNNNNNNNNNNNNNNNNNNNNNNNNNNNNNNNNNNNNNNNNNNNNNNNNNNNNNNNNNNAUUUUUGUUAAACAACAUAGUAUAAGGAUUAGAGUUGUGCAAAACAGGAGUGGGAAGCACAUUGAUAAUAUGAGUUGAAGUAAGAAAGGCUUCAGCCCAGAAACGCCUAGGCAAAGAAGCAGUGGCCAAGAAAGUUAAUCCCAUGUCAACUAUGUGCCUAUGCUUACGCUCAACAGCACCAUUUUGCUCAUGAGUGUGAGGACAAAUGAGCCUGUGUUGUAUACCAUGCUGAUCAAGAACCUGUUUAAGACAAAGGAAUUCACGGGCAUUGUCGGUUUGUAAAGAACGCAAUUUAGAACACGUUUGAUUUUCAGCAAAAGAUUUAAAUUUGUGAAAAGCAGCAGGAACCUGUGACUUAGCAUGAAGAAAAUAUAUCCAUGUAUACUUACUAAAAGCAUCAACANNNNNNNNNNNNNNNNNNNNNNNNNNNNNNNNNNNNNNNNNNNNNNNNNNNNNNNNNNNNNNNNNNNNNNNNNNNNNNNNNNNNNNNNNNNNNNNNNNNNACAGACGAUAAGCAGGAGAUGUUGGGACAGUGCCAUCGGCGGAGGUUGAAGGCGAUUCAGGAACGCAAGAACCAUCAAGAAAAUGCGAGAGCAUAAGACCAUCAAGCGUGGCCAACACCUGUUGUUUCCAGAGAAGAAAGUUUUCUUCAUCAAGCUUGAGAAGAAUCGGAGUGUGGAAAUGGUGUAAAGAAACAGAGGCGGAAGCGGUGGAAGAGGUGGAGGAGGUGGGGCCAGAGGCUGCAGAAGUCAUGGGUACUCAAAAAAAGAAAAGAAAAGCGAAAAAGCUAAUAGCUCUGGAUACCAUAUUAGGCACAGGGUAGAGGAGCUAGAGAGAGAAGAUAUAAAAUGUAACUCAAUCAAUCUUAUUAAAGGUAUAGAAUCUACUUUAUAUACAAAGGUUAAGGAGGGGAUAUAUCCCUCUGGUUAACAGAAAAAAUAUAUUCCUUCACUAAGGGUGUCCUUGAGGUAACGCAAAAGAAGUGAGACAAUUUGUUGAUGAUGAGUUGUGGGUGCAAAUAUGAAUUGACUUAAAUUGUGGACAGCAAAGACGAUGUCUGGUCGCGUGUUGGCUAAGAAGAUUAGACGUCCAAGGAGUCUUCUAUAUUGAAAAGUUGCAUCAGCAUCAAGAGGGGAGCCUUGGUCAGGAGAGAGACGGAAGGUGUGAGUCAUAGGAGUGGCCACAAGUGUCAGUUUGGUGAAAAAGAUCAAGAGUAUAUUUGCGUUGACUUAAAUUAAGACCAGAAUUGUUGCGAGUCGCAAAAACUAAGUGAGAUGACCUAAAUUUUUUAUUUUUUUUAAUCAGCAACAAAAAUUUAAUAAAUAAAAGUACUCAGGGUAUAUUUAAAGAGGAUUCCCCUCUUAACGGUCUUUUCUUUUUACAUAAAUUACUUCUCUAGUUUACCCUUAUUUCAAUAAUUAUUUUAUUAUUUUAUUUUGGAUAUUUCAGUCAUUUUGUUAUUUUUCUUAGCGGUUACUAAAUAUACUACAAUUUUUAUGAGAUUUGAUUUUGAAAACUGUUUUUUAUUUCUUUUUAUUUUUUUUUUAAAAUCAAUAUCCGAUAAGUUUUGUUUUGGUUGGUUCUCUUUUAUUAUUUUAUUUAAUUAUUUUGUAACUACUUGAACAGUUACAACAGUCUUGAAAUGAUAAAAUUGAAAAAUAUUACUUAAUUUUAAAUUUGGAAAAAAACUAAUUGAGAAACUAGAGGUUUGUUUGAACUUUGGAUUGAAAACAUGCUCUUUUUUAUCCCGUUUUGCUCAUUUCUCUAUGUUCAUGUUGCUCUCUUUUUUCUUUUGAUUUUUCCAAUUCUCAUUCAUUUAGCAUAGAAAUUUGUUUAACCGUCAGAUCUUGAUGGCAUUUGGGUUUCUUUUCUGUUUUCUGUUUCUAUCUUCUAUUGGAUGAAAAUUAGUCAUGCACUUUUCAUUGAUUGUUUGUGAGUUUUUGGGUUUUUUUUUGCGGUGGCUUUGGAUCAAUGAUUGGGAAAAUCUCGAUAAACUAUGGUGUUUUCGGUAUGUUCUGGGAGCAUCUCUCUAAGGUUUAUUUGUUUCCAAGGGACAGAAUAUUGGUUUUUUUAAUGACUAUGCAGGUUUUGUUGUCUAAUGAUUAUGAAGGUUUUGUUGUCUAAUGAGGGGUCUAGCCUAUACUCAAGACUGAAAAAGAUAUUGAUGUAAGUUCUUAAGAAGAAGAAUUUUUCGAAGACCUUCUUGAGCAACAUAAUGAGAUUGAGUUCGUUUUCUGAUUAUUAGUUUAACAUCAUCUGCAGUUCCUUUUUUCGUAUCUGUAAUAUAAUUUUCCGACUCUUUUUUUUCAACUACCACUGUGAAGUCCAAAUCAAUGACAUAUGAUUUUAACAGUCUAGUUCUACAAAUGUUCUUUCUUCUUUCGUUGUUCCCUUUUUGUUUUUCUUCCUUUUCUUCUUCUUUGGACUAUUCAUUUUUUUUAUCAGCAAUAAAAAUACAUAAAUAGCUAGCGUCUUACCAACCUCCAACCUAGAAACACCUUCCAACUUAAAUAAGGAACAACCAGAGUUACUCAAGAAAGCAUUAAACAACUAGCCUCAUACAAUCUACUGGAUUCAAAACCCAGUUGGGGUACGUAAAGGAAUUACAUCAGGACUUUGCAAAAAUCCAAGACCAAACAUUUACCUGUAUCAAUGCAAAUACCUCGAGCGCAUCUACCACGCCCUUGUCGAAGGUCACCGAGUUCCUAUGUCUCCAAAUUCCACUCACAACACCAACCCAAAUCGCCCCCCAAACGUCAUUAACCACAUCAGAAGUCGAACACAACCUGAAUUGUUGGAAGUUUACCAAAGGGUCCUUGUGACUAUGUCUUUGGACUAUUCAUUAUCUACCAUGAAUUUGAAUUAUAUGCAUAUAUAUUACACUAUGUGGAUGUACACUACAUUUAGCUCUUUUGGGAGAUAAGGAUACUCUUACAAUUUUGAGAGAAAGUUGGUUGUGAAACAAUUCAAUUUUAAUAGGUAUAAAAAAAGUGCAACAAAUCUAAUACAUAUAUCUCAAAUUUUUAUAUCUUAAUUAUAAAGCAUUAAAGUUAAAUACAUAUUAGUUAUUGUUUCUAUGAUCCUUUGAUAUUUCUUAUUUGUUUUUAAAACUUAUAUUUGUUGUCAUUUUCUUCUGCACAUCAUAAUUCUUUGUUUUUUUAGUCUUCUCAAUGGAUUUUCUCCUCUUUCAUCGGAUUUUCUCUCUUUUAGUGAUCGUCUUUGUAAUUUGAUAGUAUAGAACCUAACUUGUAUUUUGUCAAUAUUACAUUGCAUUAUAAUUCAAACCUUUUUAACUUUUCUCUUUGCUUUAUACUAAAUUAUAAAAAAAAUAAAAAGUGAUAACUUCUCUUACACUAAUUCCACCUAGCAACCAUAAAAUAAUGUUUUUUCAUCAUCACUUUAAUUAAAAUAUUUUAAUUUAUUAUUUUAUUCAUUAUCUUACUUUGGUUUAUAAUUUUCUUUAUGAAGAUUUGAUUUUUUUUAUUCUGUGGAACAUAAUUUAAUGAGAGAUCUUUUAAAAUUAUUAUAUAAACCAAAAUAAACAUAAUUUACUAAAUUUAAUUAGUUUUAAUAAUUUUCAAUCAAUAUGUAUUUAAAAAAAAAAUUUGACAUAAUUUUCACAAUCUAUAUUAAAACAAAAUCAAUAUAUAUGAUCGUCUAUAUAUUUUCGAUUUAAAAAGUUAAAUAUUACUAUAAUCACUAAAAAAUUGUAUUAAUUAAAACCUAAUUUUUUUUAGUUUAAAAUACUAAUUAAAAUAAAUAAAGUAAUAAAAUAUUUAAAUUAAAAUGAUUUUUUAGUUGCAAAAUUUAUUCAAGUAAUUUAUCUAAUAUUAAUUAAGAUAAAUAUAUUGUUUAUUUUUUUUACAUAUUACAGUAUAAAAGUAAAAAAAAAAUAUAAAAUUAAAAAAUCAAUAAAAAUAUGAAAAACAUAUGUGAUAAAAAUAUUUUAAUAGAUUAAUACUUUGAAAUUCAAAGUUUAAAAAAAUAAUAUUCUAAAACGUUUCCAGUAACAUCCAAUAUAAAAACCACAUUAAUUUAAAUUUAUUUGAAUAGGCUUCAUUUAUAGAGUUUCAAGUAACAUCCAAUAUAAAAACCACAUUAAUUAAGAUUUAUUUGAAUAGUUUUAUUUAUAGAAUAAAAUUGUUGUUGCAUUUGAUAAAAAGUAAAAUAUACUCAAAUAGGUAUUCCAUCAUAUCACAUGUGAAUUUAUGAUUUUUUUAUUAAAAGUGGACAUUAAUCCUCAAAUAUACACUUCUUAAUCUCUUUUAUCUUUCUCUAAUAAUCAAUUAUACUAUUAAUUAACUAAAAUUCAUUUUCCUUAUAAUCAUUUCAUUAAAAAAAAUACAAUAAAAAAUCGAAAUAAAAUUAAAAAAAAUAAAAAUAUUUAAUCCAUAAUAAUAAUAAUAAAAUACAGAUAUACAUUAAAAACAAAAACAAAAAUAAGCGCAUUUUAUAUGUGUAACAACGGUUAAAACACUAUUAUAAAAUUCUAAGUUAUUUUUAGUCAACAAGACUUUGUGAGUGAACACGGAGAAGUGAAGGCUUAGUUUACAGAACAAAGUAUGAGUAGGAUGAAACUCUGUUUUUAUUUAUAGCAGUAGAUGCAUCAUGCAUGACCACUUUUCACAGACAUACACAUUACUUGGAGAUUGCUGUAGGCAUGGCCAAAAAGCCUUUAAGUUCAUCAGAACCAGAGUUAAAGCACCAACCAUAAUCCACAUAAUGAUUGGGAUAACGAGCACAAAAGUUUCCAGUUCCUUUCUUGAUGCAUUCUUCAUCAGAUUCACAUAAGUUGGGAUCUUCAUCUAUCAUCUUUGCCACAGAUGAUGAAAGUGCAGUUGGAUGAUAGCAGGUACCAACAAAUGGUGCAAUUACAGGGAAACAUCUACAAUCACUUGACCCGCACGGUGGUUCAUGCGACGCCGGCGAACAAGCACCUGAACAGUCUACAGCUUCUAUGUUCUUCAUCGAAAACAUUACUAAAACUGAAAUUUCAAAGUUAGAAGAAAUGAAGUAUGUAUAAUAACUUUGUGUAGUUCUCAAAUAUAUAAACAUAAACGAACGAUGAAGAAAGGAAAGAUACAUACUGGAAGUGGCAAGGAAGAAGAGAGCCAAAGGAGCAACUCUAACAAAACCCAUUCUUUGAUUUUCCAGAUUUCUUAUUCUCAGUUUUGUGGUGUGUUGGUCUCUUCUUCAAUGUAACAAUUUAUAGGGAUUAGCCUCCUCUUGUUUUUCCCUAUGUUACAAAGAAAAUAAAUUAAUAAUAUAAAGGUAAAAAAUUAUAAAAUUUUAAUUAUUCAAUAAAAAAUAAUAACACAAUUUUAAGUAACUAAAAUUUACAAAAAAAUUAUUUAUUUUUAAAAUAAAAAUAAAUUUAUGAAGUCAUAUUUUUAACAUUUUAAAAAAUUAAAAAAUUUCUAUUAUAUCUCUUACAAAUUUUAAUAAAUAUUUCUUACAAACUUAUCUUAUUCUAAAGAAACUAAGUUUCUUCCAACUUUUCUCUGUAAGAUUAUUUCAAAUUCAUUUAGUCUUCCCACACUGUAAAACAUCUCUGGUAGUAUAUAGUUGGCCUAUUCUGGUUUUGCUUCGGUGUGUCACUAAAAGAAAAUAAUAAUAUAAUAGUAAAAAUUAUAAAAUUUUCAUUAUUUAACCGAAAAUAAUAUACAAAUUUUAGUUAACUAAAAUAUAUAAAAUAAAUUCACUUUUUUUUUAUUUUCAAAAAUAAAAAUAAAUUUUUACACUCACAUUUUUAAUAUUUUAAAAAAAUUAAAAAUUCAUUCACAUUUAGUACACCACUCAACAAAUUUUAUAAAACUUGUUACGAAUUCAUUUUAUAUAUCUUAAAGCAACUCUUGUAGUAUACAGUAUUCUAGGCCAUUGAUUCAUCUGCUUCGUAGUACAAUGAUUCUCUGCUUUUUCAGUCUUUUCAAUUUUAUUUUUUCUUCUCCUUUCAGUCAUUGAUUUUUCUGUCAGAUUUGUUACUUGCUCCAUAAAUGUAUAUAAAAAAAUUAUUUAAUAUGUAUCUUUCUGUCUCUGUGCUGCAACAUUGGUACAAUUUUGUUUCUUUGUACCCAAAUGGAUAAAUUUCAAAAAUAAAUUAUAAAAAAUGAUAACUUGAAAGAAGUCGUAAUUAAGCACCAUUUAUAUAUUUUUUUUUCUAUUUUCAAUUUAUUUUUGGUUUUCUAUUGUUUUUUAAUUUUAGUGAAAUAACAUAAAUUUCAUUUAAUUUUUUAUUUUAUUUAUUUUGAAAAUUGUGUAUUUGAUUAUUUGUAUAAUUUAUUAUUAUAAUAUAAAUAAAUAUUUAAUUACUUUAAAUAAUUAAUUAAUUAAUUAACUUUUCAAUAACCAAAAUAGAAGAAAUAUAAAUUAAAUUAAUUCAUGAUGUAGCACUGUUAAAGGAGAGUGAUCUUACCACGCCUUGACCAGUCUUCGCAAUGGUCCUCCACUCACAUGUUUCGUUUACUUCAAAUCAACGCUCCUCGUUUCGAUUCGCCUCCCAAACGCAUCUCAACCGUCCAUCUCAUACCAAAGGGUAGGUGAAUGUGUCCUACUUUUGUACUCCAAUUCAGGGACAUGUUCCUUUACCCUAUGUUUCUGACAAGGGAAGGUGGAAAAAUAAGAUUAGAAAUUGCAAAAAAAAAAAGACACUUUCCAUUCUCACAGUAGAAAAAAAGUCUUAUUUUUAAUAACUUAUAAAUUAAUUUAUUAUCAUUAAAUAAGAGGUACUAAUUAUUACUUUUUAUUUUAACAUAAUAAAUAUUUAAAAUAUAGUUAAUACACUAUCUAAGAACACUGCACUAUAUUCAUAAUAGUUUUAAUAAAAGAAAUUAGUUAAUAUUUUUUUAAUAAAUUUAAAUUAGUUUACCUAAGUUAUUUAAUAUGUAUCUUGCGUCCGACAAUAAAAAUAGAGCAAUUAUUUAACUUUCUUUGAAGCAAAAUUCUUUCGAUCAAUUAUGGUUGCAUCGGAAAAAAAAACCCCAACUCAAAAUCAUUUUAAUGUGAAAGUAUUUACUAAUAUAGUUAAACUAUGAACUUAAAUUAAACUAAAAUUUUACAAAGAAAUCUAACUAAUAACUACAGAUUUAUUUUUUAUUAUGACUAAACUCAAAAUCAUUUUAAUGUAAAUGACACCAGAGAGCACCAGAUUUGUUGCUAUGGUGUCAUUUCAAUCAACCCAAAAUUCCUAGUGCUAUCUGGUGUCAUUUCGAUCAAUCUAAAAUGUUUUCCAUCGAUCCAAAAAUUUCUGGUGCUCUCUGGUGUCAUUUAGAUCAACCUAAAAUAUUUUCGAUCAAUUCAAAAAUUUAUGGUGCUCUCUGGUGUCAUUUCGAUCAACCUAAAAUAUUUUCGAUCGACCCAAAAUUUUUUGAUGCUCUCUGGUGUCAUUUCGAUCAACCCAAAAUUUCUGGUGCUCUCUGGUGUCAUUUAGAACAACCUAAAAUAUUUUCGAUCGACCCCAAAAUUUCUGAUGCUCCUCUGGUGUCAUUUCAAUCAACCUAAAAUAUUUUCGAUCAACCCAAAAAUUUCUGGUGCUCUCUGGUGUCAUUUCGAUCAACCUAAAAUAUUUUCGAUCAACCCAAAAUUACUGGUGCUCUCUGGUGUCAUUUAGAUCAACCUAAAAUAUUUUCGAUCGACCCAAAAAAAUUUUGGUGCUCUCUGUUUUGGAUAUUACUAUCAUUAUUAUUUUAGCAUAGUUUAUGUUGGAUUACUAUUGUUAAAUAACUUCUUGGAUAUAUUUGGAUUGUUAGAAAGUUUAAAUUAUAUGUUGUGAUUGUAUGGUGUAUUGAUGUGUUACAUGAGAUAUUGAAUGUUGUGAAAGUGAGAUCAAACAUAGUAUUUUCAGGAAAGGAAAUACCGUGUUGAGAUUGUUGUUAGGGUAUAUUGAUAUGUUAGGCCCGUAAUGAGACAUCUUGACUCUACUGAUAUAAUGGAAUCAAAUAGAUGAAGUUAUUCAGUUGGUGAGAGUCGAUGGAGGUUCAUAUGACUUUGUUUAUGGUUUGAAAUAUAAUUUGGUCUUUCAAGUCAUAUGAAUUUACCCUGUCAUACUAGAUGAUGAGAUAUUGAUUUGUUUAUGCGCAUGGCUGUGUGGAUUCACAUCGAGUAGUAUGACAGGUGCAGGUCUCAGGAUUCUAAAUUCAAUAUACAAGUCUUCCGGAAGUAGAGUCAAGUGUUUGAGUAUGUGAGUCAAUAAAGAUCUGACAUGAAUAAUGUGGAUGAUAGUUGUGAUAGACAUUUGAUGAAUUUGUGUAAAUUAUGAGAAUUUGAUGGAUUAUGUUUGUUCUUGAAAGUUAAAUUUAUAUUAGAAUUCUUAAAAAUAGCUAGCUUACCCCAUUCUUUGUGUUGUGUUUGUUUUCUUUAAUCUGUGAUGAUCGUGUUAAAUUACACGGGAGCAGAUGAAGUUGCAGGUAAUAAAGCUCCUCAGUGAGCAGCAGGAGGAUUAAAUAUAUUUAAAUUGAAUGUUUUGCUUUGUUUUGUUUUUAAACUUUUUGAUGUAUAUAUUAAAUCCCUAUGAAGAGGGAUAUAUUUUUUUGAGAUACAAAUAUGAGAAAACAAUAUAUGUUUAUAUGUUAAUUAGAUAUUGCAUGCAUAAUAUAUAAAAAUAAAAAUAAAAAUGAGUAAAAUUAGGGAUGUUACACCUCACACAUAGUAAGUUCAAUUUUACUUUUCUCUUUGAGUUAACUUUUGAACUUGUAGGUAAGGGAACUCAACCUCAUAAAACCGGCUUAUGAGGUUGAGGUUUGCACUGACUUAUAUACAAUCAAUCUCCAACGCACCCCCUCACGUCGAGAGUGAUCAUAAAACCGGCUUAUGAGGUUGAGGUUUGCACUGACUUAUAUACAAUCAAUCUCCAACGCACCCCCUCACGUCGAGAGUGAUAGCUUGUGCGUGGGAUAACAUAUUAUGGGUGGUCUGAUAACGGCCUGAUAGCGGGUGACACGAUAGACCCAAUAAACACUCGCUAGGAUAGGUUUUAAAUGGCUCUGAUACUAUAUUACAAAGUAGACUUUAAGCCUACCUCAACCCCACAAAACCGGCUCAUGGGGUGAAGUUUGCACCCACUCAUAUACAAUGAAAUAUCCUAAUCUCUAGUCGAUGUGGGAUCUCCAACAGUAAGCUAAUUUAAAUUUUCAAAAGAACCUUAGACUAGGAGAUCUGGAUGUGAAGGUAACGUGGUCACCAGUUCAAAACUUUUCUUUACAGGGUUUCUUGUUUUGAGUUGAUUGGAAAUUGAUUAAAAUUGAAAUGUGAAAUGGUAGAUAUAGUAUAUGUUGUAGAAUGUAUUUGAAUACUUUGUAGAAUCAAGUUAAAUGAAAUGUUUGAUGAGAAUUGGUUGUUGAUUUUAAAUAAUUUUGAUUUAGAAAUCAUAUAUAUGUAUAGAUUGACAUAAUAGCUCAAUGACUAAAUGAGAAUGCUUGUAUAAUUUUGAGUAGAAAGUGUCUAUGUAAUGUGUAGAUUUUAUAAAAUUAUAAAUUGAAUGAAAUGUUGAUUUAAAAUCUAUCAAGUAUAUCAGGUUAUGCACAAUUUUUCUGCAUAUCUCGCUCAAGCUAGAAUAAAAAUGAAAUUUUGGGUUUUUUCGGGUUGAUUCUAGCUCAAGCUAGCAAAUUCUAACUCAAGAUAGACUCUAAAAUAAUAAUAAUAAUAAUAAUAUUUUUUGUUUUUAAAAGGUUGGUUUAUUUAUUUCUGUAUAGUUUUACUUAUAAAUUAUGUAAACUUUUAUUAAACAUAUAUUUAAUUGAAAAUCUCAUUAAUUAGACAUUUAUAGAAUUAGUAUAUGAAUUAUUGUGUAUUUUGGAAAUCCUAAACAUUGGUAUGACUUGAUUGUUUAAUGUUGGAUAUUGUGAGAUUUAGAAUAUGAAUUUUAAUCAAAACAUAGUAUUUUCAGAAAAGAAAAUACUGUGUUAAGAUUGUUAUCAUGUGCAUUGACUAGGGAUUUUGUCUAGAACAGAUAUCCUGACUCUCUUGAGAUAAUAGAAUCAUAUAGAUGAAGUUAUUCAGGUGGUGAGAGUUGAAGGAGGUUCAUAUGAAUGGGUAAGUUGUUUGAAAGAUAACUAACUUAACCUGUUAUAUGAAUUAACCCUAUCAUACUAGGAGAGAUGAUAUUUAGUUAUUUAUGCAUAUAGUUGUGUGGAUUUCACAGUGAGAUAGUAUGACAGGUGNNNNNNNNNNNNNNNNNNNNNNNNNNNNNNNNNNNNNNNNNNNNNNNNNNNNNNNNNNNNNNNNNNNNNNNNNNNNNNNNNNNNNNNNNNNNNNNNNNNNNNNNNNNNNNNNNNNNNNNNNNNNNNNNNNNNNNNNNNNNNNNNNNNNNNNNNNNNNNNNNNNNNNNNNNNNNNNNNNNNNNNNNNNNNNNNNNNNNNNNNNNNNNNNNNNNNNNNNNNNNNNNNNNNNNNNNNNNNNNNNNNNNNNNNNNNNNNNNNNNNNNNNNNNNNNNNNNNNNNNNNNNNNNNNNNNNNNNNNNNNNNNNNNNNNNNNNNNNNNNNNNNNNNNNNNNNNNNNNNNNNNNNNNNNNNNNNNNNNNNNNNNNNNNNNNNNNNNNNNNNNNNNNNNNNNNNNNNNNNNNNNNNNNNNNNNNNNNNNNNNNNNNNNNNNNNNNNNNNNNNNNNNNNNNNNNNNNNNNNNNNNNNNNNNNNNNNNNNNNNNNNNNNNNNNNNNNNNNNNNNNNNNNNNNNNNNNNNNNNNNNNNNNNNNNNNNNNNNNNNNNNNNNNNNNNNNNNNNNNNNNNNNNNNNNNNNNNNNNNNNNNNNNNNNNNNNNNNNNNNNNNNNNNNNNNNNNNNNNNNNNNNNNNNNNNNNNNNNNNNNNNNNNNNNNNNNNNNNNNNNNNNNNNNNNNNNNNNNNNNNNNNNNNNNNNNNNNNNNNNNNNNNNNNNNNNNNNNNNNNNNNNNNNNNNNNNNNNNNNNNNNNNNNNNNNNNNNNNNNNNNNNNNNNNNNNNNNNNNNNNNNNNNNNNNNNNNNNNNNNNNNNNNNNNNNNNNNNNNNNNNNNNNNNNNNNNNNNNNNNNNNNNNNNNNNNNNNNNNNNNNNNNNNNNNNNNNNNNNNNNNNNNNNNNNNNNNNNNNNNNNNNNNNNNNNNNNNNGAUUAUAGUUAUUAGAUAUGGGUAAAAAAAGUUGGAAUGUUACUGGAGUUUGUGUGAAAAAAAUUGUAUUUCUAUAAAAAUAUUUACAAUAGUAAUUUCUGGUUAUGUUUUUAAAAACUUAAAUAUUUAAUGAAUAUCUCUUAAAUAAUUUAUUUUAAAUAAAAUUUAUUUAAGUCUAAAAUUGGAAGCUGUAAAGAUUUAUGUUUUGUAUACACUUGGUUUUAUAAUUGAUUUAAAAUGUUGAUAGAUUAAAUUUUUCGUAACUUGAUAUUGCAUAAGUGUGAGUCCUUUGCUAUUUAGUCUUAAACCAUAAUUUUUUUUCCCUAUUAUUAUUCCACAUAUAUUCCAAUUCCGAGAUUUAUAAGAAACGUGGGUGCAAAAAAUGCCACAAACAAUUUGUCAUUGAUUAUCUCAAUCAAUUUUGUGUAGACAUUAUAUGCUUCAUUAAUGCAUUUUCUAACUCAUGUUUAAUCAAUGCUAACUAUGAAAAUUAGUACUUGAUUAAUAUGCUAUUGAUUUCACUAAUUGUAUGUCUCUCUACCUUUCUUUUCUUAAUUAUACCCGGUUAAUUGUCCAAUCUGAAAAAGAGUAAUUAAAAGACUUGGUUCUAUGUUUUAGCCAAGAUCACGAUUUUAGCUGCGCCAUCUAAAUCAUCUCCUCUACAUCCACAACUCCUUGUUUAAACAAAAUGGAAUUUCUCUGGUCCCAAAUACCUCUUAUAACCGCUGUCCAAAUACCUUUCUAAAUCAAGAUUUGUUUUCCACUGGCCUGAGUACAAAGAAAACUCUCAAAAUGAGAUUUAAUCUCAUUAUUUUGUACUAACAUGAUUCCCAGCCACUUUUGGCAAAGGGACCAUACAUGCUGUGUAAACACACAUUCAAUGAAUAGAUGCUGUGAUGACUCCUCCUUAUUCCGCAUCCAAUUAGUUAAUAAUAAUCUUGAUUGCUGAUUGGAUUAGCAACUAUAAUCAUUCAUGAUUGUACUGCAUCAUCAAUACUCAUAAUUAGCAAUGAAAGAUCAAGCUUUUGUGGUUACAGAAACAGUGACAAAUCACCCCAUUUUCAUUUAUUUUCAUUUAUCAGUGUUAACAAAAAAAGAAAUAAUGUUGUAUAUAAUUAUGAUGGAUUUAUUUAUAAUUAAAUGAUAUAAAAAAAUAUUAAAGGGUUAGUGUAUCAUUAUUUUAUUAAAUUUAUUGAAAUAGUUUAUAAUUUUGAGGCUCUUAAUCUUCACAGUUUUCUUCUUGUCUCUAAGGUUAAGAACUAUUUAAGCAUGAGGUACCUAUUUCUCUCUUCUUGUCUUUUACGUAUUUCCAGCAGGAGUACAGGAACAAGUAUGAGUAAGAUGGAACACUGUUUUUAUUUAUAGCAUAGAUGCAUCAUGCAUCACAGUGCACGACCAUACAUGACCACCUUUCACAUGCAUACACAAUAUUACUUGGAGAUUGCCCUAGGCAUGGCCAAGAAGCCUUUAAGUGCAUCAGAAUCAGAGUUGAAGCACCAACCAUAAUCCAUAUAGUGAUUGGGAUAACGAGCACAGAAGUUUCCACUUCCUUUCUUCAUGCAUUCUUCAUGAAACUGACAUAAGUUGGGAUGUUCAUCUAUCAUCUUUGCCGCAGCUGAAAGUCCAGUUGGAUGAAUGCAGGAACCAACAAAUAGUCCUUAAGGAACACAGCGACAAUCACUUGAUCCACAUGGUGGCAUCUCAAACGGUGAACAAAAACCUGAACAAACUACAGCUUCUAUCUUCUUCAUCGAAAACAUCACUGAAAAUGAACUUCAAAGUCAGAACAAACUAAAUAUGCAUAAUAAUUUUGUGUAGAUCUGAAAUAUAUAAACAUAAACGAUGAAGAAUGGGAAGUUACAUACUGGAAGUGGCAAGCAAGAAGAGAGCCAAAGGAGCAACCCUAACAUAACCCAUUCUUUGAUUUCGCAGAUGUGUUAUUCUGAGUUUUGUGGUGUGUUGGAGUCUCUUCUUGUAACUAUUUAUAGGCAUUAGUCCACUGUUAGUUUUUGCUCAGCUAUGUCACUAAAAGAAAAUAAUAAAGGUAAAAUUAUUUAUCUUACUGUCUUCUUGCUGCAAUAAGAAUUAUUUUCGACAGCAAUUAUUUCAAGCAAUCAUGGAAAAUUUAUUGGUACAAUUUUGUUUCUUUCUACAUAAAUGAAUAAAUUUUUUAAAAAAAAACACUAUAAAAAUGGGUAACUAAUGGAAAGAAGUCGCGAUUUAGCACCACUUGUAAUUUUUUCAAUUUUCCAUUUAUUUUUUGUUUCUCCAUUUUUUUUUAAUUUUUUAAUUUUAGUGAAAUAACAUCAACUAUUUUUUUUAUUUUUAUGUUAGUUAUUUUUAAAAUUGUGUAUUUAAUUAUUUGUAAUUUAAUAUAAUUUAUUAUUAUAAUUUAAAUAAAUAUUUAGUUACUUUAAUUAAUUAACUUUUUAAAUAAUUUACAGGCAUUACUCCUCGGUAUUACUGAUGAGAGAUGAACACUUAAAUUAGGGAUCUUUUAUUUCAUUGUUCUUGGGAGAAUAAAAAACUUAUUCUUAAAAUAUUUAUAUAAGAAUUAAAAUACUCCUAAAAUAUUUCAUUUUAUUUGAUUUAUUUUUUAAUGAUAACAUACACAUACAUGCAUAAGAAGUUGACUGAAAGUAAUAUAUCGAAGUAUUUGAUUUUGAAUAUUUUAUAUUAAUUUUAAAGUGAAUAAGGAGUUGAAAGUGUUUGUGAUUGAGAAUUGAAAGUGUUUCAAAGAUAAUAUAAAUGAGUAUUAAUUUUAAGGUGAAUAAGGUGUUGAAAGUGUUUCAAAGAUAAUAUAAAUGAGUUGAAUUGUUUUUGAAUAUUUUGUUGAAUUACUAAAAUGAAAUGUUUGAUGAGUAGUGGUUGUUUGAUUUUAGAUGAUGAAUGAUUUAGAGGAACAUAGUUAUGUAUUUAAGUGAAUUCUGAUAUAUAUUUGGAUUGUUUAAAAAGUUAAAAAUAUGAUGUGAUUGAAUGGUGAGAGUAUUAAUGUGUUAAAUGAUGUAUGUAAUGAGGUGAAAGUGUGAUCAAGACAUAGUAUUUUUAGGAAAGGAAAUACCGUGUUGAGAUUUUGUUAGGGUGUAUUGAUUUGUCAGGCCCGUAAUGAGACAUCCUGACUCUACUAAUAUAAUCGAUUUACAUAGAUGAAGUUAUUCAGUUGGUGAGAGUCGAUGGAGGUUCAUAUGACUUUGUCUGUGGUUUGAAAUAUAAUCUGGUAUUUCAUGUCAUAUGAACUUACCCUAUCAUAUGAGAUGAUGAGAUGAUGAACUAUUGAGAUGUUUAUGCGCAUGACUAUGUGGAUUCACAGCUAGUAGUAUGACAGGUGCAGGUCUCAGGAUUUUAAUUUCAAUACAUGAGUCUUCCGGAAGUGGAGUCAAGUGUCUGAGUAUGUGAGUCAGUAGAAAUCAGACAUUGUAAAAAUGUUUGAAUACUGGUGAUUUAUGUUGAUAUUUAAUCUUUUAUAUUUGAAAUUUUAAAAAUAGCUAGUUUACCUUGUGCUUUCUUUUGUGUUUGUUUUCUUUAAUCAAUAUGUGAUGAUUGGGAACAGAUGAUGUUGCAGGUAAUAGAGCUCAUCAGUGAGCAAUCAGAAGAGGAUGAGAUGUUUUAUUUUGGAUGUUUUUUUUUAAAAAAAACUUUUGUGUAUAUAUAUUAAAAUUCUUAAGAAGAGGGAAAUAUUUUGAGAUACAAAAUGAGAAAGUAUUAUAUGUUUAUAUGUUAAUUAGAUAUUGCAUAUAUAAUAUAUUAUCAAAUAUGGAUAAAAAUAGAGAUGUUAUCCCAAACUUUAUUCACACUUUCUUCUCAAAUUCACACACUUUCACUCUAUCACACUCUCACAUUUUCAUUUCACAAUCCAAAUAAAACAUAAAAAAAAUUAAUAAUAUAAAUGUAAAAAUUAUAAAUUUUUUAUUAUUCAAAUGAAAACAAUAUAAAGAAAUUUAAUUAACUUAAAUUUAUAUUAAAAAAUUAUUUUAUUUUAUGUUGUAUUUAUUUUUAAUAUAAAGAUAAAAUUAUAUUUUUAACAUUUAAAUUUUUUUUACACAUAUCAGACUCAUAAAUUUGAAUAAAAUUUCCUUAUUAAUUUACUUUAUAUACAUUAAUCCAUACAAAGUUAACUUUUUUUUCAUAUUUACCUCCGAAAUUCACUCUUUCUAUUAGUCAUUCAUCUCAUCUGUAAUCAAACACAUCAUAAAGCAACUCUUGUGCUAUACAGUUGGCCUUCUGAUUCAUUGAUUCGUAAUGAUUCAAAGCUUCUUCAGUCUUUUCAGUUCUUCCUUUUUCAUGCAAGUUGUUUCACAGCAAUUAUUUCCAAAAAACAUUAGAAAGAUUGUAACUAGUGUGAAUAAAAGUCGUGAUUAAGCACCCCUUCUAUUUGUUUUCCUUUUUCAAUUUAUUUUUGGUUUUUCCAUUAUUAUGAAGUGGACUUUAAGUCUAACUCAACCCACUUAUAUACAAUAAAAGGCUUUAAUCUCUAGUCGAUGUGGGAUCUCCAACACCCCCUCACGUCGAGAUUGUCAACUCGUGCGUGAGACUAUAUAUUAUGGGUGGUCCGAUAACAGCCUGAUACCAUAUUACAAAGUGGACUUUAAGCCUAACUCAACCCCAUAAAACUAGCUCAUAGGGUUGAGGUUUGCACCCACUUAUAUACAAUGAAAGACUCUAAUCUCUAGUCGAUGUGGGAUAAUACCAUAUUACGAAGUGGACUUUAAGCCUAACUCAACCCCAUAAAAUCGGCUCAUAGAGUUGAGGUUUGCACCCACUUAUAUACAAUGAAAGGCUCUAAUCUCUAGUCGAUGUGGGAUCUCCAACAUCCAUUUCCAUUAUUUUUUUUUCAAUUUUUUUCUUUUAAUUUUACUUAUAUAAAAUAAAUUACAUUUAAUUUUUUAUGUUAUUUACUAGUUGUGGGAAAUUGUGAUGUUUACUAUAUCUCACUCGAACACUUCAAUUAUUAUAUUAGCUCUAGUUUGAAUGUAUAGAAGUUAUAUUAUUAUUUGUAUUAUUAUUCUAGCAAAAGUACAAUGUGUGCUUAAUUUUUAGCACUUAAAAAAUAACUCAGUGUUUAAUGUGUUACAUUCCUUUUUCUCAAGAUUUUUUAUUUAUUUAUAUUUAUCUUUAAAGCAAUAUCUCCAUAAGACUUAGUCAAAUAAUUAUGAUAAUAAUUAAUGUUCUAAAUAAAUAAAAAAUAAGGAUUACUUUAUCAUAUAUUAUAUUUUUUAAAUAUUUUAAUGAGUUCUAAAAUUUAUAUAAGUUUUUAAGUGCUGAUAAAAAAAUAUAAGUUUAACGUUUCACAUAACAUUUCAUUCAAUUCAUUCUCAAAUCACCACUUUUUUCACAUAAUUACGGUUAGUCUGAUAAAAUUUUAGAACAGAGAAAAUGACAAGACUAUAAAAAAUAUUAGCAGUGCAGGCCAUGAUUAGACCAAGCAGUGAAAGUAGAUUCUCCUAUUUAGGGUAAAUCAAUUACACACAUGAGCUAGUCACUGAAAUACAUUGGGUAGAAUAAAAGAUUUUUGAAGAGAUUAUCCCAUUUAGGAGAAAAUAAUUAAAAUUAAAAAAAAUUAAAAUUGGUUUAUCUAUAAGUUUAAAUUAGUUUAUUUUGAAGUAAUAAAUAGUAGAUUAUGUAAGUAAUAACUUAUGAAUAUUUCAUACAUUACUUUCCUUAUUUGGAUUCAAUAAUUGAAAAUGUGUUUGUUGGUUCAUGUUUUUUAUAUAUACAAUGUAAUAACUUUGCAGAACAGAAUAAUCUUGUGUAGACGAUUCUGCUGACUGUAUACCCAUCAAAUCCAAGAGCAUAAAAAGUUAUGUAGGUAUAUCGUGUGCGGAAGCGUGAUAAUUUCAACCAAAGAUUAUGAGAAAUUAAAGUAACAAGUAAAGUGAGAAUGAUACCAGAAUUUUUAGGUGGAAAACCCCUUUAAAUAGAGGUAAAAAACUACCGACGACAGAGCCAAAACUUUCACUAUAAUGAUAUUGGGAGUACAAUGAAUUCCUCUCAGACUAAUAGAUAAAUAGCCCUAAAAACAAAUCCUCUCUAUAUGGGUUAAACACUUACACCCAAGAACAGAAAAUAGAGAGUAUAUGAAAAGAGAGAGGAAGCAAGUGUGUGUUGCUUGUUUGUAGUGUGUUACAUUGCUUUGCUUGAAGGAAGCCACUAUAUAUAGUGGUUCUAGGAGACAACAAUAAUAAAUACAAUUAAUGGUAAUUAACCUCCCAUUGAUUGCAAUUGAUUGCGCAAUUAAUCUCCCAUUGAUUGCAAUUGAUUGCUGCAAUUAAUCUCCCAUUGAUUGCAAUUGAUUGCUGCAAUUAAUCUCCCAUUGAUUGCAAUUGAUUGUGAUUGCGACAAUUAAUCUCCCAUUGAUUGCAAUUGAUUGUGGCAAUUAACCUCCCAUUUAUGCCAAGAUAACGGUAAAGGUGAGUCAUAAACCCACAAAUCUCCACCUUGACUUGCCUUUGAUUGGAACACUCUCUCACCAUGAAGUCUUGAUUAAGUAUGGAUAAUACCAGCUAAGUUCAGGCAAUGAUCGAACUUAGCCGAUGGAAGUGGCUUGGUCAACAUGUCUGCAGGAUUUUCGGUCGUAUGAAUUUUUUCAACAAUUAUAUCUCCUGUAUCAACAAUGUCUCGGAUAAAAUGGUGUUUAAUUUCAAUGUGCUUGGUCCUUGAGUGAUACUUACUAUUCCUGGUUAAGUGGACAACACUCUGACUAUCACAAAAUAUAACAAGAACAUCUUGUUGAAGACCAAGUUCACUUACCAAGCCUCGAAGCCAUAUAUCCUCUUUCAUACCUUCUACAGCAGCAAUAUAUUCUGCUUCAGUGGUGGACAAAACCGCAAUGGCUUGAAGUGAAGAAUACCAGCUGAUAGCAGACCCACAUAGGGUAAAGAUGUAAGCUGAAAGUGACCUUCUCCGAUCUAAAUCACCACCAUAGUCAGCAUCAACAUAGCCAACUGCUCCUCCGGGAUCGGAUCUAUGUUGAUCAAAUACCAAANNNNNNNNNNNNNNNNNNNNNNNNNNNNNNNNNNNNNNNNNNNNNNNNNNNNNNNNNNNNNNNNNNNNNNNNNNNNNNNNNNNNNNNNNNNNNNNNNNNNNNNNNNNNNNNNNNNNNNNNNNNNNNNNNNNNNNNNNNNNNNNNNNNNNNNNNNNNNNNNNNNNNNNNNNNNNNNNNNNNNNNNNNNNNNNNNNNNNNNNNNNNNNNNNNNNNNNNNNNNNNNNNNNNNNNNNNNNNNNNNNNNNNNNNNNNNNNNNNNNNNNNNNNNNNNNNNNNNNNNNNNNNNNNNNNNNNNNNNNNNNNNNNNNNNNNNNNNNNNNNNNNNNNNNNNNNNNNNNNNNNNNNNNNNNNNNNNNNNNNNNNNNNNNNNNNNNNNNNNNNNNNNNNNNNNNNNNNNNNNNNNNNNNNNNNNNNNNNNNNNNNNNNNNNNNNNNNNNNNNNNNNNNNNNNNNNNNNNNNNNNNNNNNNNNNNNNNNNNNNNNNNNNNAUAAAUGACCCAUCAGAUGUCGCCUAAUAAGCAGCUUACUAUCAUAGCUACUUCUGGAGUAUCCAUGUCCAACCAUGAAAGAAUCAAACCUCUUAUACCAUUGUCUUGGUGAUUGCUUCAAGCCGUAAAGAGAUUUUUUCAAACGACAUACAUGGUCCUCCUUUCCAGGUACAACGAAGCCCUCAGGCUGUUGGAUGUAAAUCUCUUCCUCAAGAUUACCAUGAAGAAAAGCAGUUUUCACAAUUAACUGUUCCAACUCCAAAUCAUACAAGGCAACUAAAGCAAGUAAUAUACGUAUUGAAGUAUGACGAACAACAGGAGAAAAAACUUCAUUAAAGUCAAUACCUUUCUCUUGAUCAAAACCUCUUACAAAAAAUCUUGCUUUAUUCCUUGUACUCUCAACACCAGGGAUCCCUUCUUUUCUCUUAAAGAUCCACUUGCAACUAAUGACUCGUUUUCCUUCUGGUAACUUCACCAAUUCCCAUGUUUCGUUUUUGAGAAGACUCUCAACUUCUUCUUGCGUAGUAGCAAUCCACUUUGUUGAGUCGUCACCAGAGAUAGCUUGAGAGUAAUUCUUGGGUUCACCUUCUUCACCCAUCUCUUGUGCAAUAGUUAAAGCAUAAGCGAUGUUGGCAGAUUCUGCAAUUAAUCUUUGAGUCGGUUUUCUUGGUCUCUGUUGUGGAAGUUCUUGAACCAUAGACCACGGCUGUGGUAAUCCUCGUCGUUUAGGUGGACCUUGCUCACGUGGACUCAAAUGUUCAUUUGUACCAUCAAUAGCAGUGACUUGAUCAUCUUGAGUACUGGAGGAAUUGGGAACAUCUUCCUCAUGAGCGGGUGUUUUAAUCUCAAACUCCACCUUCUCUCGAGCAUCUUCCUGGUCACCUGUAUCAAUUGAGGAAAUGACAGUAUCUUUUGCAGAAGAGAGCAUAACGUUUUCAUUAAAGGUCACAUUUCGACUAUGAAUUNNNNNNNNNNNNNNNNNNNNNNNNNNNNNNNNNNNNNNNNNNNNNNNNNNNNNNNNNNNNNNNNNNNNNNNNNNNNNNNNNNNNNNNNNNNNNNNNNNNNNNNNNNNNNNNNNNNNNNNNNNNNNNNNNNNNNNNNNNNNNNNNNNNNNNNNNNNNNNNNNNNNNNNNNNNNNNNNNNNNNNNNNNNNNNNNNNNNNNNNNNNNNNNNNNNNNNNNNNNNNNNNNNNNNNNNNNNNNNNNNNNNNNNNNNNNNNNNNNNNNNNNNNNNNNNNNNNNNNNNNNNNNNNNNNNNNNNNNNNNNNNNNNNNNNNNNNNNNNNNNNNNNNNNNNNNNNNNNNNNNNNNNNNNNNNNNNNNNNNNNNNNNNNNNNNNNNNNNNNNNNNNNNNNNNNNNNNNNNNNNNNNNNNNNNNNNNNNNNNNNNNNNNNNNNNNNNNNNNNNNNNNNNNNNNNNNNNNNNNNNNNNNNNNNNNNNNNNNNNNNNNNNNNNNNNNNNNNNNNNNNNNNNNNNNNNNNNNNNNNNNNNNNNNNNNNNNNNNNNNNNNNNNNNNNNNNNNNNNNNNNNNNNNNNNNNNNNNNNNNNNNNNNNNNNNNNNNNNNNNNNNNNNNNNNNNNNNNNNNNNNNNNNNNNNNNNNNNNNNNNNNNNNNNNNNNNNNNNNNNNNNNNNNNNNNNNNNNNNNNNNNNNNNNNNNNNNNNNNNNNNNNNNNNNNNNNNNNNNNNNNNNNNNNNNNNNNNNNNNNNNNNNNNNNNNNNNNNNNNNNNNNNNNNNNNNNNNNNNNNNNNNNNNNNNNNNNNNNNNNNNNNNNNNNNNNNNNNNNNNNNNNNNNNNNNNNNNNNNNNNNNNNNNNNNNNNNNNNNNNNNNNNNNNNNNNNNNNNNNNNNNNNNNNNNNNNNNNNNNNNNNNNNNNNNNNNNNNNNNNNNNNNNNNNNNNNNNNNNNNNNNNNNNNNNNNNNNNNNNNNNNNNNNNNNNNNNNNNNNNNNNNNNNNNNNNNNNNNNNNNNNNNNNNNNNNNNNNNNNNNNNNNNNNNNNNNNNNNNCUAACAAUUCCAUCAUGUGUCUUGAUUUUGAUUGUUCCUUCACCAACAACUUUGCAUUGAGCAUCGUUUCCCAUCAAAACAAGACCAUUAUAAACUGGUUCAUAUGUGGCAAACCAAUCUCUAUUGUGAGACAUGUGAUAAGUACAACCAGAAUCAAGAAUCCAUUCAUUUUUAGACCUUUGUUCAGUGUUGGAAGCUCCAAAACAAUCCCCAUCAGAUUCAGUUUCAACAAUACUAGCUUCGCCAAAUUUUUCUGGUUGUUUACCAUUUCCCUUAUCUUCUCUAUCUUGCUUAUUUUUCAAUUUAUAACAAUCAGAGAUCUCGUGUCCCUUUUUCUUGCAAUAACGACAAUAUUUGGAGUUCUUGCCUCUAGAUUUUGACCUAGAUUUAUACUUAUUGUUCUUACCUUUCUCUUGGUUUCUCCCUCUAACUACUAAUCCUUCACCAGAACUUUCAGAAUGAAUUUGAGUAUCAAAUUUUUCUUUGGCUAGUAAAUUAGUCUUGACAUCAUCAAAGCUUAAGGUAAGAUAAUUACCGUAUAACAUAAUUUCUUUGAAUUGUCGAUGCGAGGGUGGUAGAGAAACAAUAAGUAGAACAGCUUUAUCCUCAUCAUCAAUUUUAACAUCCAAAUUUUCCAAAUCAAUUAUGAUGGAAUUAAAUUCAUCAAGGUGAGAUUGGAUGGGAGUACCUUCAGACAUUCGGAGUGUAAAGAGUCGCUCCUUUAACCGGAGUUUGUUUGCAAGACUUUUGGUCAUGUAUAAAGACUCCAAUUUACUCCAUAUGCCUGCUGUACUUUUCUCGUUGAUGACCUCACGCAACACCUCACGGGACAAGCAUAACUGGAUUGCAGACAAUGCCUUUUCAUCCAUCUCAUCCCACUGCUCCUCCGUCAUAGUGGUUGGUCUCAUCAUUUUACCUGCCAGAACUUUCUUUAAACCAUUCUGGGUGAGAACAGCUAGCAUCUGGACUCGCCAGAUAGCAAAGCUGAUUUUAUCAUCAAAUUUCUCAAUAUCCAAUUUUGACAUUAUUGAACAAUAGAUCCUAGUUGAAUUAUCGAAAAGCUCUGAUGCCAAUUUGUAGGGAUAUCGUGUGCGGAAGCGUGAUAAUUUCAACCAAAGAUUAUGAGAAAUUAAAGUAACAAGUAAAGUGAGAAUGAUACCAGAAUUUUUUAGGUGGAAAAACCCCCUUUAAAUAGAGGUUAAAAACCACCGGCGANNNNNNNNNNNNNNNNNNNNNNNNNNNNNNNNNNNNNNNNNNNNNNNNNNNNNNNNNNNNNNNNNNNNNNNNNNNNNNNNNNNNNNNNNNNNNNNNNNNNNNNNNNNNNNNNNNNNNNNNNNNNNNNNNNNNNNNNNNNNNNNNNNNNNNNNNNNNNNNNNNNNNNNNNNNNNNNNNNNNNNNNNNNNNNNNNNNNNNNNNNNNNNNNNNNNNNNNNNNNNNNNNNNNNCAAUAAUAAAUACAAUUAAUGGUAAUUAACCUCCCAUUGAUUGCAAUUGAUUGCGCAAUUAAUCUCCCAUUGAUUGCAAUUGAUUGCUGCAAUUAAUCUCCCAUUGAUUGCAAUUGAUUGUGAUUGCGACAAUUAAUCUCCCAUUGAUUGCAAUUGAUUGUGGCAAUUAACCUCCCAUUUAUGCCAAGAUAACGGUAAAGGUGAGUCAUAAACCCACAAGUUCAUUCUCAGCAAUUGCAUUGCUUCUCAUCAACUUGGUUAGUUGUUUCUAUUUGAGUGUUGUUUUAAAUAUUAGCUUAUAAAUAUUUGAAAACUUGCAUGUAUAAGAUUUUGAUAUCAAAUGAGUAGAUCUUGAAUGAGUUUCAUGUACCUAAGAACAUUCUGAUAUCAAAUGAGUAGAUAUUGAAUUAUAUUAAGUUAAUUAGACUACUUUAUUCGUAUUUUUAUAGUUAUAUGAUUCCAUUAUCCACUCCACUGUUUUGUCGAAUACCGAAUGAUAUUUUGGUAUAUCACUCAUUCGAUUCAAACAUGAACCUCACUAAAAAAAAUAAUUCGGGAUUUGGACACAAUGUAACUAAUCACAAUAAUCACUUCCUAAAUAAGCUCCUAAAUAGGAUUAAAAGAGUAUUAGGUUUUUAUGUGUAUGAGAUAAUCCUCAAGGUCAUAAGUAAACUAUAAAUAGACGAGGAUCCAAAGGAAAAAAAGGUAAUGUUUCUCUGAUUAUAAUACUCAUAAUCUAGAUAUAUUCACCGUUGACUUGAGCAUCGGAGUGUCUUUACAAGUACAUACCACCGAGAGACUGGAGUCUCGAUAGAGAAAAUCUAAUCUUGUUGAACUGUGUAAGAACAUUUUUGACGCACACCGUUGGGUUAGAAGAAAAAUCUAUUGAGAAACCACAUGGUAGAUACUAUAAGCAUGAUAGGAAGCGAAAGACAGGUGGUAGAGGAAGAUCACCGGAUAGACUUGGUGACAGUAGUGUUAGAGUUGAAAAGGGAGUUGGAAAGAUUGAAAAGGAAGAACACUAGGGAGUAGGAAAGCCUGAAAAGGAAAAACACUGAGGAGAUGGAUGCUUGUUCAAGUGUGAUUUCAUCUGAACCUUCAAGUAUCAUUCAAACUCCACUACCUUUUUUUUUUGGAAGAUCCAUCUACGUUAAGAGUCCAUCUUUCCUGUUUUUCGUUGAUUUGAGGUAGCUUGACAAUGAAAUAGGUCAAUAGUUUUUCCUUGAUUAGUUCUCGACCUUCAUAGGUGAACUCAAACUCUUAUAAUUCCAAUGAUAAAGUUGUCUUUCUACCAGUGAGUUCGGGCUUUUGCAGAACUUGUUUGAUGGGGUAGUGGAUGUGAAUGGUAAUGUUAAAGCUCUUGAUAUAAUGUCUGAGUCUUCGAGUCGAAAAAACUAAGGCAAGGAUGAGCUUAUCAAUGACUUAAUAUCUUUCUUCAGUCGAUUAUAGAGUUUUGCUAGUGAAAUAUACAUAUAGAUGUUUCUUGCCUUCUUUAUAGACCAAAACUAAACGUAUUGCCAAGUAGGAUACUGCCAAAGAGAGAAUAAGAGUAGAAUGUGGAAGAAGGCUCACCAAAGUUUGCAAAGAAGCAAUAUCUCGCUUAAGUUUGAAUCUCUUCAGAUUGUUGGUUCCACUCGAAUUUUGUUACAAAACUUUAAUAACGGGAAUAAUGGUUUUGACUUCUCGACGAGCUUGGGAGUAAACUUGAAAAGGGAAACAAGCUUUCCGUUUGGCUGUUGGAGUUCCUUGAGAUUACUUUGACUCCUUGUGCUCAAAAUGGCUUCACAUUUAUCGGGAUUGACCUCAUAUCCUAUUUGUGCAAUCAUGAAAACAAGAAAUUUUCUGCCUCCAACCAAAAAUGCAAUUUUCAAGGUUAAGGCGCAUGUUAUGUGUUCAAAUUUGGUUGCACACCUUCUCUAUAAAGAGUGGGUGCUUCUAUAUGGAUGUUGACUUGAUCACCAUGUCAUCUACAUAAAAUUUCAUGGUGGAACCUAUGAGAUACAUAAAAAUUUUAUCCAUUAAACGCUGGCAAGUGGCACUAACCUUUUUUUAGGCCAAAUGGAAUGACCUUGUAAUAAAAGUUGUCGCCUUCAGUCAUAAACGUUGUUCUGUCCUUGUUAUAAGGAUACAUUCUAAUAUGGUUGUAUUUAGAAUAAGCGUUGUCAAAACAUAGGAGCUCAUGUUACGACCUAUUAUUAAUCAGUCGAUCAAUACUUGGUAAAGGAUAUGUGACUUUUGGGCAGACUUUGUCUAAAUAUGCAUCGUCUAUACAUAUCUUCCACUUACCAUUGAACUUCUUUACCAUCACCACAUUCAACAACCAUGUGGUGGUAAACAAUCUCUCUAAUGAAGUCGACCUUCAAUAGUUUCCCGGCCUCUUGAUCAACUGAUUGACGUCUUUCUUCAUUAAUUUACAUUUUCUUUGAGCCAUUGGAUUUUCUUGAGGUAAAAUAGAAAGCUUGUGGCACAUGAAAUCUAGAUCAAUGUCAGGCAUGUCAGAUGGGCUUCACGCGAACAAAUCAACAUUGUUGAGGUGUACUUGUUCUAUCUCAUUCCGUAGUACUCGGCGAAUAGUUUUCCCAACUCGAGUGAUUUGAAUGGGGAGAGAACCGAGUUAUACAUUGAUCAUCAGUUCAUCAAGGUUGGGUUUAUUUUCUUCAAAUUCGGCCUUGGGAUCCAGGUCAACUUCCUCAAUUUGUUCUUCAUGUUCAUCCUUGAUAGGAUGUAUUUCCUCUAUGUUGAGAUCUGGUCGAGGAACAUCGUGUUGGUGAGGGACCUUAAUGAUAAACUUCAUUUGUGUUGUACUACUUGAAGUUGAGGCCUUCAUCAAAUAAGGUGUUAGUCAUGAACUAUGUGCGUAACAUUCCCAAGGUGUCUUUGUUUUUUUUUACAGUCAUAAUUGUCAUUUUCUACUAGAAACUUCAUGGUCAUGUGUAGUGUCGAUAUGACAAUGUCAAGUUGAUUGAUAGUUUGGCGUCCAAUCAGCACAUCAUAAGAAGUAUUGGUCUUAACCAAUAUAUACCUCACAGUUAAAGUACGAUAUGCUCCACUAGUACCAAGAGUAGUAAGAAGGUCUACAUACCCCCUACACUACAAGAAAAAUGCGAAUUAUAUACGGAUUAUUACACACGGAUUUUUUCCGUAUGUAAUUACAUACGAAUUAUAUCCGUAUGUAAUUUUGGCACCAUGAAACGGGAAUUAAAUUUAACCACUACCCCCAAACAAUUUCUUUAGUAUCAUUAUGAUUUUUAUUAUACUUAUUAUUAUUAAUAAUAUUAACAAUAUUAACAAUAUGAAUAUAAUAUUAAUAAUAUGAAUAUAAUAUUAAUAAUAUGAAUAUAAUAUUAAUAAUAUGAAUAUAAUAUUAGUAAUAUGAAUAUAAUUUAUAUUAUUAUUAUUAUUAUUAUUAAUAUGUAUAAAUUAUAUUAAUAAUAAUAAGUAUAAUAAAAAUGAUAAUAUGACUAAAGAACUUGCCUGGUCUAGUGGUUAAUACUUUCUUGAUCAUUGAAAGGACUUGAUCAUAGAAUGAGGAAGGACAACUAUUUAGCUGCCCUAAUCAAUGAGGACUUUACAAACUUGCUAGUUGAUUAUGGUAGUUGUAACAAACAUUGGAUCAUGGACGAGGUUGUUUACACAAAAAUCUUCAUUGGAGAAGGUGAUAAGAGACAACAAAUGAGGUGUUAAGGAGUUUAUUGAAGUGAUACUCCUAAGCUUCCUUUUUUGUCUUGCAUUUGAACUUCCUCCACUUGCGAAGCCUCCAACAAUGGUGAGAACAGUUCCUCGUACGUGAUCGAGAUUUUGAGGUUGUUCUUGCUCUUAUGUAGGUUGUAGUGUAGGAGCGAGAGGAGGAGAUAUUGUUUCAGAUGGGGUGAUGUUUCUCUUCCCCUUCCUUGAUUACCUCCUCAGAAGCCUCAACCUCUUCCUCACCAUCUCCUGCAUCCUCAUCCUCUGCGAGAUUUAUUGUUUUGCACAAAACAAUUUAAAGCACGUGACUAAAGAAAUCGGGUCACAUACUUUGUAACAUUCUUCGGAUUUUGGUGAUAGUUGUAUCUAUUGGUUGGAUCAACAUAAGUACGUGAAGGAGCGGGGUGAAGAAGUCAGACAAGCUCUAAUGUAAAGGUCUCACGGAGAAAGAGACUAUGCUAGCAUUUAAGGGUGUAUAAGUUUCAAAUCUACCAACACAUUUCUUUUUGAAAUUUUAUGGAUUGGGAGGUAAAUCUUUGUAAGUUGAUAAUAUUGAAAUUUUAUGGAUUGGGAGGUAAAUUUUAUGACAUGUAUAUAUAAAUGUUUUAGUAAUUAAUAAUAAUAUUGAUUUUUACAUCUAUACUGAGAUAGUUAUAAUCAGGUCCGAGGUGAUUACCAUUCAAUAAAUAUCAGCAAAAUAUAAGGAUAACUGCAUAUAGUUAAUGUUCAUAUUAUUUAACAGAUACUAACUGCUCUAAAUUUAUUGGUUCGGAUAAUAAAAUACUUAAAAAAAUUGUACAAAAUAAUAUGAAUAUGUUAAGUUUCAUUAAAAUUAAAAUAUUAUAAAAGAGAUAUAACAUACAUAAAGUAAUCCUUAUUUUCUUUAUUUAGAAUAUUUAUUAUCAUCAUAAUUACUUGACUAUACGUCCUACGAAGAUAUUUUUUUAAAGAUAAAUAUAAAUAAAUAUUAUCUUGAAAAAAAAGGAAUAUAGCACAUUUUACACUAAAAUAUCUUGAAGUGCUAAGACUUAAGUAUACAUUUUGCUAGAAUAAUAAUAAUAAUGUAAUUUUUAGUAAACAGUUACAUGUGAAAGCGAUUUUGUGUUGGGGUUUAUAAGCUCUAGUUUUCUAAUAUUAUGAUAAUUUUUUUUUAAAUGUUUAUAUAUCUAAUGGCAACGUAUUUUUUAUAUUAUAAAUGUGUAGACUGCUUUUUCUGUUAUUAAAUAUUUUUUAAUAAUAAAGCAAGUUAGAGGCAUUCUCCGGGAGAAUGGAAGACAACCCUGUCUCAAUACGACGUUGAGGCGCCCGAGUGAGACGCCCUCUCUUCUUUGGAUUUGUGGGUUGUUUAGUGUUGACCAAAGACACUAAAUCAAUGAUAGAGGUAGAUGUUUCAGUCAUUGGGUACGCGGAGCGGAGGAGCGGAGGGUACGCGGAGCGGGGGAAUCAUUCAUAUGCUAAUUUUUUCACAACCUUCUUCUUCUCCAACUUCCCAGACAGUCAUGGGGAACGCGAUAUAUUGGAAGUGUUUUAGAAGUGGGCUAGGGUUAAGGAAGUAUUCAUAUCAAGGAGGAGGAAUAGAUGGGGAAGAAGAUUCGGGUUUGUGAGAUUUUUUGGUGUAAGAAAUGUUGUGAGCUUGGAGAGGGACCUGGACAGUUGUUUCGUUGGAAAUAUGAAGCUCUAUGUUAAUAUACCAAGGUAUAGAAGAGACGGGCUAGGAAACAAAGGAAACGCGUCUUACUAUGCUGAAGUGAAACCAUCAGGAGGUGAUGCACAGAGCAACAUAACGAGGAAGAUCAAGGAGGUUUGGAGGGAGAAAGGUGGGAAGGAAGCAAUGGUUACGAAUAGCUAUAACGUUAAGUCGUAUGCGGACGCAGUAAAAAGACCAGCACAAGGUCAGUGGAGCGGCCCAAGUAUAACAACCAGGGUGCUGUCUCUUCCUUGGUUGACUAAGAGUAUGAUUGGUCGUAUGUUGGAUGAGUUUAACUUUGAAACAAUGCGAGAGGAGUGCCUUAAGGGAGGGAUGUCUAUGUUCAAUACGAAGUUUUUGGGUGACGACCAAGUUCUGCUGUCACCUAAGGCGGAAGGAAGAAUGGAAGACCUGGUGAAAUCGCAUAAGGAGUGGUUCUACAGUGUUUUCGCAUAAAUUAAACCUUGGACUGAGCAUGACGUUGUAAGGUAUAAAAGAGUGUGGGUCAGAUGUUAUGGGUUGCCGCUCAAUCUAUGGAGCAAGGAGUGUCUAUCAAAAGUCGUGGGGGAAGUGGCUACGGUGGUGGAGAUAGAUGAAGCUACUCUAUCUUGGGACCGCUUGGAAUAUGCCUGGUGCCAGGUUAGGAUGCUAAAGUCAUGUAAAGCAGAUUUAUCCAAGGAGUUCCGUAUUAAUGGGAGAUUAUAUAAUGUCACUGUUGUUGAGGAGGCAACAAAAUCUGGUAGAAUAGACUUCUGUUGCAAGUGUGCAUUUCACAACGAAGGGUCCUCUAUUAGCUCAUCCUCAGUAGAAUCCUUUGUGGCAGACUCGCUGGUCUCUGAGAAGUUCAGCGAGGACGACGACGGUAGUGAAGCAAGGUUUGGGUGGCCGGAAAAGGUAUCUGGGGGAGGAGAGGGUAGGUCAACAACGUGUGCACCAAAAGCAAUGGAUAAGGAAUGUUCAGAACGACACGAAAGUUGUCAGCAAAAAAGUGGGCUAUUUACAACUAGAAAAGACCUGUGCACGCAGGGAGCCUUAGCGGAGAGGACUUGUGUGUCUGACACGCAAAGACGUGUCAGUGAUGCGUGUGUGGCUCUUCAUCAGUCGAUGGUGAGCUUAGUAGAGGUAGUGGAGGCAGUUAGUAAUGCUAGGCCCAGGCCCAUUAGCAUUGAAGCCCAAACCAGCGGAAAGUGCAAUCAGAAUUUUGAGAGCCACAAUGCAAAUCGCGUAUUGACUCAGACGCAGGAGUUGGGCGGUGCUGGGCGGUUGUCAGCGGCGGUGAGCACGAAGGAUGAACCCAAUACGGGCGAGGUCGUUCGAGGAGAUGCGCCCUCACAACGUAGUCAGGAAGAAAAUCAAAUCGGCGUCGCUACGAUUUGCAACGAGGUUGAAGUGGAGAAAGCAGAGGGCGGAAUGGGUAACGAGGCGGUAGGCUGUCAUCGCGGAAAGGAAGGUGGAGCUAUGGUGGAAGAUGGUAUCACACUAGAGAGAGUGCGACACUUAAGAGCACUAUUGGAGAAGGGGACCCUCACUGUUCAGCGACGGUGGAGAUCGAAGGGGGGCUUGGUGUCUCUUCAUCAAGGGAACAGUUACUCAACUAGGUUAAGUUCCAAAACUUAUGCUAUGUCAGAUUCUGAAAUUGUGGAAUGCAACAAUCGUCUUAGAAGGGAAGCCACCCAAUCGGAAGAAACUUAGAUUUGGGAAGUUGGAAAGCAUCUGGGGACAACCUGUUCUGAGGAUGCAGGCAUGUUAAUUAAGGAAAUGGAAACCUUGGAGGAUAGGGACAACCAAGUUUUGAGAAAUUUUAUGGAGGGUGACAGAGGAGGUAUCCCAUGAUAGUUAUCAGCCUGAAUAUUAGAGGGCUGGGGGGGUGUGAAGGCUAAGUAUCUUAGGAAUAUCAUAGGUAAGGAGGGUGCGGAGUUUGUGUGUGUGCAAGAAACUAAAUUAACCGAGUUUUCAGAUAGCAGGUGUUUCUCUUUGUGGGGAGAUAAUAAGGUGGGAUGGGUGCAUAAUGAAGGUGUGAAUGGGGCUGGAAGCACAUUAUCUAUGUGGCACAAGCAAGCCUUCCACUACGUGUCUCAUACGGUAGGGAAAGGUUUUAUUGCUAUUGUGGGGCACCAUGUUAAGUCAAACUGUUCCUGUAUUAUAAUUAACGUCUAUGUUGCUUGUAAUCCGACUGAGAAGGUGGCUCUGUGGGAGGAUGUGUCUGUUAUCAGAAGUAUUCAUCAGGAUAAGGUGUGGUGUUGUUGUGGUGACUUUAAUGCAGUCAGGUGUGCUACGGAAAGGAAAGGCAUUAAACGAAAUACAAGCAACAAAAAGGAAAUCAGGGACUUUAAUGAUUUUAUUGGAAGCAAUUCUAUGGAGGAUUUGCCUUUAGUAGGUAAGAAGUUCACUUGGUUUAAGGCAGAUGGGUCCGCAAAAAGUAGGCUGGAUAGAAUUCUGGUAUCCGAAGAAUGGCUACAAGUGUGGCCUAUGAGCAAGCAAUACAUACAAACAAGGGAAGUUUCAGAUCAUUGUGCAAUAGUAGUGAAAUCAUGGAGUAAAGAUUGGGGGCCAAAACCUUUCAAGUCUAUUGAUGCAUGGCUAUUGGAGCCCGGGUUUAAGGAUCUGGUGAGGGGACAUGGGGAUCUUAUGAGGUGCUGGGCGACAAUAUAACAAAAGUUAAAGAGAAACUCAAACUUCUAAAGCUGGAUCUUAAAGAGUAGAAUAGGAGUGUGUUUGGGAAUCUUGAGGACGAAAAGCGCAGGAUAUUGAAGGAGAUUGAGGAUAUUGAUGUCAAGGAUGGUGUAUCUGACUUGGUGGAGGGUGAAAAGUUGAGAAGAUUGGAACUUGUAAGCCAGCAAAAAUUGGUAGAGAAAAAGAUGGAAUCCCUUUAUAGGCAAAAAGCCAGGUCCAACUGGUUCAAAUAUGGGGACUCUAAUUCUAAAUUCUAUCACACUACUAUAAGAUGGAGAAGAAUCAAGAAUGAAGUUAAAGGAGUUGACUUAAAUAAUCUAUGGUGUGAGGAACCGGAGGCAGUAUGAAGGGAAGUAAAGCGAGUGUUUGAGGAGAGAUUUAAGGCCACCCCUGAUCUAGGGUUUAGGGUUUAGAUCUCUUCUUGAAGAGGUAAGCCUGAGAAUGAUUGAGGUGUUCUCCGAGGAGGAAAUCAGGGAGGCGGUGUGGAAUUGCGAGGGGACUAAGAGCCCGGGCCCAGAUGGUUUUAAUUUCAACUUUAUUAAAGCUAAUUGGGAGACCCUAAAGGAAGAUGUUAUGGGAGCAGUACAUAGUUUUCAAGAGACAGGGAUCUUGCCGAAGGGGUGUAACGCGUCCUUUAUUGCUCUAGUCCCAAAGGUAAAGGAUCCAACUACAAUUGAUCAGUACAGACCUAUCUCUCUUGUGGGAGCUAUGUAUAAGAUUAUGUCCAAGGUCAUGUCGAAUCGGAUCAAAAUUGUUCUACCUAUGGUCAUUGAUGAAAACCAAUCAGCCUUCAUGCAAGGAAGGGGGCUACUAGAGAGUGUUCCGGUGGCUAAUGAGGUGAUUGAAGAUGUACGAAGAAGGAGGAGGAGGGGUGUGUUCUUGAAGGUGGAUUUCGAAAAGGCAUAUGACUCGGUCAAGUGGAGUUUCCUGUUGGAUAUGUUAAAUAGGCUGGGGUUUCAUGUGAGAUGGAUCAAGUGGGUGCAAGGCUGCUUAGAAUCAGCAACAGUAUCUAUUCUGGUCAAUGGAUGUCCGACAAAGGAGUUUAGACUGACUAGGGGUUUGAGGCAAGGGGAUCCCAUGGCUCCGUUCCUGUUUCUUGUUGUGGCGGAAGGUUUGGCGGGCCUAGUACGUUCUGCGUCUAAGGAAAACCUUUUAAGAGGAGUGAAAGUGGGGAGAAAUGAGAUAGAGUGUAGCAUGCUGCAAUUUGCGGACGACACACUCUUUAUGUGUGAAGACUCCUUCUCUAAUGUGUUUACCAUUAAGGCAAUUCUUAGGAUGUUUGAGCUGGCAUCUGGACUCAAGGUAAACUUCCAUAAAUCUAAGUUGGCAGGUAUCAAGGUUGGUAGGAGCUCGCUAGAAACCUACGCAAGAAGUCUCAAUUGUGGAUUAAUGCAGGUUCCUUUCAAGUACUUGGGUUUAAAAGUAGGUGGGAAUCCUAGGAGAACGCAAUUUUGGAAGCCAGUGGUGGAAAAAGUUAAAGCUAGACUUAGUACUUGGAAAGGGAAAUGCUUGUCACUAGCAGGUAGAGUUUGCUUGGUUAAAUCGGUCCUAACAUUUGUUCCUCUAUUCUACUUGUCCUUAUUUAAAGCGCCAGUGUCAGUAUGUAAGACGAUUGCAAGUAUUCAAAGGAGGUUUGUAUGGGCAUAGGGGGCGGAAAAUAAACGUAUCUCGUGGGUCAGCUGGGGCAUUGUGUGCAAGCCAAAGGAGGAAGGGGGUUUAGGAGUUAAGGAUGUUAGAACGUUUAACUAUGCCUUACUAGCAAAAUGGAAAUGGAGGAUGCUGACUGAGGAAGAAGGGAAAUGGAAGGAGAUACUAGUCUCUAAGUAUGACUGGGAGGGAGCAGGACAUGAAGUGUCUAACAAUUACUACUCCUGGUGGUGGAAAGACCUAUCUAGGGUUACUGGUGAGGGGGAGGGGACAGGAUGGUUCCACAAGUCGAUAGGUUGGAAUGUUGGAGCAGGGGAUAAGGUCAGGUUCUGGGAAGAUGUUUGGUUGGAGAACAGCGAGCUCAAAGUGUUGUUUCCUAGGUUGCAUUCGGUUUCGCUGGACCAAGGUAAGGUGCUGGGAGAAAUGGGUGUUUGGGAGGACAAUGGGUGGAGCUGGAGGCUAAGGUGGAGAAGGUCCAGGUUCGCAUGGGAAAGUGUGAUGGAGGAAGAGUUGCUUAGCCUUAUUAUGAGAAAGACCCCGCGCAAAGAUAGAAAGGAUGUUUUGAUAUGGAAUGGAGAACAAGAUGGUGAGUUUUCUGUGAAGUCCGCCUACUCUAUUUUGUGCAGUCUAGCAAAUAAUGAAGUGCAAGACACUUUUCCUUCACUCUGGCAAGCUAUAGCUGUCCCUAAAGCGCUGUAUACAGCUUGGAGAAUCCUGAUCGAGAGACUUCCAACCUAUGACAAUUUGAUCCAGAGAGGAUUGGCUGUAUGCUCUUCACUGUGUGUGUUCUGCAAGGAAACGCAAGAAACAACACAACACUUCUUUAUAGAAUGUGCCUAUGCGCAGAGGGUAUGGAUCCUAUGUUUCAGAUGGUUUGGCAUCACACUUGUGCAGAAUAAGGAUAUUUUAAUACACUUCGAGAGUUUCUAUCUGCCCCAUCUGAGUGUUAAACAUAAUCAAAUUUGGAAGGGUGUUUGGGUUGCUAUUGUUAGAAGUAUGUGGGACCAAAGAAAUUUGGUGGUGUUCAAGCAGGGGACAGCUGAUGUAGAAUAGAUUGUUCACAUAGCCCAACUGUCAGUGUGGCUCAAGCUGAAGUUUGGGACAAACUCCUUCAACUAUGCUUUUUCGGAUUGGGUUCUAAAUCCAGGUGUGUGCAUGCAAAGUUGCUAGUUGGACGGCAAGGGCCUGUAUACUGAUAUUUAAGGUGUGCAGGUUUUGGUUGAAGGUAUACAGACUUCAUACCAGUUUGGAGUUCGGGUGCAGCUCAAGUUUGAUUUAUGCAGCUGGUCAUACCAGUGGUACCAUCUGUGGGGGGGAUGAGCAGGGGUGCGGUUGACGUCUGGGGGAUGAAGGGGACGGUUGCUGUCAGGACACGCAGCUUUAAUGGGUGCUGGUAGGAUGUGCUAUGCUGGUUUGGGUGAUUCUGUUAGGGGCUAUGUGUUGUAUGCUUUGCAGGUUUGGGUGACCCUGUUAACGGGUGCUGUUAAGAUGUGCUAUGCGUGCAGUCCCCACGGUCAUCAAGUGAAUCUGAUGGUAGUUGCGACAACUCAAGGAAGUUGAAGCCUAAGUCCAUCUGGGGUUUGGGCAUGCUGUUCGGAGGGCAUAUUUGAAGAUGAGGUGUCCAGGGAAUAGACUUAGGAUGAAGGAGGAAUGUGUGUUGCUGGAUCGUGUCUGCUUUGGCCAAAACAACCUCAAGCUGCACAUGCUUAAGGCUGUGUAUUGAGGGUCUACAGAUGCUUAAGGCUGUGUCUUUAGGGUCUACAGAUGUAAUCCAAAUGGCCAAUUUUGCUUCUGAAGAUCAUUACCACUAUGCUGUAGUAUUGAAAUAUGAACACCUGGGGUUUGCUUAUAGUAAUGACUGGGAUUACCGUGGGUUUUUGGUCUUAAACAAGAGGUAGAUGGAUUUUUCAUGGGUUAAAGGGAUGGGAGGGAGUUGCUUUUACUAUAUGCAGCAGUAUGUUUUCUGCUGGUGUCUGUGCUGAUCAAUUUUUUCUGGUUUGGGAAGCCUUUGUACUUUAUGGUCUUUAGUGUUAAGUGCCCCAUUAACUCUGAUUUGUAUUGUUGUUUGUUUAAACUAUGAGGGUAUUAUAUAUAAGGGUUGAGACACCCCUUAAGUGUCUCAUUUUUAUUCUAUUAAUUUAUUGCUGAUAAAAAAAAAUGAUAGAGGUAGAUGUUCCUGCUCCUAUCAACUCAAGAGAAGCCUUCUAUCUCUUUAUCGCCUAUAUUUUCAAUUGUUUUAAUACAUUCAUUGAUUUGAGGACGAUGUGAGGCAUAAUUUGUGCAAAACACAAAUGAAUUAAACUCAACAUAUGAAAUAAAUAUACAAGUAUAUGAAAACGUAAUAUACCGGUCAAAUUGGCCCAUCGUUGGGACAACUCAUAUACGGUUAAAACUUUAUGAGUAGGGAGCCUAUUUGGAAGUUGAUCAAACACAUGAAAAAAUUCUUUAUCUUGAGAGUCAUGGAGGACCUUGGUCAAGAUGCAUAACGGGUGGGCAUCUGGGUCCAAUGAAAGGGGAAUUUUGUUUUUCCCUCCGAGUCAUAGAAAAAUGGCUUACCGUCCGGCUCAACUAAUAUUUUGAAGUAUCUCUCCUUGGAAUUUUUAUAGGACGAGGUGAAUGGAGUGAAAAGAAUGUCGCGGAGGACGAGCAGGCACGUACAGUAAAUCAAAAGUGGAGUGUGAUAACUGUCAUAAACGCGACCAUUAUGCAAAUGAGUGUAGAUUAAAAGGUGAUAAUCAUGCUGCCAAUUGUGCUCAAGAAGAUAGUAAUCACGAACAAGAUGAAGAGGAUAAUGCAAUACUAAUGGCAACCACAUCAUAUGAAACUCCAUACAAUCAGACUUGGUAUUUGGAUACAAGUUGCACGAAUCAUAUGUUUGGUCAAAAGGAGUUGUUUGCAUAUUUGGAUGACUCAUUUCGCACAAAAGUGAAAUUCGGUGAUGGCAGGUUCGUUCCGGUGACUGUAAAAGGGCGAAUUCUUGUCACAUUGAAGAAUGGUGAUCACAGGUACAUCUAUGAUGUUUUCUAUGUACUUGAUAUGAAAAGUAAUUUGUUGAGUAUGAGACAACUGGCCAAAAAAGGUUACGUGAUGCACAUAGUUGAAAAUCAAUUCUCAACUUAUGAAAAUCAAUUCAUAAGUUAAGAGAUCUAUUGGGCAUGAAGGUUGUUCCAAAUCAGAAUUAAGUGAGGAUGUUGGUUAUUAAUUCAGAUUUUAUUUCCCUUAAAUUAUUUACUAUUAUUAUUACAUUAGUGGUAAAUUUAUAAACUAUUAGUAUUCUUAUUUUAUAGCUUUCCGUAUUUAUAAUUUUAUUAUAUAUAUUAUUGAAGUAAUUCAAAAUGUAUAUAUGAGUUCAGCAGUUUUGCAAAUUCGUGCAAUUACAUUCAAUUAAUUUCUACAACUUUUUACCUUUUGUUAUUUCCUUCUAUUAGUUUCUACAAAAAUGCGUUGUUGGUUUUUUUUAUAUAUACAAUAUAAACAUAGUCCAAGACAACUUUCAUAUUUUAAAGGAAAGAAUAAUCUUGUGUAGAAGAUUCUGCUGACUGUGUACUCAUUAAAAUCCAAGAGCAUAAAAAGUUCAUGUGAAAGUUCAUUCUCAGCAAGUGCAUUGCUUGUCAUCAACUUGGUUAGUUGUUUCUAAUUGAGUGUAAUUCUUUUGUAGAGAUUAUAAGCUUCAUUAAUGCAUUGUCUAACUCAUGAAUCAAUGCUAACUAUUUUAAUCAAUGCUAACUAUGAAAAUUAUUACUUAACCUGAUUAACAUAUAUGUUAUUGAUUUCACUAAUUGUAUAUCUCUCUACCUUUCUCUUCUUAAUUAUACAAAAUCAAAUCUCUAAUUUUAGUUGCUUGUUCAAUCUAUUUAAUGGGGCUACAUUUGCAGUUGUUAAUACCGUAUUUAGUUUAAACGAUUAGUCAAAAUUUUAAACUACAAUAAUAUAUUAAAGUACUUUGUAAGUGCCAUAAUUAAGGGAGAUUUUAUGAAAAAAAAAAUUAAAUAUUUAUGUGUCGAUCAAAUUAUAAUUCAACCUUAAUUUGAGACAUUUGAAUAUAGUAAUUUGAAUCUAGAUAAUAAACUUUUAUAAAAAAAUUUCAGACAUACACUCACUAUUUUUCACCUUUCUCUCACACAUUUCACUCCUACAAUUCUUACUUUCAUUCUCCUUUUUCACCUUUCUCUCACACAUUUCACUCCUACAAUUCUUACUUUCAUUCUCCAAUCCAAAAUCCAAGCACAAGCACAACCUUAAAGAAUAGAUGAAUUAAAAUUCUUUGAGUGAUUAUGAAUGGUCGAAAGCCCUAGUCAAAAUCGUUUUCACCUCAAACUGUUUACUAAUAGGUAGACUAUGAACUUCGAUUAAACUAAAUUUUCAUAAAGGAAUCUAACUCAAUACACGUAUUUUUAUUUUUGUUAUGACCAUCACUAUAACCAACGAAUUUAUGCACUUAAUACAUAAGAAUGUUUUUAUUAACCAACCCUCAACAACAUCAAGUAUAUUGUAUUCACCCGCAGCCAAUUAGUUAAUAAUAAUCUUGAUUGCUGAUUGGAUAAGCAACUAUAAUCAUUCAUGAUUGUACUGCAUCAUCAAUACUCAUAAUUAGCAAUGAAAGAUCAAGCUUUUGUGGUUACAGAAACAGUGACAAAUCACCCCAUUUUCAUUUAUUUUCAUUUAUCAGUGUUAACAAAAAAAGAGAAAUAAUGCUAAAAUUUUAAUGUUGUAUAUAAUUAUGUUGGAUUUAAAGGGUUAGUGUAUCAUUAUUUUUAAGAGUAAGAUAGAACACUGUUUUUAUGAGUAGAGGAACAAGUAUGAGUAAGAUGAAACACUGUUUUUAUUUAAAGCAUAGAUGCAUCAUGCAUCACAAUGCACGACCAUACAACAUGACCACCUUUCACAGGCAUACACAUUACUUGGAGAUUGCCCUAGGCAUGGCCAAGAAGCCUUUAAGUGCAUCAGAAUCAGAGUUGAAGCACCAACCAUAAUCCAUAUAGUGAUUGGGAUAACGAGCACAGAAGUUUCCACUUCCUUUCUUCAUGCAUUCUUCAUGAAACUGACAUAAGUUGGGAUGUUCAUCUAUCAUCUUUGCCGCAGCUGAAAGUCCAGUUGGAUGAAUGCAGGAACCAAUAAAUAGUCCAUAAGGAACACAGCGACAGUCACUUGAUCCACAUGGUGGCAUCUCAAACGGUGAACAAACACCUGAACAAACUACAGCUUCUAUCUUCUUCAUCGAAAACAUCACUGAAAAUGAAAUUUCAAAGUCAGAACAAACCAAAUAUGCAUAAUAAUUUUGUGUAGAUCAUAUAUAAACAUAAACGAUGACGAAUGGGAAUUUUCAUACUGGAAGUGGCAAGCAAGAAGAGAACCAAAGGAGCAACCCUAGCAUAACCCAUUCUUUGAUUUUGCAGAUUUCUUAUUCUCAGUUUUGAGUUUUGUGGUGUGUUGGAGUCUCUUCUUGUAACUAUUUAUAGGCAUUAGUCCACUGUUUUUUUUUGUCUAUUUAUAGAUCACUAAAAGAAAACAAUAAUAUAAAGGUAAAAACUAUCAAAUUUUAAUUAUUCAACCGAAAAUAAUAUGCAAAAUUUUAAUUAACUAAAAUUUAUAAAUAAGUUAUUUAAUUUUCUUAUUUUUUUUAUAAAUAAAGAUAAAAUUAUGAAUUCAUAUUUUUAUCAUUUUAAAAAAUUAAUAUUUUUUUUUAACAUCUAUUAUAUACCCUACAAAUUUUAAUAAAUUUUUCUUACAAAAUUUAAGAUUUUUAUCAUUUUAAAAAUAUUAAAAUUUUCUAAUAUCUAUUAUAUCACUUAUAAAUUUUAAUAGAUUUUUCUUACAAAUUAACUUUUACUAUCUUUCAAUUUUUCUCUAUAAAACUAUUUCAUAUUCAUUACCUCUUUCAGUCAUCUCAUCCAUAAUCUUAACACACUGUAAAACAAUUCUGGUAGGGUACACUUGCCUAUUCUGGUUUUGCUUAGCUGUCUCACUAAAAGAGAAUAAAUUAAUAAUAUAAAUGAACAAAUUAUAAAAUUUAAUUAAUCAACCGAAAAUAAUAUACAAAAUUUUAAUUAACUUAAAUAUAUAAAAAAAUUAUUUCACUUUUUAAUUAUUUUUAAAAAUAAAAAUAAAUUUAUAAAUUCACAGUUUUAAUAUUUUAAAAAAAAAUAAAAAUUCAUUCACAUUUAUUAGAUUGCUGACGGAUUUUUUAUUUAAUUUUUUAUAAAUUUUUCUACAAAUUCAUUCUAUAUCUUAAUCCAAAUAAUUUUGCAUUAACUUAAUUUUUUUCUUAUUUUUUUCUCGAAUUACUUAAAAUUCAUUUCUCUAUUCAUACAUCUGAUCCAUAAUCCUAACACACCAUAAAGCAUCUGAUCCAUAUUCAUUUCUCCUCUUCAUUGAUUGAUUUAUCUGUCAGAUUUGUUACUAAUUGCUCCUCCAUAAAUGUAUAUAAAAAUAAUUUAAUAUGUAUCUUACUGUCUUCUUGCUGCAAUAAGAAUUAUUUCCGACAGCAAUUAUUUCAAGCAAUCACGGAAAUUUAUUGGUACAAUUUUGUUUCGUUCUACAUAAAUGAAUAAAUUUUUAAAAAAAAUUAUAAAAAUUGGUAACUAGUGGAAAGAAGUCGUGAUUUAGCUCCACUUAUAAUUUUUUCGAUUUUCCAUUUUUUUUUUCUCCAUUUUUUUAAUUUUUUAAUUUUAGUGAAAUAACAUCAACUAUUUUUUUAUUUUUAUGUUAUUUUUAAAAUUGUGUAUUUAAUUAUUUGUAAUUUCAUAUAAUUUUUUAUUAUAAUUUAAAUAAAUAUUUAGUUACUUUAAUUAAUUAACUUUUUAAAUAAUUUACAGGCAUUACUCCUCUGUUGUUUUUGUUCAUCUUCCCAUUAUGCUGUGUUUGUUUCAGCGGUAUUACUGAUGAGACGAACACUUAAAUUAGGGUUCUUUUAUUUCAUUGUUCUUUGGAGAAUAAAAAACUUAUUCUUAAAAUUAUUUAUAUAAAAAUUAAAAUACUCCUAAAAUACUUCAGUAUUUUAUUCUUUUAUUAGUGAUAUGAAAAAAAUUUCAUUGUCCAUAUACAUACUACAUGCAUAAGAAGUUGACUGAAAGUAAUAUAUUGAAGUAAUUGAUUUUGAAUAUUUUAUAUUAAUUUUAAGAUGAAUAAAGUGUUGAAAGUGUCUGUGAUUGAGAAUUGAAAGUGUUUCAAAGAUAAAAUAAAUGAGUUGAACUAUUUUUGAAUAUUUUGUUGAAUUACUAAAAUGAGAUGUUUGUUGAGUAGUGGUUGUUUGAUUUUAGAUGAUGAAUGAUUUAGAGAGCAUAUAUUUGGAACUUAGUUAUGUAUUUAAGUGAAUUUUUAUAUAUAUUUGGAUUGUUUAAAAAGUUAAAAAUAUGAUGUGAUUGAAUGGUGGGAGUAUUAAUGUGUUAAAUGAUGUAUGUAAUGAGGUGAAAGUGUGAUCAAGAUAUAGUAUUUUCAGGAAAGGAAAUACCGUGUUGAGAUUUUGUUAGGAUGUAUUGAUUUGUCAGACCCGUAAUGAGACAUCCUGACUCUACUAAUAUAAUGGAUUCACAUAGAUGGAGUUAUUCAGUUGAUGAGAGUCGAUGGAGGUUUAUAUGACUUUGUCUGCGGUUUGAAAUAUAAUCUGGUCUUUCAUGUCAUAUGUGUUGAAGAUGGAUGAAGCCUCUUCUCUACCUAGUGUUAGUGUGUGUUUGAUGUAGAAAAAUAGCUAGUUUGUUGUAAUGUUUGUAAUAGGUUUAGAUGAUCUUGUAUGUAGGCUUGUAUUUGUGUAAGGUUGCCUUUUGCUACAUGAUCCAUCCUAGAUGCCUAACCAAGCCUAGAUCAAGCACAUGAUGUGGUUAAAUGGUUUUUGAAAAGCUUUUUAAAGUGCUCUUAAAAGUUUUAAAUCAGUACACAAAUAAAUCUGUUUUUUGGAGAAAGAAUCGGUUUAUUUCUUCUCUGUUAGAAGGCUUUUCUAAAAUUUUGAUAAAACACCACAGGUAAAGCUUAGUUAGUUAUUUCAGUUAAAGCUGAGCUGGCCUACUUGCUAUCAUUUAAUAUGUUUCACUGUGAAAGAACAGGUUUAUUCUUUGGUCAGCUGAAAGGUUUUUCACAAGUUAGUUAGGGCACCAAAGGUACAACUCAGNNNNNNNNNNNNNNNNNNNNNNNNNNNNNNNNNNNNNNNNNNNNNNNNNNNNNNNNNNNNNNNNNNNNNNNNNNNNNNNNNNNNNNNNNNNNNNNNNNNNNNNNNNNNNNNNNNNNNNNNNNNNNNNNNNNNNNNNNNNNNNNNNNNNNNNNNNNNNNNNNNNNNNNNNNNNNNNNNNNNNNNNNNNNNNNNNNNNNNNNNNNNNNNNNNNNNNNNNNNNNNNNNNNNNNNNNNNNNNNNNNNNNNNNNNNNNNNNNNNNNNNNNNNNNNNNNNNNNNNNNNNNNNNNNNNNNNNNNNNNNNNNNNNNNNNNNNNNNNNNNNNNNNNNNNNNNNNNNNNNNNNNNNNNNNNNNNNNNNNNNNNNNNNNNNNNNNNNNNNNNNNNNNNNNNNNNNNNNNNNNNNNNNNNNNNNNNNNNNNNNNNNNNNNNNNNNNNNNNNNNNNNNNNNNNNNNNNNNNNNNNNNNNNNNNNNNNNNNNNNNNNNNNNNNNNNNNNNNNNNNNNNNNNNNNNNNNNNNNNNNNNNNNNNNNNNNNNNNNNNNNNNNNNNNNNNNUGGAUGUAGCUCUGUAUGAGUGAACCAGUAUAAAAACUUGUGUGCCUUUCUUCUCAUCCCUGCACUCGUUUCUGGUUUUGCUUAUUUCUGUCAAGAACUAAAUCUGUUCUUUUGAAAUUGAAUCUGUUAAUUCUAGGUUUAAUAAAAACUGUUCUUCCUGAUUUGUUAAAGCUCUCUAAUCACAAUCAAUGCAGUUGUAUAUGCUGUUUUAAUUGAUCUGAAAACAAAUUGUCUAUUCAUUAAAACCUGAGAAAGGUUUAUUCUCAUUAAAACCUUGUGUUGAAUGAAGUUGAUUGAUUUCUUGGCAUAGCUGUAUUCUUCAUACUCAUAAAAUCCAACUAAUCUGAUUCUGUUAUAACCCUCUGUUGUUUACAAUUCUAAUUUGAACAAAGUCAAAUUGUGCUAGACUGCUCUGAAGAAUCCAUCUGUUUUGUGUAAAAACAAUAUGUUCUCUUUGUCUCUGAUAUACUGGAAAUUGUGUGUUCUUGCGAAAAUUUUAUAAGCUCAAUUCACCCCUCCCCUCUUGAACUUAGACACUAAUAGACCCAACAAUAUGAACUUACCCUGUAAUAUGAGAUGAUGAGAUGAUGAACUAUUGAGAUGUUUAUGCGCAUGACUAUGUGGAUUCACAGCUAGUAGUAUGACAGGUGCAGGUCUCAGGAUUCUAAUUUCAAUACACAAGUCUUUCGGAAGUGGAGUCAAGUGUCUGAGUAUGUGAGUCAGUAGAAAUCUGGCAUAAGUAAUGUGGAUGAUGAACGUGAUAAACACUUGAUGAAAUUGUGAAAAUGUGUGAAUACUGGUGAUUUAUGUUGAUAUUUAAUCUUUUAUAUUUAAAAUUUUAAAAAUAGCUAGUUUACCUUAUGCUUUCUUUUUUGUUUGUUUUCUUUAAUCAAUCUGUGAUGAUAGGGAGCAGAUGAUGUUGCAGGUAAUAGAGCUCAUCAGUGAACAAUCAGAGGAGGAUGAGAUGCUUUAUUUUGGAUGUUUUUUUAAAAAAAAAACUUUUGUGUAUAUAUAUUAAAAUUCUUAAGAAGAGGGAAAUAUUUUGAGAUACAAAAAAUGAGAAAGUAGUAUAUGUUUAUAUGUUAAUUAGAUAUUGCAUGUAUAAUAUAUUAUCAAAUAUGGGUAAAAAUAGGGAUGUUGUCCCAAACUUUAUUCACACUUUCUUCUCAAAUUCACACACUUUCACUCUAUCACACUCUCACAUUUCCAUUUCACAAUCCAAAUAAAAUAUAAGAAAAAAAAUUAAUAAUAUAAAUGUAAAAAUUAUAAAUUUUUUAUUAUUCAAAUGAAAACAAUAUAAAAAAAUUUAAUUAACUUAAAUUUUUAUUAAAAAAUUAUUUUAUUUUAUGUUGUAAUUAUUUUAAAUAUAAAGAUAAAGUUAUAUUUUUAACAUUUAAAUUUUUUUUUUACACAUAUCAGACUCAUAAAUUUGAAUAAAAUUUCCUCAUUAAUUUACUUUAUAUACAUUAAUCCAUACAAAGUUAACUUUUUUUUUCAUAUUUACCUCUGAAAUUCACUCUUUCUAUUAGUCAUUAAUCUCAUCUGUAAUCAAAGCAAGUCUUGUGCUAUACAGUUGGCCUUCUGAUUCAUUGAUUCGUAAUGAUUCAAAGCUUCUUCAGUCUUUUCAGUUCUUCCUUUUUCAUGCAAGCUGUUUGACAGCAAUUAUUUCCAAAAAACAUUAGAAAGAUGGUAACUAGUGUGAAUAAAAGUCGUGAUUAAGUACCACUUCUAUUUGUUUUCGUUUUUCAAUUUAUUUUUGGUUUUUCCGUUUCCAUUCUUCUGUUUUUCAAUUUUUUUGCUUUUAAUUUUAGUGAAAUAAAAUAAAUUACAUUUAAUUUUUUAUUAUUUGUAAUGAAUAAAAUUUAUUAUUAUUAUUAUUUACUAUGGGAAAUUGUGAUGUUUACUAUAUCUCACUCGAACACUUCAAUUAUUAUAUUAGCUCUAGUUUGAAUGUAUAGAAGUUAUAUUAUUAUUUUUAUUAUUAUUCUAGCAAAAGUACAAUGUGUGCUUAAUUUUUAGCACUUAAAAAAUAUCUCAGUGUUUAACGUGUUACAUUCCUUUUUCUCAAUAAUUUUUUUAUUUAUAUUUAUCUUUUAAGCAAUAUCUCCAUAAGGCUUAGUCAAAUAAUUAUGAUAAUAAUUAAUGUUCUAAAUAAAAAAAAUAAGGAUUACUUUAUCAUAUAUUAUAUGAUUUUUUUAAAAAUAUUUUAAUGAGAUCUAAAUUUAUAUAAGUUUUUUAAGUACUUUAUUAUCAAGUAAAUACGAAACAGUUAAUAUUCAUUAAAUAAUAUAAACAUUAACUAUAUGCAGUUAUUUUUAUAUUUUUACUGAUAUUGGGUGAUAAUUACCUCAAACAUAAUCAUAACUAUGCCAGGAAUAAAGAUAAUUUAUUUAUCAUAAUAAGGAAGAUAGUACACUUUUUCAUGUAAACAUAUUUGAUAUAUUUUCACGUUUCACAUAACUUUCUGUGCAUGUGCAUGAUAGAGUAUAAGAAUGAAAAAUGAUGGUGACUUAUAUCACUCUUUCAUUCUCAAAUCACCACUUUUUUCACAUAAUUACGAUUAGUCUCAUAAAAUUUUAGAACAGAGAAAAUGACAAGACUAUAAAAAAUAUUAGCAGUGCAGGCCAUGAUUAGACCAAGCAGUGAAAGAGAUUCUCCUAUUUAGGGUAAAUCAAUUACGCACAUGAGCUAGUCACUGAAAUACAUUGGGUAGAAUAAAAUAUUUUUGAGGGGAUUCUCCCAUUUAGGAGAAAAUAAUUAAAAUAAAAUAAAAAUAAAAAUUGGUUUAUCUAUAAGUUUAAAUUAGUUUAUGUUUUAGUAAAUAGUAGAUUGUAUGAUUAUGUGAGUAAUAACUUAUGGAUAUUUCAUACAUUACUUUCCUUGUUUGGAUUCAAUAAUUGAAAAUGUGUUUGUUGGUUCAUGUUUUUUAUAUAUACAAUGUAAUAACUUUCAUAUUUUGCAGGAGAGAAUAAUGUUGUGUAGAAGAUUCUGCUGACUGUGUACCCAUCAAAUCCAAGAGCAUAAAAAGUUCAUUCUCAGCAAGUGCAUUGCUUCUCAUCAACUUGGUUUGUUGUUUCUAAUUGAGUGUUGUUUUAAAUAUUAGCUUAUAAAUAUUUGAAAACUUGCAUGUAUAAGAUUUUGAUAUCAAAAUGAGUAGAUCUUGAGAAAGUUUCAUGUACGUAAGAACAUUCUGAUAUCAAAUGAGUAGAUAUUGAAUUAUAUUAAGUUAAAUAGACUACUUUAUUCGUAUUUCUAUAUUUCUAUAGUUAUAUGAUUCCAUUACGCACUCCACUGUUAUGUCGAAAACCAAAUGAUAUUUUGGUAUUCCAGUCGAUUCAAACAUGAACCACACUAAAAAAAAUAACUCGGCAUUUGGACACAAUGUAACUAAUCACAAUAAUCACUUCCUAAAUAAGCUCCUGAACAGGAUUAAAAGAGUAUUAGGUUUUUAUGUGAGAUAAUCCUCAAGCUCAUAGUAAACUAUAAAUAGAUGAGGAUCCAAAGGAAAAAAAGUAAUGUUUUUCUGAUUAUAAUACUCAUAAUCUAGACAUAUUCACCGUUGACUUGAGCAUCAGAGUGUCUUUACAAGUACCUAUCACCGAGAGACUGGAGUUUUGAUAGAGGAAAUCUAAUCUUGUUGAACCGUGUAAGAACAUUUUUGACGCACACCGUGGAGCUAGAAGAAAAAUCUAUUGAGAAACCACAUGGUAGCUACUAGAAGCAUGAUGGAAAGCGAAAGACAGGUGGUAGAGGAAGAUCACCGGAUAAACUCGCUGACAAUAGUGUUAAAGAUGAAAAGGGAGUUGCAAAGACUGAAAAGGAAGAACACUAGGGAGUUGGAAAGCCUGAAAAGGAAGAACGAUGAGCUCAGGCAUUUGCAGAACUUGUUGAUGGGGUAGUCGAUGCGAAUAGUAAUGUUAAAGCUCUUGAUAUAAUGUCUGAGUCUUAGGGUCGAAAAAACUAAGGCAAGGAUGAGCUUAUCAAUGACUUGAUAUCUUUCUUCAGUCGAUUGUAGAGUUUUGCUAGUGAAAUAUACAUAUAGAUGUUUCUUGCCUUCUUUAUAGACCAGAACUAAACGUAUUGCCGAGUAUGAUACUGCCAAAGAGAGAAUAAGAGUAGAAUGUGGAGGAGGGCUUACCAAAGUUUGCAAAGAAACAAUAUCUCCCUUAAGUUUGAAUCUCUUCAGAUUGUUGGUUCCACUCGAAUUUUGUUACUCCCUUUAAUAACGGGAAUAAUGGUUUUGACUUCUCGACGAACUUGGGAGUAAACCUGAAAAGGGAAACAAGCUUUCCGUUUGGCUAUUGGAGUUCCUUGAGAUUACUUUGACUCCUUGUGCUCAAAAUGGCUUCACAUUUAUCGGGAUUGACUUCAUAUGCUAUUUGUGUAAUCAUGAAAACAAGAAAUUUUCUGCCUCCAACCAAAAAUGCAAUCUUCAAGGUUAAGGCGCAUGUUAUGUGUUCAGAUUUGGUUGAACACCUUCUCUAUAUCGAGUGGGUGGUUCUCUAUGGAUGUUGACUUGAUCGCCAUGUCAUCUACAUAAAAUUUCAUGGUGGAACCUAUGAGAUCCACAAAAACUUUAUCCAUUAAACGCUGGCGAGUGGCACCAACGUUUUUUUAGGCCAAAUGGAAUGACCUUGUAAUAAAAGUUGGCGCCUUCAGUCAUAAAUGUUGUUUUGUCAUUGUUAUGAAGAUACAUUCUAAUCUGGUUGUAUUUAGAAUAAGCGUUGUGAAAACAUAGGAGCUCAUGUUACGACCUGUUAUUAAUCAGCCGAUCAAUACUUGGUAAAGGAUAUGUGUCUUUUGGGCAGACUUUGUCUAAAUAUGCAUAGCAUAUACAUAUCUUCCACUUACCAUUGGACUUCUUUACCAUCACCACAUUCAACAACCAUGUGGUGUAAACAAUCUUUCUGAUGAAGUCGACCUUCAAUAGUUUCUCGACCUCUUGAUCAACUGAUUGACGUCUUUCUUCAUUGAAUUUACAUUUUCUUUGAGCCAUUGGAUUUUCUUGAGGUAAAAUAGAAAGCUUGUGGCACAUGAAAUCUAGAUCAAUGUCAGGCAUGUCAGAUGGGCUUCACGCGAACAAAUCAACAUUGUUGAGGUGUACUUGUUUUAUCUCAUUCCAUAGUACUCGGCGAAUAGUUUUCCCAACUCGAGUGAUUUGAUUGGGGAGAGAACCGAGUUAUACAUUGAUCAUCAGUUCAUCAAGGUUGGGUUUAUUUUCUUUUUGGGAUCCAGGUCAACUUCCUCGAUUUGUUCUUCAUGUUCAUCCUUUACAUGAUGUGUUUCCUCUAUGUUGAAAACUGGUCGAGGAACAUCGUGUUGGUCAGGGACCAUAAUGAUAGACUUCAUUUGUGUUGUACUACUUGAAGUUGAGGCCUUCAUCAAAUAAGGUGUUAGUCAUGAACUAUGUGCGUAUCAUUCCUAAAGUGUCUUUGUUUUUUUUUUACAAUCAUAAUUGUCAUUUUCUACUAGAAACUUCAUGGUCAUGUGUAGUGUCGAUACGACAAUGCAUGCCGAGUUGAUUGAGAAUUUGGCAUCCAAUGAGCACACUAUAAGAAGUAUUGGCCUCAACCAAUAUAUACCUCACAGUUAAAGUACGAUAUGAUCCAAUAGUACCAAAAGUAGUAAGAAGGUCUAUAUACCCCUAGUGUGUACUCGUUCCCAACAAAUCCUAACAAUGGGUCCGAAUACGACUUGAUCAUAGAAUGAGGAAGAUCCAAUUUCAAAACGGUUGACCAAUAAAGGACAUCUAUUUAGCUGCCCUAAUGAAUGAGGACUUUACAAACUUGCUAGUUGAUUAUGGUAGCUGUAACAAAUAUUGGAUCAUCAUGGACGAGGUUGUUUACACAAAAAUCUUCAUUGGAGAAGGUGAUGGGAGGCAGCAAAUGAGGUGUUAAGGAGUUUAUUGAUGUGAUACUCCUAAGGUUCCUUUUUUGCCUUGCAUUUGAACUUCCUCCACUUGCGAAGCCUCCAACAAUGGUGAGAACAGUUCCUCGUACGUGAUCGAGAUUUUGAGGUUGUUCUUGCUCUUGUGUAGGUUGUAGUGUAGGAGCGAGAGGAGGAGAUAUUGUUUAAGGUGGGGUGAUGUUUCUCUUCCCCUUCCUUGAUUACCUCAUCGGAAGCCUCAACCUCUUCCUCACCAUCUCUCGCAUCCUCAUCCUCUGUCAAAUUUAUUUUUUUGCACAAAACAAUUUAAAGCACGUGACUGAACGAAAUCGAGUCACAUACUUUGUAACAUUCUUCGGAUUUUGGUGAUAGUUGUAUCUAUUGGUUGGAUCAACAUAAGUAAGUGAAGGAGCGGGGUGAAGAAGUCAGACAAGCUUUAAUGUAAAGGUGUCACGGAGAACAUCACUCUGCUAGCAUUUAAGGGUGUAUAAGUUUCAAAUAUACCAACACAUUUCUUUUUUAAAUUUUAUGGAUUGGGAGGUAAAUCUUUGUAAGUUGACUUCCUUGUUACCUUUUCUUCUAUGCUAAUAUAUCAAGCAACUAAUGCUCGGAGGUCAUCUAUGUUAAGAGGGGGAUCAACAUACAAAGUAUAUGAGAAAGGAUCGGGUUGAAGUCCAACCUUAAUCGAAUGUAUUGCCACGACCAGAUGCAGAUCAAGAAAGUUCAAAGAUGUUUUAGCAAAGUGAGUCAUGUAUUACCUUUAUGAGUCAUUUUCUCCUUGAAAAAACGUGUUUGAAUGAUGCUAAAUCGGUGACAAUGGGUUUUGGAACCGACAAACCGAGUUAUAAACCCUAUGCAAAAAAGAGGAUGAAGACGAGAAGGAAAAAAAGGAGGAAUCUCCUCAACCACCUACUAAGAAGAGGAAAUCAAAAUUAUACUGGUAUAUAAUUGUUUUGUGCCUUUGUUAGUACUUUCUAAAUGUUAGUGAAAUUUAGGUAUUAGGACAAAGGUUUACCAUCCUGGACCUGUCACCCUAUGUUGUUGUGGUUUAAUAUUAAAAUUUCUGGACGUUAUCAUUGAUGUAAACUAUUCAAACUAGGCUUGUUAAAUACUUGUCCAGUUUUUUUCUAUUAAGUUAUAUAAAUACACCCAAGAUUUAAAUAUGUUUGAUUAUUUAAAUGAGUUGAGUUCAAAUUUGAAAAUAAUAUUUUAUCAUGCUUUUGAAUACACGUCCAGGUUUGAAUAUUGAUGAAUACAUGUCUUUGAAUGCUUUUUAAUAUAUUCAGGUAUAGAAAAACAAAGUUUUCAAUACCUUUAGGUAUUGAAAAGAAAAGAAAAUUACAGUUACAUACGGAUUUUUCGGUAUGUAAUACAUAAGUAAUUACAUACAAAAAAUAUUCAUAUGUAACUUUCUGGUGAAAUUAUAUACGGAAAUAUCGGUAUGUAAGUCUAAUAGACAAUUACAUACGGAUAAAUUUGUAUGCAAUUACAUAUGGAUUUUAAAUCCGUUUGUAAAGUUAUCUAUGACAGUUUUACAUACGUUUUUUUUCCGUAUGUAAUCUGUAUGUAACUAUGCUUUAUAUACAGAUUUUAUUUCUUACAUAUGGAUUAAUGUUGUAUAUAAUACCAAAUUUUCUUAUAGUGUGUUCGAAUCUUAGCACUAUUCGAUUCUACUAUAUUUCAUGUCGAAUAACGUGAAUCUCUUCGCGUUGUUGCUCUCUAAGCUUCUGAAUCUCAGUCUAAAGUUAGGCUACUAAGAAUCCCAUGUUUUUAUCCAAUUGUUGGCGUAUCCUAAUGAUAACAUUUAGUAUUGUGGUCUCCUUAUUUAUUGUAGAAUUAAAAGCAUUAUGCACUGUAGUUUCAUUCUUUUGUGUAGCAUAAUCAAUAUAAGCUUUCAAGGCUUUUAAGAUUAAAGAAUGCAUCCCAAAUUAGGGUGUAUUAAUUGUUGUUUUCCUUAUGGUGAAUAUCAUAAUGUGGUUCUGGAAAAAUAUUACUAGGGUCCCGCAAUGGUCGCAAAAUUUUUUUUUUAAUCAGCAAAUAGCAAUGAAAUUAAAUGGGACCAUUUCAGGGGUGAUCCAACCCUUAUACAGUAAAAUGAUAUUCACAGAUUACCUUUCCAACUGCAAAUCAGCCAACAAAAUCUCCUACAGUUAAACCCAUCUCUAUCAAAAUAACAAAGAAUAACAAUGAUCAAUCCUCAUAACAAAACUAAAUUGAAUGCAUACAAACCAAAUUUCAAGUCACCAAUUUAUUUUUACUGGGCUUAAGAUUUAGUCGCCUUUGGUGGUGAAUCCGAGUUGAUCAAAUUGUCUGCUCUUUAUCUUGACAAAUUGUCGAGCUUUGAUGAUAAAAUCUGAAAAAAAGUCCACUUAUAGAAGAUUCUUCGACGCUCAAAUUAGUAAAAGUAUAAAGAUACAUGAAUAAUGAGUAAAUGAAAGUAUUAAGGGUAGAAAUACUCAUUGGAAUUGUAUAUAAAGACUUAUGACAUGUAUACAUAACUGUUUCAGUAAUUAAUAAUAAUAUUGAUUUUUACAUCUACUGAGAUAGUUAUAAUCAGGUUCGGGUGAUUACCAUUCAAUAUCAGCAAAAUAUAAGGAUAACUGCAUAUAGUUAAUGUUCAUAUUAUUUAACACAUACUAACUGCUCUAAAUUUAUUGGUUCGGAUAAUAAAAUACUUAAAAAAUUUGUAUAAAAUAAUAUGAAUAUGUUAAGUUUUAUUAAAAUUAAAAUAUUAUAAAAGAGAUAUAACAUACAUAAAGUAAUCCUUAUUUUCUUUAUUUAGAACAUUAAUUAUCAUCAUAAUUACUUGACUAAGUCCUACGAAGAUAUUGUUUUUUAAAGAUAAAUAUAUAUAAAUAUUAUCUUGAAAAAAAAGGAACAUAGCACAUUUUACACAUCUUGAAGUGCUAGGACUUAAGUAUACAUUUUGCUAUAAUAAUAAUAAUAAUAAUAAUAAUAAUAAUAAUAAUAAUAAUAAUAAUAAUAAUAAUAAUAAUGUAACUUUUAGUAAACAGUUACAUGUGAAAGCGAUUUUGUGUUGGGGUUUAUAAGCUCUAGUUUUCUAAUAUCAUGAUAUCUUUUUCUUUAAAAUGUUUAUAUAUUUAAUGGCAACGUAUUUUUUAUAUUUUAAAUGUGUAGACUGCUUUUUCUGUUAUGUAUUUAAUUAUUUCUUUGAUGAAAACUUUAAAAAUAUUCGUUUUUGUAGCUUUAAUUCUAUUAGAAGUUUUUAUGAAGACUUAUCUAAAAUAUAAACAUGAAUUAAAACUAGAACUUAUAAACAAUAGGUUGAAUCAAUUUUUCUGAUUCAUUGAUUGAUUUGUUUGUGUGUGAUCACAAUCUCCCACAACCAAAGUGGCAGUAUUUCAGUUGAGAUGUAACAGCGAGAAAGUUGGAACUGAAACCCCCUUUUAUAGCAAACUUGUAAUGAAGAAAAAAUAAGUGUGAGGGUGCAUUGUUUUUUUCUAAAGAAAAAGACUAGUUCCAAAUUUUAUAUAUCUUUCAUAACUAAUAUAUUUUCUAAAGCAAUUGAAACGAAAACAAAAAGUUUAAUAAAAUUUAAUAACAUAGAACUAUUUUUUUAUAUUUCUUCUAUUUUAGUGAUUUAAAAAGUUAAUUAAUUACUUAAAGUAACUAAGUAUUUAUUUAAAUUGUAGUAAUAAAUUAUAUCCAAAUAAAAAUAAUUAAAUACACAAUUUUAAAAAUAAAUAACAUAAAAUAAUAAAUGUAAUUAAUGUUAUUUCACUAAAAUUUAAAAAAUUAAAAAAUGGAAAAACCAAAAAUAAAUUGAAAAACGAAAGAGAAUAGUAGUGGUGCAUUUAUGACUUGUAAUCAUGUUUAUAAUAUUUUUUUAAAAAAUUUAUCCAUUUAUGAACAAACGAAACAAAACUGUACCAAUAUAUUUUCCUUGAUUGGUUCUGCAAUAAUUGCUGCCUAAAAUGAUUAUUUUUUUUGCAGUACAUAUAAAAUAACUUGCAUGAAAAAGAAGAACUGAAAAGACUGAAGAACAGAGGAAUCAAUGAACCAAAUAGGCAAUUAGAUUAUGGAUGAGAACUGAGGAUUCCAGAAAAGGAAUGUAUAAACAUUUCUGAGGAAAAUACGAAAAUAGUUAUAUUGUUUGGAUGAUAGCAAAUAAAAUGAAUUUGUAGAAAUUUUUUUUAUUAAAGUUCGUGAAUGAUUGGGAAAGAAUUUUUAACUUUUUCUAAAUGUUAAAAAGGUAAAUAUAUAAAUUUCUUUUUAUCUUUAAAAAAUAAUUAAAAAUAAAAUAAAAAAUAUUUUUUUAUAUUAUUUUCGGUUGAAUAAUACAAAUUUUACAAUUUUAUACUUAUGUUAUAAUUUAUUUUCUUUUAUUAUUAUUUUCUGUUAGUUGCAUAGGAAAAACAACGGUGGACUAAUGCCUAUAAAUUGUUACAUGCAGGAAGAGACUAACACACCACAAAACUGAGAAUAACACAUAUGCAAAAUCAAAGAAUGGCUCAUCUUAGGGUUGCUCCUUUGGUUCUGUUCUUGCUUGCCACUUUCAGUAUGUAACUAUUGUUCAUCAUUUAUGUUUAUAUAUUUGAGAAGUACACAAAAUUAUUAUACAUACUUCAUUUCUUCUGACUCUGAAAUUUGAUUUUUAGUAAUGUUUUCGAUGAAGAAGAUAGAAGCUGUAGACUGUUCAGGUGCUUGUUCACCGUUUGAGACGCUACCAUGCAGGUCAUAUGAUUGUCGCUGUGUCCCUGCUGGACUAUUUGCUGGUUUCUGCAUUCAUCCAACUGGACUUUCAUCAUCUGUGGCAAAGAUGAUUGAUGAACAUUCCAACUUAUGUCAGUCUGAUGAAGAAUGCAUCAAGAAAGGAAGUGGAAAUUUUUGUGCUCGUUAUCCCAAUCACUAUGUGGAUUAUGGUUGGUGCUUUAACUCUGGUUCUGAAGAACUUAAAGGGUUUUUGGCCAUGCCUAGAGCAAUCUCUAAGUAAUGUGUAUGCCGCUGAAAAGUGGUCAUGCUAAUCAUGCAUGGUUAUGCAUGAUGCAUCUACUGCUAUAAAUAAAAUGAGAGUGUUUCAUCCUAUACUCGUACUUAAUGAAGAAAUGAAAACGUAGUGAUAUUUUCUGCUGUAGGAAAUAUAUAAGAAAAAAUAGAGAGAAAUAGGUACUCUCGAGCUUAAAGUAGUAGCACUUAACACAUGAACAAGAAAACUGUGAAGAAGUUGUCACUGUUUCUAUAUCAUGCUCUUAGAGCUUGUGUCAUUCCAUAAAGAAAGUUCAACCACAAAACCUUGAGGUUCUCGAGCAUAGACCUCUUUCAAUGCACCAUUCAAAAAUGACUUCAUAUUUUAUUAGAAUAAUUUUGAAGAGUAAGGGAAAUUAUAAGGUUCUAAUGGUGUCUAAACUUGUAGCUGUAAUAAAUGUCUCUUCAAAAUCAAAAUCAAAAUCAAAAUCAAAAUCAACAUGGGUUGUUAUUUUUCACCUUUAUAUCUCCUUCAAAUUCUUGUUGAAAAGUAUCCUAUGCUUCCUUAACUGUUUUUCUUUUGAUGAUGAUCUUAGAAAUGAAAUAUGACUAAUGGAACUCCUAUUUCAAUCAUCCCAAAAGUUAUAGUAUAAGUGAUUUUCUUUGUUUUCUUUUCACUGUGGCUUCAAUGGCUUGCUCAUCAUAUUGUGUUUGUAUGAAAUCUGAAACAUCCAAAAAUGUAAAUGAAGUUUCAAUUUUUAUAACCCAAAAAUCAUAAUUUUCUUUUUGAAAUAAAGGAACUUUUAUAAAUAAUUGCUCUAUUUUUAUUGUCGGACGCAAGAUACAUAUUAAAUAACUUAAGUAAACUAAUUUAAAUUUAUUAAAAAAUUAUUAAUUAAUUUUUUUUAUUAAAACUAUUAUGAAUAUAGUAUAGUGUUCUUAGUAGUGUAUUUAAUGCAAAUAAUUUUUUCAUUGAUUAUCUGUUAUUCCACACUAUCAAUAGUGAAAAAGGUUCCGUACUCAGUAAUUGUAGAUUAAGAUAAAUUUAAAGACGUGUUUGGUGUGCAAGAAAAGAAAGCCAUGAAAAGACGUGAAACAUCAUAAAUAGGUGUGUCGCUAAAAAACGAUGAUAAAAAUGUAACAAAAUUAAUUUUAUUUUCUUUCUUUUAAUUUAUUCAAGUCAUGGAAAACAAAGAAGUUAGAAUUAGGAGAACCACAUAAUUCAUUAUGUGAGUUUUUUUAAGGGAUAAUGGAUUAUGUUUGGAAACUAAUUAAUUUUAUGAUUUUUUUAGUUGUUAAUCGAUUGUUUUUUAUAUAAAAAAAGAAGCUGAAGAAAUCGUUGUACUACAUCAUAAAUUAAUUUAACUUAUAUUUGUUCUAUUUUAGUUAUUUAAAAGUUAAUUAAUUAAUUAUUUAAAGUAAUUAAGUAUUUAUUUAAAUUAUGAUAAUAAAUUAUAUUUAAUUACAAACAAUCAAAUACACAAUUUUAAAAAUAAAUAUCAUAAAAAAUUAAGUGUAGUUUAUGUUACUUUACUAAAAUUAAAAAACAAAAAAUUUGAAAAACAUAAAACAAUUGAAAACCAAAAAUAAAUUGAAAAUCGAAAAGAAUAUAAGUGGUGCUUAAUCAAGAGUUCUUUCCAAAUUAUCCAUUUAUGUACAAAGAAACAAAAUUGUACCAAUGCUUCGAAAAUAAUUCGCACGAAGACAGGAAGAUACAUAUUAAAUAAUUUUUUAUAUACAUUUAUGAGGAACAAGUAACAAAGGAGACAGAGAAAUCAAUGAAUGAAAGGAGAAGAAAAAAUAAAAUUGGAAAGACUGAAAAAGCAUAGAAUCAUUGUACGAGCAGAAGCAGAGGAAUCAAUGACCUAGAAUAGACAAACUGUGUAUACGACAAGAGUGGCAUGUUUUUUAUAUAAAAAAGUUAGAAAAUGAAAUUUUUUAUAUUUAUUUUUUGGUUUUGAAUAAUUGAAAUUUUAUAAUUUACAUUUAUAAUUAUUAUUUUUUAUUAUUUUCUUUUAGUGACACGGCAAGCAAAACCAGAGUUGUUUUACAGUGUGUUAGGAUUAUGGAUAAGAUGUCUGAAGAGCAAUGAAUUUGAAAUAAUCUUACAUAGAAAGAUGGGAAGAAACUUAGGUUCUUUAGAACAAGAUAAGAUAGUUAGAUUAAAUUUGUAAUAAAAAUUUAUUAAAAUUUGUAAGAGAUAUAGGUGUAGAAAGUUUUUAAUUUUUUUUAAAUGUUAAAAAUAUGACUUCAUAAAUUUAUUUUUAUUUAAAAAUAAUUAAAAAAUAAAUAAUUUAUUUUUUAAGUAAUAGUUAAUUAAAAUUUUGUAUAUUAUUUUUGAUUGAAUAAUUAAAAUUUUAUAAUUUUUUACCUUUAUAUUAUUAAUUUAUUUUCUUUUAUUAUUAUUUUGUUUGUAACAUAGGAAAAAACAACAGUAGACUAAUGGCUAUAAAUUGAUACAUUGAACAAGAGACCAACACACCACAAAACUGAGAAUAAGAAAUCUGCAAAAUCAAAGAAUGGGUUUUGUUAGACUUGCUCAUUUGGCUCUCUUCUUGCUUGCUACUUCCAGUAUGUAAGUUCCCAUUGUUCAUCAUUUCUGUUUAUAUAUUUGAGAUCUACACAAUAUUAUUAUACAUACUUCAUUUCUUUUGACUUUGAAAUUUCAGUUUUAGUAAUGUUUUCGAUGAAGAACAUAGAAGCUGCACACUGUUCAGGUAUUUGUUACCCGGCGUACGAUGAUCCACUGUGCGGGUCAAAUGAUUGUCUCUGUAAACGUGUUAACCCAAUGUUUGGUGUCUGCAUUGAUCCAACUGCACUUUCAUCAUCUGUGGCAAAGAUGAUAGAUGAAGAUCCCAACUUAUGUGAAUCUGAUGAAGAAUGCAUCAAGAAAGGAACUGGAAACUUUUGUGCUCGUUAUCCCAAUCAAUAUAUGGAUUAUGGUUGGUGCUUUAACUCUGAUUCUGAACAACUUAAAAGCUUCUUUGCCAUGCCCAGAGCAAACUCCAACUAAUGUGUAUGCAUGUGAAAUGUGGUCAUGUAUGGUCAUGCAUGAUGCAUCUCCUGCUUUAAAUAAAAAGAGUGUUCCAUCCUGGUCGUGUAACAUGAGUUAAAAAAAGUUAUGAUAUUUUGAUAUAUUGUUCUAUUGUACACUUAUAAUAAAUAUUAAUAUUUAUAAUAAAAAAAUUUGAAAAAAAGAAAAAAUCUCUUUAAUAAGAAUAUAAGCGAAAUAAAUAAAUUUUAUAAUGUUUUAAAAUUAAAGAUAUUAUAAUUUUUUAUAAAUGAUUAAAAUAUUAAUAUUUAUUGAUGUGUAAAAUAAAGGAUGGUGUGAAAUAAAUAUUUUUGGUUAAAAAAUGAAAACGUUGGUGUCGUUGGAAAUAAGAAAAAAAUAGCAGACUUACUUAACCUUAACACAUGACUAAGAAAACUGUGAAGAUUAAGAGCCUCAAACAUUGGCUUCUACCAAACAAAGUCAAAAUUAUACACAGUUUCAACAUUUUAAUUUUUUUUAAUUUCAAUUUUUAUUAUUAAAUAUUUUAAAAUUUUUAAUUCAAAAUAAAUAAAUUAUUCUUAUUUUUAUUAAAACUAUUAUGAAGAGAGUACCGUGUUCUUAGGUACUGUAAACCAUUUAUCCACAGAUUCUCUGGCUAUAGCACAUAUAGGUUUAACGUUUAUCUCAUAAGAGUUGUAGAAUAGUGUUUUAUAUAGCUUUAUGGAGGAGCAAGUACCAAAUCUGAGGAGAAAUCAAUGAAUGAAAAAAAACAACUGUGAAGAGACUGGAGAAUUCGGAAAAAUAAAUCCACAAAACCAAAGAAUGAAGCAGGUUAGGUCUUUCUUCAGCUCAUGUAUCUGAAAAAGUUAUUCUAAUGUUUAAAUUAUUAAUUGUUUUGAGAUAUUUGGUCGUAAUAAAUAUUGUUUAAUAUGUAUUUUUAUGUUGUAGGUGUGUUUAUUUGUAGGAUUAUGAUGAGACUUUGAUAUUAGGGUAUGUUUUCGUUUUAACCUUUUAUGCUGUGUGUUUGGAUCCAUUGAUAGAGUGGGAGCGUGGUUGGACGAGGGGAGCGUGGAUGGACAAGUGAAAUGAUGUUUUUUUGUGUUGAAUCAACAUGUUUGGAGGUGAGGGUGUAGAGAGUGGAACACGUACAUAAAUUUUCCUUUCUUGUCACGUAUGUAAAUUUUAGGAUGGAUUUUCAUGUAGAAUGGAAGUAUUUUAUGUUAAUACUCUUAAAAUGUAACUUUGUAACAGGCAUGAAUUCAUAUUGGUCAUUUCAUAAAUAUAACUAUUAUAAUUAUUAAUAUAAUUAUAUAUAUACGAUAUACAAAAUUAAAUAUUAGAUAAAUUUAUUUAAUAAUUUCAAAAAAAAUUAAUUAUACUAUUAAUAACAACAUAUAAUUAUAAAUAAUAAAAUAAAAUUAUAAUAUCAACAAAAUAUAUAUAAUUAUAUAAAAUAAAAUGAUAUAUUGUAUUUUCACAAAUUUUAAUAUAUUUAAUAAAUUUAUUUGAAUUUAAUACAAAAUUAGUUUUUAUUACAAAAAUAAAAAUAAUUAUGAAUAUUAUAUAUUAAAAAAAACUUAAAUUUACGAAAAAAAAAACACCAUAAUUCAUUAUUAAAUAUUUUUUUAAUAAAAAAGGCAAGUUGUAGGCAUUCUCCAGCACCAAGGAAGAAUGAGAAUGAGAAGGGAGAAUGAGAAGACGAUCCUCUCUUCUUUUGGGAUACCCCUGAAGUAUCCCUUUAAUUUUAUUUAUUCAUUGCUGAUAAAAAGAAAUCAAGGGAGAAUGAGAAGACGAUCCUCUCUUCUUUGGAUUUGUAGGUUGCUCAGUGUUGAUCGGAGGCACUAAAUCAAUGGCAGGGUCCUGCCCCUAUCAACUCAAGAGAACCCUUCUAUCUCUUUGUCGCCUACCUUUUCAAUUGUUUUAAUACAUUCACUGAUUCGAGGACCAUGUGAGAUAUAAUUUGUGAAAAACACAAAUGAAUUAAACACCCAGUCAACAUGUAGAAUAAAUAUACAAGUAUAUAUAGAAUAAAUAUACAAGUAUAUUAAAACGUAACAUUAUGAUCAAAUUGACUCAUCGUUAGAACGACUCAUAUAUAGUUAAAAUCUUUCGAGUAGGACCUAUUUGGAAGUUGAUCAAACACAUGAAAAAAUGUUUUAUCUUGAGGAGAUAUGGAGGACCUCGGCCAAGAUGAAAGGGGAAUUUUGAUUUUUCCUCUGAGUAAUAGAAAAAUGGCUUACCAUCCAGUUCGACUAACAUUUUAAAGUACCUCUUAUUGGAAUUUUUAAAGGACGAGGUGAAGGGAGCGAAAAUAAUGUCACUCAGACGACUCUUCAAAGAUAACCAACCCAUGCGGUAAGUCGAUUGGGAGUUAUAAUAAAAAAAAGAAAGGAUCGAGGGAACGACAUCAAUCUAAAGACAUCACAAAUGAGCCUAAAUGCCCAAAGAGCCGCUGAUGAGCAUAUAUUUAUUCACACACAAUAGCCUUAAUCAUAGAUUAUUGGACUAUAAUAAUAAAUAAAUCCAUUGUUUUAAUUAAUAUUCAUAUAAUUGGGUUUAUUUGGGUCUUAACUAUUAUCUUUGGUAAUUUUGUGUUUUUAGGGUAAAUUAUCUGAAGCAUCUACCUUUGUGAAUGGGCCAAACAUGCAAAAGUCCAAGUUGCUUCUUUGAAUCAAAACAAAAAACAAAUUCUGAGGAGAAGAAAGAGAAAAUAAAAGCUACAACAUUCCAGAAACAGAAUUGAAAGCAAAUCUUCUGCAAAAUAAAAAGAAUUAUGGAAAGUGGAAACUGUUUAUUUUCCCAAGAUCCUUGGAGCAGAAAAGCCCUAUAAAAGGACACAAGCAUCAAGUAGAAAGAGAGAGAGCUUCAUAGGGUUUUCUUAGUUUAUUUUCUUCUUUUGUAAUUCUUUUGUUUUGCCUCCGCAUGGAAAGCUUAACCUUUUUGGCUGAUUCCUUUGUAAUUUCCCAUUGAGUUAUGAGGUUUUGUUAAAUAAAAGUUUCGAUUUUUAAUUUUCUAUAGCAGUUGUUUUUAUUGUCUAAUCUCCUGGAAAACUGGUUUUUGUGAGAGGUUGUACUUGACCGCAUGAUUGAGAGUCUUCCUUAUCUUAAACUUUGGUUUCUUAGUUAGUUCGCAUUGUUCUAAUUAAUUUCUUAGGCGCAUGAUUCAAGGGAGAGGAGGUAAGCAUUCCCAUGGAGUAUACGCAUGGAACAAAGUGGGUAUUGAUUAAACCAGUAGACGCAUGUUUUACUGGUGAGUUUCAGUUGAAUUAGAUUGGCGCAUGUUCAAUCUGGUUUAACUCUGUUGGAGGAUUGAGAAAAGAUUAAUCUUUAGAGAAUAUGUAAAGAAUUCAAUGGUGGAAGAACUUGGGAUCAACCGCUUUUUAUUUUCUAUUUCAAUCUCUUUUAUAUUUUCUGCAUAACUAUCUUAACCCCUUUUUAUUAUUAUUUUUAUAACUAACUUUUCAUUACUUGCUGAUAGAUUUUAAACCCUAAUCAACUAAUUUUACUAUUGGAUUCGUUGGGAGACGACUUUGGGACAUUUGUCCACAAUUAUACUAUCAUCUCUCUAGUGUUAGCCAAGUCUACGCUAGAAUCAUAUUAAUUUGACAGCAAAACGACAGCUAUCAAAUUUGGCGCCAUUGCCGGGGAAUCCAAUUUGAUUUUGGUUAUCAGUUUUUCUUUUUAUCUGCAUAAUUUUUAUUUCCUAAUUUUAUUUUCUGCAUAUUUAACCUGUGUUUUCUUCCUAUUAUUUAUUUAUUUAUUUAUUUAGUAUAGCAAUAAAAAUACGAAAAUAAAAAAUAAAAAAUCUAAUAUUUAGGACGAAACAUCCUCUCCCUGUCACCGUCGGAUCACCCCACUCAUAAUGUGGACAGUUGGACGGUAGGCUAGCAAGAUCGACCGCCGGAUUUGCGCAACUCACAUCUCUCACAUUAUUAGAUGCCGAGUGUGUGAGACCAGAGGAAGAAAAAGAAGAACAUAAUGAAUACUAAAUGACUCAUAAGAGGAAGUCAUUACAAACCUCUUGAUGCAAAAGUGCAAAAAAUAAAGGAAAUUGAAAUACACUCGACACUCAGAUAACUCUAGACAAAUUCAGCAAUGACAAAAGUGAAUUCAAAAGUAAUAACAUUCAACAUUCAUCUCUAUUUAUAGAGACGAAGAAAAGAAAGGAUGAAACGUCCUCUCCGUGACACCGUCGGAUCACCAUCGAUCUAAGGGUGCACAAUGCUUGACAUUCGAAACGACACAAUGUUAGUUCUUUGAUCACACGGUAAACAAUUGAACGAUGCGUGGACAAGGCGCACGUCAAGUCUCUGACAUUGCAUUUAAUGCGUCCAUGUCACUUCUCACAUCGGGGUACGCAACAGUCACAUCUCUUCAGAAGUAAAUGUUCCUCGAAGUUAGGGGACAAGUGUAUCGGUCUCCACCAGACGAGUCUCGUUACUCGGUUUCGGUGACCAACCGAUUAAAGGCACAUUUAAACCAGCUACAAUAAAUAGUAGUUAAGACAAUUGUAAGAACUUUGUAAAAUACAGGACACGUUCCACCAAAUUCGGGUAACAUCCCAAAAACUCUAAAAAAUCAAAGAAACUAUCUAAAAGUAAUACUUGUUAUCUCUUAUUUAAUGAUAAUAAAUUAAUUUAUAAGUUAUUAAAAAUAAAACUUUUUUUCUAAUGUGAAUGGAAAGUGAGAUUUUUUUUUGCUAUUUUUAAUCCUAUUUUUCAACCUUUGCUGACCUUUCUUCUAUCUAUAUGUUUCCGAACAUACAGGGUAAAAGAACGUGUCCUGAAUUGGAGUACAAAAGUGGGACACAUUCACCUACCCUUUGGUAUGAGAUAAACGGUUGAGAUGUGUUUGGGAAGCAAAUCAAAAUGAGGAGCGUUGAUUUGAAGGAAGCGAAACAUGUGAGUGGAGGACCUUGGGAGGACUGGUCGUGGUAAGAACACUCUUCUGCCAAACGUGUACUACAUCAUAAAUUAAUUUAAUUUAUAUUUCUUCUGUUUUAGUUAUUUAAAAGUUAAUUAAUUAAUUAUUUAAAGUAAUUAAAUAUUUAUUUAAAUUAUGAUAAUAAAUUAUAUUUAAUUACAAACAAUCAAAUACACAAUUUUAAAAAUAAAUAACAUAACAAAUUAUAUGUAAUUUGUUACUUUACUAAAAUUAAAAAACAAAAAAUUUGAAAAACAUAAAACAAUAGAAAACCAAAAAUAAAUUGAAAAUCGAAAAGAAUAUAAGUGGUGCUUAAUCACGACUUCUUUCCAAAUUAUCCAUUUAUGUACAAAGAAACAAAAAUUGUACCCGUGCUUCGAAAAUAAUUCGCAGCAAGAUACAUAUUAAAUAGUUUUUUUUAUAUACAUUUAUAGAAGAGAAAGUAACAAAGCAGACAGACAAAUCAAACAAUGAAAGGAGAAGAAAAAAUAAAAUUGGAAAGACUGAAAAAACGGAGAAUCACUGUACAAGCAGAAUCAGAGGAAUCAAUGACCUAGAAUAGACGAACUGUAUACGACAAGAGUGGCAAUUUGUUUAAAAAAAAAAAGUUAGAAAAUGAAAUAAUUGUUUUAUAAAUUUUAGUUAAUUAAAAUUUUUAUAUUUAUUUUUUGGUUUAGAAUAAUUGAAAUUUUAUAAUUGUUACAUUUAUAAUUAUUAUUUUUUGUUAUUUUCUUUUAGUGACACGGCAAGCAAAACCAGAAAAGGCCAAUGUAUACUACCAGAGUUGUUUUACAGUGUGUUAGGAUUAUGGAUAAGAUGUCUGAAGAGGAAUGAAUUUGAAAUAAUCUUACAGAAAAAACUGGGAAGAAAUUUAGGUUCUUUAGAACAAGAUAAGAUAGUUAGAUUAAAUUUGUAAGAGAUAUAAUACGUGUAGAAAUUUUUUAAUUUUUUUAAAUGUUCAAAAUAUGACUUUAUAAAAUUAUUUUUAUUUAAAAAUAAUUAAAAAUAAAUAAUUUCUUUUUGUAAAUUUUAGUUAAUUAAAAUUUUGAAUAUUAUUUUUGAUUGAAUAAUUAAAAUUUUAUAAUUUUUUACCUUUAUAUUAUUAAUUUAUUUUCUUUGUAACAUAGGGAAAAACAAGAGUAGGCUAAUCCCUAAAAAUUGUUACAUUGAACAAGAGACCAACACACCACAAAACUGAGAAUAAGAAAUCUGCAAAAUCAAAGAAUGGGUUUUGUUCGACUUGCUCCUUUGGCUCUCUUCUUCCUUGCCACUUCCAGUAUGUAUCUUUCCUUUCUCCAUCUUUCGUUUAUGUUUAUAUAUUUGAGAAGUACACAAAAUUAUUAUACAUACUUCAUUUUUCUGACUUUGAAAUUUCAUUUUUAGUAAUGUUUUCGAUGAACUUAUGUGAAUCUGAUGAAGAAUGCAUGAAGAAAGGAAGUGGAAACUUCAGUGCUCGUUAUCCCAAUGACUAUAUGGAUUAUGGUUGGUGCUUUAACUCUGCUUCUGAUGAACUUAAAGGCUUCUUGGCCAUGCCUAGGGCAAUCUCCAAGUAAUGUGUAUGCCUGUGAAAGGUGGUCAUGUAUGGUCGUGCAUUGUGAUGCAUGAUGCAUCUAUGCUUUAAAUAAAAAGAGUGUUCCAUCUUACUCAUACUUGGUAGUGUAACAUGAGUUAUAAAAUGAAAACGUUUGUGUUGUUGGAAAUAAUAUAUAAGAAAAAAAGCAGACAAAUACCUACUUAACCUUAACACAUGACUAAGAAAACUGUGAAGAUUAAGAGCCUCAACAUUGGCUUCUACCAAACAAAGUAAAUAUUAUACACAGUUUCAACAUUUUAAUUUUUUUAAUUUCAAUUUUAUUAUUAAAUAUUUAUUUCAAUUUAAUUCAAAAUAAAUAAAUUAUUAUUCUUAUUAUUAUUUAACUGAUGAAUCAAUGGACUAGAAUAGGCCAACUGUAUACGACACGAUUUGCUAAGAUGAGAAAAACAACAGUGGACUAAUGCUUAUAAAUUGUUACAUGAAAGAAGAGACUAUAACACACAACAAAAUUCGGAAAAACAAAUCCACAAAACCAAAGAAUGAAGCAGGUUAGGUCUUUGUUCACGUGUGUCUGAAAAAGUUAUUCUAAUAUUUAAAUUAUUAGUUGAUUUUAGAUAAUUGAGUGUAUAAAUAUUGUUUAAUAUGUAUUUUUAUCUUCUAGGAGUGUGUAGGUGUGUUUAUUUGUUGGUUGAUGGUUGAUGGUUGAUGGUGAAAUUCUCAUAUUGGGUUUAGAUAAUGGUAGGUUUUUGCUUUAAUCUUUAUGCUAUGUUUGGAUCUGUUGAUGAAGAAAGAGCUUGGAUGAGUGAGUAAGAGAAUCUCUUGUUUGGAUCAUGAGGGUGUGUAGACACGAAAUAUGAUUUUUUUUCUUUGUUUUCAUAUGCGUAAGGAUUGCGAAGGAUGUCCAAGUAGAAUAUGAGUCUUUUACACAUUAAUAUCCUUAAAAUAUAACUUUGCAAGAGUGCAUGAAAUAAUAUUGGUCAUUUCAUAAAUAUAACUAUUAUAAUUAGUGAUAUAAUUAUAUAUAUAUAUAUAUAAUAUACAAAAUUAAAUAUUAAUUAAAUUUUCAGAAGAGACCGUGUAAAUCACAUUGAAAUUUUCACUAUGACUCAAAUGAAGACUUGGUCUUACAUUAUGUCUAAAGUGCGCGGUGUAAGUUUUUCAUUUGGCCUUUGUUUUGUAUGAGGUCAGUUAAAGUUCCUAAGAGAUAAAUUUUUGUUAAGAGAUUAGAAAAUUAGAUUCUCUUACUUAUAUAAGGGUUGUGUUAUCUUUGAAAUACUUCUCAUUUAUUCAUUUAUUUUUUUGGCUUAAAAAAAACAGAUGAUGAAACUCCAGUUGAAUGAAUGCAGAAACCACCAAGUAUUGCAAUAGGAACACAACGACACUGAAGUGACCCACAUGGUAGCACCUCAAACGGUGAACAAGCACUUGAACAAUCUACAACUUCUAUCUUCCCAAUCCAAAACUUACUAUAUAACAAGAUUCAUCCAACGUAUGAUAUGAAACAAUGAAACUAGUAGCCGCAUAGAACCAUAAACAAUUUUGAGAAAGUAAUAAUCAAUUAUCUACUUAAAACAACAACAUAAACAACUGUGGGCAAGGUAUAAUCAAUUUUUAGUAAAAAACGUCAUGAUUAAUUAUGUGCUAAGAAUAUGUAAAGCAUAACUAAUUAUCAACUCAAAAAAUUCACAAAAUCGAUUAGCUUCCAAGCAUAAUCAUUUAUCCACUAAAACAAACUUACAUAAUCGAUUAUCGAUUAUGUGGUUCUCAAAAUUGAUUUUUUUGUCAAGAAUUCUAUUUUUUUUGUUUUUCAUGCAUGACUUGCAUAAAUUAAAGGGAAAGAGAAUAAAAUUACUUUUGUCACGUUGUCUUUAUCACUGUUUUUUAGAUAAAUUACUAAUGUAGAUAAACUAUGAACUUAAAUUAAACUAAAUUUUUAUAAAGAAAUCUAACUAACUAUAGAUGUUUUUUUUGUUAUGACUGUCACUAGAAUCAACAAAUUUACGAAUUUAUGUACUUAAUACACACGAGUUUUUUUGGUUAACAUACUCUCAACAUCAUUAAUACAGUGUAUUCACCCACACCCAAAUUGUUGAUAAUAUACUUAAGAUAAAAUAUCAUUAUUAAAGUAGAAUAAUUAGAUUAUUUUGGAGGUAUUACUUUUUUUUUUCACCUCAAAAAUCCAACAUAUGAUCUUUCUUGAGAAGAACUUUUAGCGUUCACCGUAGAAUUUGGAUAGAAUUUUUGUCACAUCUCAUCUUCAUCAAAAUUUGAAAUAAAUAGUUAUUCGUAAAUAUCUUCAAAACACACAUUCAGCAACCCAAUUUAUAAAAGUUCCUUUAUUUGAAAAAGAAAAUUAUGAUUUUUGGGUUAUAAAAAUUGAAAGUUCAUUUACAUAUUCGGAUGUUUCAGAAAUAGGAGUUUGAAUGAAGUGUGAUAAAUUUUUGGCAAUGAUGAAUGAAUUAGUGAAAAAGAAAUAGGAGUAGGAUGAAAUAUUCUCAUUUUAUUUAUAGCAGUAGAUGAAUCAUGCAUGCAUGAGCAUGACUAUGCAUGACCACUUUUCACAGACAUACACAUUACUUGGAGAUUGCUGUAGGCAUGGCCAAGAAGCCUUUAAGUUCAUCAGAAUUAGAGUUAAAGCACCAACCAUAAUCCACAUAAUGAUUGGGAUAACGAGCACAUAAGUUUCCACUUCCUUUCUUCAUGCAUUCUUCAUCUGACUGACAUAAGUUGGGAUGUUCUGUCAAAACUGGGCUUUGGGCUUUUUGGGCCUCUGCUGGGCCUUUUUCUCUUUCCAGUUUUUCUUUUUAGUUUCUGCUGUUUGCACCCUUGUAUUUAAGAUUAUUUUUAGGGUUUUCUGAUACAUAAUGUGACAUUACUACUGAAUAACAAUUUUGUUUGAGUUCUCUCAUCUCCCACGUUCCCUUUCUUCUCUUGCGAUUCUCUUCUUCACCAAAGACUCAACAUACUCUAUUACUUCUGUAAAUAUUACAGAACCUUGUUGAUUUCUCUAAGAUGGUAUCAGAGCUCUUCACCAUGAAGAGCUCUGUUGCGCGCUCUGAAUUCGUCCCUUCACUCUAUCAAGAUUUGUUCUCUUUCGUUCUCUUUCGUUUUCUUUAUUUUACGUUUUUCUGUUUUUCGUUUUUGACAGUUUUUCCUUUUUCCUCAGUUUGUGUUUUCGUGCUUCAAUGGCUGCUGAAAACCCUAAUCGGAGCGAAACUCCAAUUUCUAAUCAAAGCAAGAAUGUUGCUCAAGGAGAAAAUCCUACCCACAGUUUCCUGUAUCUACAUCCCAGUGAGAAUCCCGCGACUCCUCUUGUGUCUCCGCUUCUUGAUUCAACCAAUUAUCAUUCUUGGAGUCGCUCAGUCAUCACUGCAUUAAGCGCAAAGAACAAAGUGGAGUUCAUCAAUGGUACCACUACCCGGCCUCCUGAGACCGAUCCUUCUUUCUCAUCCUGGACGCGUUGCAACAACAUGGUGGCAUCCUGGCUUGUGCAUUCGGUCUCUGUUCAUAUGCACCAGAGCAUCCUAUGGAUGGAUAAAGCACUAGACAUUUGGAAUGAUCUCAAGGCUCGUUUCUCACAAGGGGAUUUAUCUCGUAUCUCUGACCUUCAGAUGAACGUCUCCUCUCUCAAUCAAGGUGAUCUUUCUGUUUCCGACUUUUUCACUAAACUUAGGAUAAUUUGGGAUGAAUUAGAUAAUUUUAGGCCUGAUCCUGUAUGUUCCUGCAAUGUGCCUUUUAUUACUGCUCAAAGAAAAAGAGAGGAUCAGGCAAUGCAAUUUUUAUGUGGCCUUAAUGAUCAAUAUAACAAUAUAAAAGCUCAUGUCCUUCUCAUGGAACCUGUCCCUGAGAUUACCAAAUUUUUUUCUCUAGUUGUUCAACAAGAACGCCAGUUUAACAGUAAUGUUCUUGUUGCUAAUAUUAGAAAUGCUUCCCCUAUGACUCACACCAAUAACACUACCUGUUCGUUCUGUGGUAAACUGGGUGACAACGAAAAUGUUUGCUUUAAGAAAAAUGGUUUUCCUAACCAAGAUAACAAAGGACCAAAAUUUGGCUAUGGUAAAAGAUUUUGUACUUACUGCAAUAGAACUGGUCAUACUAUUGAUAUUUGCUACAAGAAACAUGGGUAUCCUCCUGGAUAUAAAUCCCAGUAUGGUAAGGCUCCUCAAUUAAACAACAUCACCACUGUCAUACAAGAAGAAAGUUCUGAAAAUCAAGAUCAGGAUAAACUGAAUAAUGGAGGAGAUUUUCGCAUCACUCAACAUCAAUAUAAGAUUCUCUCAAACCUUCUGAAAAAUGUCAGCAGUUCCAACAAUCAAGUGCAAGUGAACCAGGUUGGUUCCAUCUCUGCUAAUCAUCAGGAUCAGAUUUCACCCAUCACAGGUAAUAUCCAUAAAUUCAAAAACUCCAUUUUUAAUGAAUACACUUGGAUACUAGAUUCUGGAGCCACAGACCAUGUUUUCUUUUCUUUGUCUAACUUUACAUCAUAUAAUCAUAUUAAACCGAUUACUAUUAAGCUUCCUAAUGGGAAUUGUGUUAUUGCUUCUUGUUCUGGCACUGUUUUCUUUAAUGAAAAAUUCAUUCUUAAAAAUGUUUUAUAUGUACCAGAUUUUACUUUUAAUCUUAUCUCCAUAUCCCAUUUGACUGCAUCUCUUAAAUGUGAACUUAUUUUUCCCCUACUGAGUGUUUGAUACAGAACUCCAUGACCAAAGACAAGAUUGGUACAAUUGAUAUUGUUGAUGGUUUAUGUGUUCUCAAUAAGAUUGAUGGCAGCAUUCUGAGUUGUAGUGCAAGACAGAAUAAUAUUUGGCACCUCAGAUUGGGACAUCCUUCAGAAGAAAGGUUAAAAAUUCUGCAAAACUAUUAUCCUAACAUUCGCAUUGACAAGAAUUAUAUUUGUGAUGCAUGUCAUCAAGCAAAACAAAGAAAAAUUCCUUUCUUUCCUAGUAAUACUCAAACUGCUCAUGCUUUUGAAUUGCUGCAUAUUGAUAUUUGGGGCCCCUGUUCUAUUGUAUCAAUGCUUGGUUUUAAAUAUUUUCUUACCAUAGUUGAUGAUUUUACUAGAUAUACUUGGCUCUUUCCCAUGCAUAACAAAUCUGAAGUCAGGGCUAGUAUUAUUAGUUUUGUUGCAUAUGCUAAAAAUCAGUUUUCUAUUAAAGUCAAAACCAUUCGCACCGAUAAUGGUAUUGAAUUUUCUAUGCAUGAUUACUUUGCCUCUAAAGGGAUUGUCCACCAAACCACUUGUGUUGAGACACCUGAGCAAAAUGGCAUUGUUGAAAGAAAGCACCAACAUAUUUUAAAUGUAACACGGGCUCUCCUUUUUCAGUCUAAACUUCCUGCUAUUUUUUGGUGCUUUGCUGUACAACAUGUUGUUUUCCUCAUUAAUUGUAUGCCUACUCCGCUGCUUAAUAAUGUCACUCCCUAUGAAAAACUGCAUAAAAAGCUAUGUGAUAUCUCUUCCAUUCGUGUUUUUGGAUGUUUGUGUUAUUCUUCAACUAUCAUUGCUCAUAGAAAAAAAUUGGCUUGGUUUUAAGUCAAACACAAAGGGUUUUCUGUUUUUAAAUCUUAAUAACCAUAAAAUAGAUGUGUCAAGAAAUGUUAUCUUUUAUGAUAAUUCUUUUCCUUAUCAUUCAAAACUCAUUCAAAGUGAUGAUUUAAACAAUUUUUCUUUACCUAUACCUCAAAACUAUGCCCAGACUCAUGAUGAUUUUUACAUGCACACUGAAAAUAUUAAUGAUACUAAUAGUCCCAUUAAUAAUACUCUUGAGAUUGAUACUAAUAUUGAGCAAAGUGAGACUAUAGCUGUCUCCCCUAGAAGAUCUACCCGCAGCAGAAGGCCCCCUGCUUACCUUCAAGACUUUGAUGUACCCAAUCUCAACAAUAAUACUGUAAGUACUAAACACUCCAUUCAUUCCUUUUUAAAUUACAAUUCCUUAUCCAAGCAUUUCAAAAAUACAAUAAUGUUAAUUACUUAUGCUGAGGAACCUCAGAAUUAUGAAGAAGCUGUCCUAUACCCAUCUUGGAUCCAAGCCAUGAAGGAUGAACUGGAGGCGCUCCAAAAUAAUGACACAUGGUCCUUAACCAGCCUUCCUUCUGGAAAAACAGCAAUUGGGUGUAAAUGGGUUUAUAAAGUCAAGCAUCAUGCAGAUGGCUCUAUUGAACGCUACAAAGCCCGCUUAGUAGCAAAAGGGUAAAACCAAAUUGAAGGACUGGACUUCUUAGAUACCUUUGCUCCUAUAGCAAAGCUGACCACUCUACGACUUCUCCUAGCUCUAGCAGCAGCUCAAAAUUGGGCACUCAAGCAACUAGAUGUAAACAAUGCCUUCCUACAUGGAGAUCUAGAUGAAGAAGUUUACAUGCAAUUACCUCCAGGUUUUCCAACCCCUUCUCCCAAUCUUGUUUGUCGCCUCAAGAAGUCUCUUUACGGGCUCAAACAAGCAGGUAGGCAAUGGUAUGCUAAACUCUCAAGCUUUCUACUUUCACAUAAUUACAAAAUUUCCACUGCUGACCACUCUUUAUUUCUGAAACAUGAUGGCAAACACACCACGACACUGCUGGUCUAUGUGGAUGACAUCAUUCUCACUGGAACUAAUCCUAAGGAGAUUUAUACCAUCACUGGUUUGUUACACAAUUUUUUUCAUAUUAAAAAUCUUGGUGAUUUAACUUAUUUUCUUGGUAUUGAAGUGGCUCGUAAUACCACUGGAAUUCACAUAAGCCAAAGAAAGUAUAUUCUGGAUCUGCUUAAAGAUGUUGGAAUGCUGGGAUGUGCUCCUGCUCCUACACCAAUGCUCCACAAUAAUAAACUCUCAGCCACAAAAGGCAUACCCCUUGGAGAUGCAGAAUCCACUGCUUACAGACGACUGAUAGGACGUCUCAUUUAUCUUACCAACAUCCGGCCAGACAUCUUUUUCUCAGUAAAUCACCUCAGUCGAUUCGUCUCACACCCAACCAAUGAGCAUCACCAGGCAGCAAUGCGCAUUCUUCGCUAUCUUAAAAGAACUCUGGGCACAGGUCGAUUCUUCGCAUUCACUCCAAAAUGUGACUCACUUGUGAACAAUAUUUCUGAAGGCUUUAAUAGUGUGCUUGUACCUGCACGUGCAAGACCUAUCAUUACCAUGCUAGAAGAUAUCAGGACUUAUAUAAUGCAGAGAUGGGAAAAGAAUAGAUUGAAAAUUGCCUCAUUUCAAGGAUCAGUAUGUCCAAAGAUUUUAAGCAGGUUACAAAAGGAAGCAAAUCAAACUCGAUAUUGGAUACCAAGGUUGGAUGACAACAUUGAUACACUAUUUUAAAAACUUAUUGUGUUACUUGUUAGAUAUGUCUAACCAAUUCCAUCAUCACAGCUCUUCUGCAGAUCACCUAUUUGAAGUGAGACAUACCUCUACCAUUGGAGAAAAGUUUGCGGUUAACUUGGACAUACAUGAAUGCAGUUGCCGAAAAUGGAUGUUGACUGGAAUACCAUGUUGUCAUGCAAUUUCUGCAAUGAAAUUUGUUAAUGUCGAUCCCGUCAACUUCAUUUCAUUUUGGUACAAGAAGGAAACAUAUGAAAAGGUGUACAACUCAAUUAUCUAUCCAGUGAACGGUGAACAAGUAUGGGAAAAAACUGAAAUGCCAGAUGCUGUGCCACCUCCCACAAAGAAGAUGCUUGGAAGACCAAAAAAGAAGAGAAGGUUGGAGACAUGGGAGCUAAUGAAGAACAAGACUCAGUUAGGCCAAACUGGAUUAAAGAAAAAAUGUGGGAUAUGUCAUAAGGUUGGGCACAAUAGAAAGUCCUGCAUUGAAAAAUCAUCUGAACAGGGUUCAAGUGCACCACGACCAUCUCACCCAAGGCCAUCUCACCCAGGCCCAUCUGAGCAAGGUCCAAGUCAGGCAGCUCCAAGUGCACCAAGACCAUCUCAGGAAGCUCCAAGUCAGGCAGUUCCAACCGCACCUCCUCCACCAUCUCUCCCUACUCAACCAAAAGUUUCAAAACCAUCUCAGACAACUCGAAGGACAACAAUAUCAAGUGCAAACUUUUCAAGACCCAACACGAGGCUUAAGUUACAGUCCAUUAGAGGCCGCUUUUGGAAGCCAUGAAUGCUUUUGGAACUCACUCAUUCUAUACCUGUGUAUUUUGAGAAACAAUUAUUGUAGGCUCUCCUAAUGUAUUUUGGAAUGAUAAUUUGGUAAUUUGUUAAUGUAUCAUGUACUUAAUGUAUUUGGUAGUUUUUGGAGUACAUUAAUGUUACCAGGUUCUAUGAUAAUUAAGUUUGCGUCAUUCUAAAUCUAUGAUAAUUAAGCUUUUGUGUGUGCUUGUUACACUUUAGCUAUAGCUUAGCCUCUGAAUAGUGGACUCUUGGUUUACUCUGAGAUGGGAAAAUUCUGAUUGAACAUGUAUUGUUCUCCUUCCUGCUCAACUAAUGUCAAAUUUAAUAAUCACUUUUGCUAGCUGUCAAAACUGCUUUGUUGUGCAUCUAUAAACUGUGUAAAUAGUUUCUCAAAAACAUUUUAACUUAACCAAAUUAAUAAUAAACUUAUUUCAUUUGGAUAAAAAAUAUUUAAUUGUUUAAACUAAAAUCUGUACUCAAUUAUUUUAUUAAAUUAGUGUUUUAAUAUUGAUGUCUACUACUUGCUAAAUGAUGUCUACUAUUCAAGAUGCAUCCAGGGUCUAUCAGAACAUCAAAUAUUUCGUUCAUUAAAAUUCAUUUUGCAUUGAUACAAAUUUAAGGAUACAUAUUACAUACGGGACAUAAUAAACUCAACACACUAAUACAUAUUACAUUAACUCAUUUAAUCAUAAUCCUAACCAAAAUAAACAUUGACGUCACUUAUGGGAAUUUUAAGAAAACAGUCAACAUAACAAUGUUUAUUACAACAACAACACACAACCCUACUAAUAACAUCUUAAUCCACUUUCUUGACAUUUUCAGACAUUUUUCCAAGCUACAAAUCUUGUUUCUUUGUCUAGCAAUAGUUCCAUCUUUGUCAUCCCCAGUGUCUUCAAUGCACCAUCUGAAGAAAUUGCAUCCCAUGCUUACACCACUCCUACUCUGUAUUAGACAAAACGAUAACCAAAAAAUCAAUACCAAUGCAUUUUUUUCAUAAACCACACUUUAAUACAUCUCACCUUGUACUUUGGACACCCUCAAAAUUGCCUCCCACCAUUUUUGACCGUUGUUGCUGUUCUCAAAACUGCAAAUUCCCCAUAAUUGCAAAUGGGAGCAACAAAAGUCGUCCUACUCCCACCACCAUGGCUAGAAUUAGAUCGCUGUUGCUGCACUUCCAUUCGAUUAUAGCUGCAUGAUGAUACAGAUGCAGACCUAUAGGCACACAUUUCCACCACAAACGGACCUACACCCACGAACGAAUCAAAAACGUUGAUUAAUCCUCUCCAACCAACGAAUCCUCAAACACCGGGCUCUACCACAAACGGCGACCCUCCUAUAUGUAAACUCACUCGUUUCUAUGAACAAGGCAGCAACCGAAAAUUUUACACACGCAAACCCUAACGACCACAAUUUAUGAAUCUCCCCCUAUCCAAUCUCAUUCCCAAAACUCUAAUGACCCAAAACGACAUGUCAAUGACUUGGCAGUCCACACAACACCUUAUCUCUGCCACAUAAGCACCACUUAACGCCGUUACGUGCGACUUGACGGAAAGGACCAUUUUGGAUACAUUUUAAAAAACAUAGGAACCAAAUUGAUUUUUUUAAAAACCACGGUACUAAAUUGAAUAUUGGCCCUAAAUAUAAGGACCAAUAAGGUAAUUAAAUCUUAAUUUUAUUAAGAAUUCAAAAUAAUUUUAACGUAUUUAAAUUUUUAAUUACAUAUAAUAAAAAAUUAUUUUAUAAAAAUUCAGCCAAUUUUUAAUUAUAUAUAUUAAAAAAAUAUUUUAUAAGAAACUACUUAGUUAAAAAAACAUUUUAUAAAAUUAUAAAUAAUAAAUUAAAAUUAUAUAAUUUCUUCUUAUUAUUUUUAAUUUUAAAUAUUAGAAAACAUAUAUUAAAAUAAUAUAAAUGUAUAAUAUAUUAUUAAUUAAAAUCGUAUAUAGAGUAUAUGAAUUUAGGUUUUUUUUUUUUAAUUUUAUACAAUUAUAUAUUAUAAUAUUACAUAAUGUGUAUAUGAAAUACGAUUUCAAAAUGAAAUCAUAUAUCGUUUAUACGAUUAUUGUUUUUUUUUCUAAAAUUUUCUAAUUUCUUUAUGAUAAAAUCGUAUUUCGUGUUAUAAUUUAUCUAUUUUUUUUAAAAAAAAAUACUCAUUUUAUGAGAAUCGAACAAAAAUUACUAUCACUUUGAGAAAAAAAGCUCACAUUUUACACUCAGAUAUGUUUGAAAUGCUUGAAGUUCUAAGACUUAAAGUAUACCUUGUACUUUUGGUAGAAUAGUUUGAAUCUCAUUUUCUCUGAUUCAUUGAUUUUUUUUGUUUGCGUGUGAUCACAAUUUUCCACAACCAAAAUGGCACUAUAUUUCGGUUGGGAUGUAACAGUGAGAAAGUUGAAACUGAAACCCUCUUUUAUAGCAAACUUGGAAUAAACAAAAAAUAAGUGUGAGGUUGUUGAAGACUAGUACAAAAUUUUUAUAUAUCUUUCAUAACUAAUAUAUUAUUCUAAAGAAAUUGAAUCGAAAAAAAAAGGUUCAUAAAGUUUAAUUACUUACAACUAUAUUUUUUUAUAUUUCUUCCAUAUUUGGGUGAUUUAAAAAGUUAAUUACUUAAUUACUUAAAGUAACUAAUAUUUAUUUCAAUAAUACUAAUAAUAAAUUAUAUUCAUUUACAAAUAAUUAAAUACACAAUUUUAAAAAUAAAUAACAAAAAGACAAAAAAUGUAAUUUAUGUUAUUUCGCUAAAAUUAAAAAACAAAAAAAUGGAAAAACGAAAAAUAAUAGAAGUGGUCCUGGACUUCUUUUCACUAUUUAUUCACCCAUCUUUCCAGAAUAGGCUAAUUGUACACUACAAGACUUGUUUUAAAGUGAUUUGAGAAAUUAAGUUGUUUUAAUUAAAUUAUGUAGAGUAAAUUUGGAAAAGAAAUUUAUUGAAGUUGUUGAGGUGGGUGUAGAGAAAUUUUAAUUUGUUUAAAAUGUUUAAAAUGUGAAUUUUCACAAAUUUAUUUUAUCACUAAAAAUAAUUAAAAAUAAAAUAAUAAAUAGUUUUUUUUAUAAAUCUUAGUUAAUUAAAUUUUUUAUACUUUUUUCAGUUGAAUAAUACGAAUUUUAUAAUUUUUAUAUUUAUAUUAUUAAUUUAUUUUCUUUUAUUAUUAUUAUUAUUAUUAUUUUCUUUUAGUGAUGCAAUACAAAGUGGACUAAUGGCUAUAAAUUGUUACAUGCAAGAAGAGAAAAACACACCAGAAAACUCAGAAUAACACAUCUGCAUAAUCAAAGAAUGGCUCAUCUUAGGCUUGCUCCUUUGGUUCUGUUCUUGCUUGCCACUUUCAGUAUGUAACUUUCCAUUGUUCUAUCAUUUAUGUUUAUAUAUUUGAGAAGUACACAAAAUUAUUAUACAUACUUCAUUUCUUCUGACUCUGAAAUUUGAUUUUUAGUAAUGUUUUCGAUGAAGAAGAUAGAAGCUGUAGACUGUUCAGGUGCUUGUUCACCGUUUGAGACGCUACCAUGCAGGUCAUAUGAUUGUCGCUGUGUCCCUGCUGGACUAUUUGCUGGUUUCUGCAUUCAUCCAACUGGACUUUCAUCAUCUGUGGCAAAGAUGAUCGAUGAACAUUCCAACUUAUGUCAGUCUGAUGAAGAAUGCAUCAAGAAAGGAAGUGGAAACUAUUGUGCUCGUUAUCCCAAUCACUAUGUGGAUUAUGGUUGGUGCUUCAACUCUGAUUCUGAUGAACUUAAAGGCUUCUUGGCCAUGCCUAGGGCAAUCUCCAAGUAAUGUGUAUGCAGCUGAAAAGUGGUCAUGCAUAGUCAUGUUCAUGUAUGCAUGAUGAAUCUACUGCUAUAAAUAAAAUGAGAAUGUUUCAUCCUACUCAUAAUUGGUUUGGUUCUUGUAAACUCUAUAAGUUAAGUUAAAAACUGAAAGAAAAAACGUUUCUGUUGUUGGAAAUAUAUAAAGAAAAAAAGAGCAUCAAAACAUUGGCUUCUACCAAACAAACAAACUUCUCAUAGGAAUAAAUGUUUCUUCAAAAUCAACAUGGGGUUGUUAGUUUUAACCUUUAAAUUUCCUUCAAACUCUUGUUGAAAACUUUGUUUUCUUUUCACCGUGGCUUCAAUGGCUUCAUCAUCAUACUGUGUUUGUUUGUAUGAAAUCUGAGGUAAAUGAAGUUUCCAUUUGAAUGGACCUUCAAUACGCAUUCAAUCUCCAUAAAACUUUGCAUUCGAAAUUUGUAAGAACAUGUUAUUCAACAUUUUCACCCAACACCAUUAGUAGGUUUUAUCACCAUAGGAGUACUGUGGGGAUUGAGUUUAUUAUGCAGAGUUUGCACCUUGGUCUGAUCUUGGUCACACAUAAGCUUGACUCUAGUUGCUCCCACAGUUAGUCCUCAAUCCUGUGAUUUUCUUGUGUUUGUUGUUGCACAUGUUAAUUAUUUAUUUCUUCAUUUUUGGAAAUAUUUUAUGUUUGUUUUGAAGAUGAUAUUGAAGAAUGACAAUUUAUUUCAAAUUUUGAUGAAGAUGAGAUAUGAAAAAAGUUCUACCCAAGUUCUGUGGUAAACGCUAAAAGUUCUUCUAAAAAAAUGUAUGUAUGUUUGAUUUCUGAGGUGAUAAAAAAGUAAUGUCUCCAAAAUAAUGUAAUUAUUCUACUUUAAUAAUAUUUUAUAUUUCUUGGUUUAAUAAUUAUUAUAAUUACUAAUAUUAUGAGUAUUGAAUGAUGGAGAUUAUAAGUUGCUUAUUAUUACAUAUCUUCAUAUCUAUGUUGUCUUUCAAUUACAUUCACCGAAUUCAAAGAUUAUAUUUAUAGGCGUAUGACUUAUAUACAUAUGUUAAUCAUAAUGUCAAUCUUUACACGUAUAUUGAGAUAGUUAUGAUUAUGUUUGAGGUGAUUAUUAUUCAAUUAAACAAAAAUAUAAAAGCAUGUAGUUGAUAUUCGUAUUAUUUAAUGUAUAUUAAUUAUUCUGUAUUUAUUUAUCAAAUAAUAAAAUACUUAAAGAAACUUAUACAAAAUAAUAUGAAUAAAUAUUAAUAUGUUAAGUCUCAUUAAAAUGUAUUAAAAAAAAAUAUAAUAUACAAUAAAGUAAUCCUUUUUUAUUUAUUUAUUUACAAUAUUAAUUAUCAUCAUAACUGCUUGACUAAGUCCUAUGGAGAUAUUGUCUUAAAGAUAAAUAGGUAUACAAAUUAUUUUGAAGUCCUAAGACAUAAGUAUACAUUGUACUUUUGCUAUUAUUAUAAUUAUAAUAAUAAUAAUAAUAAUAAUAAUAAUAUUUUAGUUGUGAUGUGACUGUGAGAAAGUUGGAAAUAAAUUUAAAGCCUCUUUUUAGCAAAGUUAGAAUAAGGAGGUAGGGUACAUUGUUUUUUCUAAAGGAAAAAAUGACUAGUACCAAUUUUUUAUAUAUCUCUCGUAAGUAAUAUGUUUUCUAAAGUAAUUGAAUCGGAAAAGAUGUUAAUAAAAUUUAAUUACUUACAAAUAUUUUUUAUAUUUCUUCUAUUUUGGUGAUUUAAAAAGUUAAUUUAUUAAUUACUUAAAGUAACUAGAUAUUUAUUUAAAUUAUAAUAAUAAAUUAUAUAAAUUAUAUUGAAUUAAAAAUAAUUAAAUACAUAAUUCUAAAAAUAAAUAACGUAAAAAUUAAAUUAAAUUUAUGUUAUUUCACUGAAAUUAAAAAACAGAAAAAAUAUUAAAAAUAAAAAAAUGGAAAACAAAACAAAAUUGAAAAACGAAAAAAAAUAAAGAAGUGCUGCUUAAUAACGACUACUUUCCACAAUUUAUCCAUCUUUAUAAUUUCUUUUUAAAAUUUAUCCAUUUAUAAAAAACGAAACAAAAUUGUACCAAUAAUUUUUCCAUGAUUGCUUCUGAAAUAAUUGCUGCCUACAUGAAAAAAGAAGAAUCAGUGAAUGAGAAUAGGUCAAGCUGCAUAAGAGUUGAGUUGCUUUAUGAUCUGUUUGAUUAAUAGAGAUGAUUUUUUCAAUUUUUUUUUUUUAUCGAUAAUAAAUAAAUAUAUUAAAAGGGAUGCUUCAGAAUGUACAGAGUAUCCUAAUGGUAAUGUUUUUUUCUUUCCAAAAAUAUGAAAUAAGUUUUGUAUUAAUUAAGAUAUUUAGUGUGAAUUUAUAUGCAAAAUUUAUUAAAAUUUCUGAAUAAUAUAAUACAUGUAAAUAAUUUUGAAUUUUUUAAAAGUAUUAAAAAGAUGUAAUUUUAUAAAUUUAUUUUUAUAUUAAAAAUAAUUAAAAAAUAAAAUAAAAUAUAUAUAUUUAUAUAUUUGAAGGAAAUGGAGCAUGUGAGUGGAGGGGACCCUUGUCAGAGCUGGUCAUGCUUAAACAUGUGCUACAUCGUAAAUUAAUUCAAUUUAUGUUUCUUCUAUUUUGGUGAUUUAAAAAGUUAAUUAAUUAAUUAUUUAAAGUAACUAAACAUUUAUUUAAAUUAUAAUAAUAAAUUAUAUUUAAUUACAUUGCUAUAAAUUGUUACAUGCAAGAAGAGAAUAACACGCCACAAAACUGAGAAUAACACAUCUGCAAAAUCAAAGAAUGGUUUAUGUUAGGGUUGCUCCUUUGGAGCUCUUUGUGCUUGCCACUUUCAGUAUGUAACUUCCCAUUGUUCAUCAUUUAUGUUUAUAUAUUUGAGAUCUACACAAAAUUAUUAUACACAUACUUGGUUUGUUCUGACUUUGAAAUUUCAUUUUCAGUGAUGUUUUCGACCAAGAACAUAGAAGCUGCAUACUGUUCAGAUGUUUGUUCAACGUUUGAGAUGCCACCAUGCGGGUCACGUGACUGUGUUUGUAUCCCAUUUGUACCAUUUGUUGGUCUCUGCCUUCAUCCAAUUGGACUUUCAUCAUCAGUGGCAAAGAUGAUAGAUGAACAUCCCAACUUAUGUAAGUCUGAUGAAGAAUGCAUGAAGAAAGGAAGUGGAAACUUCUGUGCUCCUUAUCCCAAUCACUAUAUGGAUUAUGGUUGGUGCUUUAACUCUGGUUCUGAAGAACUUAAAGGCUUCUUGGCCAUGCCUGGAGCAAUAUCCAAAGUAUGGUGAUGCAUGAUGCAUCUAGUGCUUUAAAUAAAACCAGUGUUCCAUCCUACUCAUACUGGGUUCUAGACUCCUGAGUUAAAAUAUGAUAAUGUUUUCUGUUGUAGGAUAUAUAUAUAUAUAAAGACAAAUAGCUACCUCAAGCUUAAAUAGCAUUUUUUUUUAUCAGCAAAAAAUACAAUUGAAUAAAAAGAGGUACUUCAGGGGUACCCCAACCCAUAUACAAAAGACCAAGUAGCACAAGACAAAGGCAAGUAAACAUUUUAAAAAACAGAAAAAGCAUAUACACAACCCCUCAUCCACCUAUUUAACCAUAUCUUCAAUACAAGCAUGUCUUGCCCACCUAACCUCUUCUGUUACGUGUCUUCAUAUGCUACCCCCAACACAACUUUCUUUUAAGCUCCUUAAAGUGUAAAAAUCAGGAGCACCAGCAAACUCAUAUACUUCCCCAUGACUUCUAGCAGUGACCACGAUACCAGAAUUUCAUGCAAACCACCUCACUCACCCAAAACAUCCUUGUGGCAGCUCUUGAACCAGCUCCUUCUCUAAACCAAGAAGUACCUUAACUCCUUACCACACCUUCACCAAAAAACCUGCAGAAAGGUAGGAAAAAAAGAUAACCUCCAUCAAGAGUUAUAUUUCCUUUACUGAAUCAACACAAAACCAACACAUAUUCCACCCUGCAACACCCUGUUUCUCCUUAAAUUUAAGUCCUACAAUUUUCACCUCAUUUCCACCGCACCUACCGACCUUCCAACUAGCACAGAUACCUUAAAGUUGACGCAUCAGUACAGAAUCAUCUCAUCGCCUACCCUCAUAUCAAAAACCCUGCAUACAAAUGAUUGGACUAAGAAUCCAAUCUGAAAAAGAAAAAUUAAAUGGAGCCGUACCAAACUUCAAACAUAACCACGUGGCCAAUUGAGCUGAGUGGAAAAUUUCUUCAGCAUCCGGAAUCCCUUGUUUGAACAUAAUCAGAUUUCUCUGAUCCCAUAUGCUCCUAAUAAUUGCGAUCCACAGGCCCUUGCAAACUUGAUUCUGCUGAUUGGUUAAGUGAGGGAGAUGAAAGCUCUCAAAAUGCACUGAGAGAUCUUUGUGCUGCACAGAUACUAUACCCAUCCACCGCAGGCAAAGAACCCAAAUCUUUUGUGCACACAAACACGUCAAGAAUAUAUGUUGAGCUGAUUCUUCAGUAGCCUUACAAAAAACACACACUGAGGAGUUGAUAGCCAGGCUUCUCCUUAUGAGGUUAUCAUUCGUUGGUAACCUCCCAAUUAGGACCCUCCAUGCUGUACACACAUCCUUGGGUACCGCUUUGGCUUGCCACAGCAGCGAAAAAACAUUAGUCGAGCUGUCAUUGGGAUAGUUACACAGAGUGAGAUAUGCAGAUCGGACAGAAAACACACCUUUGGGAUCCCCACUCCAUUCAAUAAUAUCCUCAGAAUCCCUGUUCAGAGUCGUUCUUGUAAUAAGGUUCAUCAUUUCUUCCUAUACACUAGUUUCCCACUCAAAUCUAGUCUUUCUCCAUCCUAACCUCCAGGACCAUCCUAACUCCCCCCACGUGCCUACCUCACCCACCAAUUUUCCUUGCUCUAGAGAUAUGGUAUACAAUCUAGGAAGCAUAAAUUUGAGCUUAUCAUUGCCCAACCAUGUAUCUUCCCAAAACCUGAUUUUGUCCCCGUUUCCCACUUUCCAUGAAACAUGGUUACGGAACCAACCCUCACCUUCUCCUUCUUCGCAUACCUUUCCAAGGUCACUCCACCACCAGGAAUGAUUUUUACCACAACCUUGAAUAUUAACCGUAUCAUUAUAGUACUUAGAUACUAAGAUCUCUUUCCAUUUCCCUUCUUCUUCACUCAUCAUCCUCCACUUCCAUUUUGCUAGCAAAGCCCGAUUAAACUUCUUAAUAUCCUUGACCCCCAAUCCCCCUUCCUCCUUUGAUUUGCACACAUUUUCCCACCGAACCCAGGCAAUGUAUUUGCUAUCUUUGCCCCACGCCCAAAGAAACCUCCUCUGUAUACUAGAAAUCUUAUCACAGACUGCAGUUGGUGCUUUAUAGAACGACAAAUAAAAUAAAGGUAUAGAAGUUAAAACCGACUUAAUCAAACAUAAGCCUGGCUUUAUAGAACGCACUAAGCCUGGCUUUAACUUUCUCCACCACUGGAUCCCAAAAUUGAAUCCUCCUUGGAUUACCAGCAAUUUGCAUUCCCAAAUAAAUAAAAGGUAUUUGCAUGAUAUCACAAUUGAGAGUUUUCGCAUAUAGCUCAAGAUUGCUUCGAUCUACCUUUAACCCUGCUAUCUUUGAUUUAUAGAAAUUAACUUUGAGCCCAGAAACCAUCUCAAAGACUCUAAGAAUCGCCUUAAUUGUAAAGACAUUGGAAAAGGAGUCUUCACAUAAGAAUACGGUAUCAUCUGCAAAUUGCAAUAAGCAGCAGUCUACCUCAUCUCUCCCCACCUUGAUACCUCUUAACAGGUCCUCCUUUACAGCUUUACGAACUAAACCCGCCAGCCCUUCAGCUACAAUGAGAAACAAAAACGGCGCCAGAGGAUCUCCUUGCCUCAACCCCCUCGUAGGUCUGAACUCCUCUGUUGGACUACCAUUAACCAGAACUAACACCGUAGCCGUCUCCAAGCAUCCUUUCACCCACUUAAUCCACUUGCUAUGAAACCCCAUCCUCUGUAACAUGUCUAGCAGAAAAGUCCACCUAACUGAAUCAUAGGCCUUUUCAAAGUCUACCUUCAGGCACACCCCACUCUUCCGAUUUCUUCGGACCUCUUCAAUUACCUCAUUUGCCAUCACGACACUGUCUAGCAUACCCCUAUCUUCCAAGAAAGCUGACUGCACAUCAUCAAUAACCAAAUGCAUGACUUCCUUGAUACGGCAUGAUAAAACCUUAGUGAUAAUCUUAUAAAGAGCUCCCACUAAGGAUAUAGAUCUGAAGUGCUCAAUCAAAACAGGAUUCUUCAUUUUAGGAAUAAGAGCAAUAAAUGACGCAUUGCAGCCCUUAGAAAAGCUCCCAGAUUCUUGAAACAUGUACACUGCUUCCAAAAUAUCCUCCUUUAGAGUCUCCCAAUUACUCUUGAUAAAAUUAAAGUUAUAGCCAUCUGGACCCGGACUUUUUGAUCCCUCACACAUCCACACUGCAGCCCUGACCUCCUCCUCAGAGAAAUCCUCUACCAUUUUCAGGCUAACCACCUCUAGAAGAGUCAUGAAGUCCACAAGACCAAGUCUAACACCAUGAUCAGGAGUGGCCUUGAACCUCUGUUCAAACACACGUUUCACUUCCCUACGCACGGCUUCCGGUUCUUCGCACCACUGAUUAUCUAUUUCAACGCCUUUGACUUCGUUCCUAAGCUUCCUCCAUCUAAUAACAGAGUGAUAAUACUUGGAAUUUGAAUCCCCAUGCUUAUACCAAGUAGAUCUAGCUUUCUGCCUAUUUAAAGAUUCCAUCUUUUUAUCUAAGCUCUUUUUUUGGCUAAGUAACUCCCACCUUCUCAAUUUCUCCCCUUCCAAAAGAUCACAUUCAGCAUCCUUGACAUCAAGGUUCUCAAUCUCCAUCAUGAUUUCACGCUUACACUCCUCAAUAUUUCCAAAAACACUCUUGUUCCACUCCUUNNNNNNNNNNNNNNNNNNNNNNNNNNNNNNNNNNNNNNNNNNNNNNNNNNNNNNNNNNNNNNNNNNNNNNNNNNNNNNNNNNNNNNNNNNNNNNNNNNNNAACUUCAAUUUAUCUUUGAGCCUGGACAUACUGUUCCCCUGUACCUCAUAAUUGUUCCACUUUCCUUUCACCAAGUCCUUAAAUUCAGGUUCCAUAAGCCAAGCAUCAAUAGAUUUGAAGGGUCUAGGUCCCCAAUCUUUAUCCCAAGACUUGACCAUUAUAGCACAAUGAUCGGAAACUUCCUUCUGCAAAACAUACUGCUUGCUCGUAGGCCACCUUUGUAACCAUUCCAAGGAUACUAAGAAUCUGUCUAGCCUACUUUUGGCGGACCCACCUGACUUAAACCAAGUAAACUUUUUACCUACGAGAGGUAAUUCCACCAACACCUUCCUAUCAAUAAACUCAUUGAAAUCUCUAAUCUCUUUCUUCUGACUGGAAAAACCUCUAACACCUUUCCUUUCCUCCAUAGAUCUAACAACAUUAAAAUCCCCGCAACAGCACCACACCUCAUUAUGAUUAGCACUCUUAAUGAUUGACAGGGCAUCCCACAUGACUACUUUAUCACUAACCGAACAUGUUGCAUACACAUUCACAAUUACGCAUAGGCAGUUCAUUUUGACAUGAGUCCCAGACACAGCUAUGAAGCCUCUUCCUUUAACAUGAGACCUGUACUCAAACGCUUCUUUGUUCCACAUAGAGAGAAUACCUCCUGCCCCAUUUUCUCCUUCAUUAAGUACCCAACCAAUUUUAUUAUCCCCCCAUAAGGCAAAGCAUUUAGAAUCAGAGAAAUCCGUAACUUUUGUCUCCUGCAAACACACAAACUCGGCACCUUCCUUGUAAAUAAUAUGCUUAAGAUAUUUAGCUUUAACCCCUCCUCCUAGCCCUCUGAUAUUUAAAUUGAUAAUAAUCAUCAACAACCUGUUUUCGUACCCUUCUUCAUCUUACUCAAGACUUGUCUAUCCCUAUCCUCCAUCACCUCCACUUCUUGUAACAUCAUGACAUCUCCCUAUGGGCAUGUCGUUCCUAACCUUUUUGCCAAUUCCCAUAUCCUAACUGAUUCGGGUUCAACAGCUUCUUUCCUAAUUCGGUUAUUACAUUCAACAAUUUCUGAAUCUGACAACGCAUAAGUUAAAGAACGUGACCUGGUUGGGUAUCUAUUCCCGGAAUAUAGUGAUCCCGUGCCCCCUUUGGAACGCCACCGUCUCUGGAUCGUUCGACCCCCUUGCUCCCAUAGCGCACGUAGAUGGCGUACUCUGUCAGGGGUUUGAUGGUCAUCCACCUCUGUAUGGUCCUCCUCGCCGCUAUCAGCGCCACACAUCUUCUUCCCCAAAUCUCCCUCGCAUCCUUUACUGAUCAUAAGCUUCCGACAGCUACUCGAUUCAGAUAGAGAAUUGUUUACCCUACUCAACGAACAAUCACCCCCUCUAUUAACAAUAAAAGAGUGCUUCAAUGGUUGCUCCACCCUCGGACUCUCCGGCAUUGGUGACUGUACAUCAUCAGGACCCAAUGCACAGACGCUUUCGAGAAAUUUUUCUGAAACUGGUGCACACCUAGCUUCGAUGUCCACAUGGGCCUCUGGUCCGCUAAACUGCAAAUGGGUUUUAGAUAACACUGGGCUUUCGUUUAGGGAGUUAGUAGACUCCCCCACUUUUACUAAGUUGACCAGGGAACUUUGUAUAUCCCCACACGCCACAUUGACCUGUUGAGUGGCCGAAGCUGCUGUCCCCUCCUCUGAUCCUCCCUGCAAACUCACCUCCUCUUUUGUGAAAGAUGAAACAACCUUUCCCUGACCUGACACAAGAUCUUCUGCACCUUCCUUUUCUAGCACCGUUUUUGUCUUAUUCGUAGACUACCCCUUCCCUUCCCUUUUGUUUUCCUCCGACCACCCCCUGCUUCCUUCUCCGUUCCCCCCCUUUUCAUUACUCAGAUUCGCCGAAAAAAGAGAAUCUUCAACAAAAGUUUCAAAAGAAGAUACACUAUCCGAUGAUCCUUCAAGACUAUGUUCACAAUUACACCCGAACUUGACUCCAUCAUAAUAGUUCAUCUCCUCCUCCAGCGUAAUAUUAUACAGACACCCAUUAAUCUGAAAGCCUUUGGACAAAUCUACCUUACGAGAUCUCAAAAUUCUUAAUUGAAACCGCGCAUACUCCACCCGAGUCCAAUCCAAAGAGGCUUCAUCCACCUCCAUCAGCGUUGCCAUAUCCUCUAUCACUUUCGAGAAACACUCCUUGCUCCAUAAGUGAAUAGGCAGCCCAUAACAUCUAAUCCACACCCGCUUGUAACUGACCACGAGAGAUUUUGACCAAGGUUUAAGUUCCUCAAAGAAACAAUUGAACCAUUCAGCAUUAGACUUCACUAUAUCCUCUAUUUUCUCACCGGACUUAGAUGACAACAAAACAAGAUUGUCUCCCAAAAAAUGUAUUAUAAGCAUGCUCAACCCUUCCUUAAAACAUUCUUCUUGCAGAGCCUCAUGUUCGCACUUCGGCUUCAUGUGACCAACCAUGCUGUUCUUCAUCCACGGUAAGAUACUCGCUUUAGUCGUAAAAGAAGGCCCUUUCCAAGCAUCACGAAAUGGCCUUCUUACUACAUCAGCGUAUGAUUGCUUACCUAGACCGUUUCCGAUAACAUCCUUCCCUACUUCAUUCCCAAUAACUUCUUUCCCUCUUUUCUCCAUCCACACCUCCUUAUUCUUCCUCUGUGUGUUUCAAAAGGGAGGCCCACCACUUCUACUUUUCUCCUCCAGCGAAUGAACACUACCUUUACUCUCGAAGCUUUCCCUCCUGUACCUUGGUACAUUAACGUGAAGUUUCAUGUUUCCGAUGAAGCAGUUAUCUAACUCCCUCUCCAAGCUUAGAGCAUUACCCACCUCAAAAAACCUUACGAAACCAAACCUUCUGCCCCAUCUGUUCAAGCGUUUAGAGAUGAAAACUUCUUUAACCCUGGCCCAUUUCUGAAACAGUCUGAACAUUUCAUAUUCACCAUGAUUUUCUGGAAAGUUUGAAAAGAAGAAAGUUGUAGAAGACUUUGCCAAGUGCUGAUGAUGACGACACACCGCCUGUCUUCUCCGAAUCUCCUCCUCCUCUCUCGCCCUUCUCCACACAGCCAUAGAUUCACUAGGAGGUGUUUGGGGCUGCAACAGAGGAAAAUUAUCCCUUCAUAUAUUAUAUUGAUUGCUUUAGUGUUGAUAUGUCAUUUGCUUAAAUAGCACUUAAUGACCAAGAAAACUGUGAAGAUUAAAAAUCCAGAAGUGAAAUUUAAGUUUAAGUUAAUCUUCAAUCUCAUAAAAUUAAGGUAUAUAAAGUAAGAUUUACAUUCACUUAUAUAUCUAAUCGAUAUGAGAUUAUUCAAUUGUAUAUCUAAUUUAUAUGAGAUUUAUAUGGUGAGGUUUACAUUCUCGAUCGAUGUGAGAUCUUUAAUACAUCUACAGUGACACUAUAUAUUAUGGGAUUGUUAAUUUCCACCUUAAAUUUUUUCAAACUCUUGUUGAAAAAUUAGUUUUCUUUUCAUCGUAGUUUCAAUGGCUUCAUCAUCAUACGUAUGAAAUAUGAAACAUCCAAUAUAUGUAAAUGAAGUUUUCAUUUUUAUUAAAAUUUUGGGAAAUGAUGCUUUGACAAGUCUGAAAGUUGUAUACAAAUUUAGUGUGAAAAAUUUCCCUACCUCUUAGUAAUUGUAGACCAAGAUAAAUUUGGAGGUGUGUUUAGUGUUUGGAUUCGUGAGCAAGGAAAGGAAGGCGUGAAAAAGUACGAAACAUCGUAAAUAGGUGUCUAGCUAAGAAAGGGUGAGAAAGACAACGUGACAAAUGUAAUUUUAUUCUCUUAUUCCUUUCCAUUUAUGCAAUUCAUGCAUGGAAAAUGAAGAAGUUAGAAUUCAUAACACAAAAAAUUGAUUAUGUGAGUUUUUUUAGUAAAUAACAGGUUAUACUUUAAAGCUAAUUGAUUUUGUGACUUGUUGAGUUUAUAAUCAAUUAUGCUUUACAUAUACUUUGGCGCAUCAAAGACUUCACAAAAUAGCAUGGGUUGCUGGGGCAUCUGUUCUUUUUUUGGAGAUAGUUGUGCCUGCUCUUUGACACCUCUCACAUGUGGAUGAGACGGUCCAUGCAUCUCUAAAAAUGGUUGGCCAAAAGAAACCACAAUCUAGUACCUUCCUUGCAGUACGUUGUGCAGUAAAGUGUCCUCCACCAGAUGAAGCAUGACAAAAAUUUAGCACAGAUGGAAUCUCCUGGUCAGGAAUGCAUCUGUGUAUAAUCUGAUCACUGCAGAAACGCCAAUAUUAGAUCAUGACUUUUUUUUAUAGUGAUAAUUGAUUAUACCUUGUCCAUAAUUGAUUAUGUUGUUGUUUUAAGUGGAUAAUCGAUUAUAUUUUUUUUUAAUUAAUUAGGAUUCUACUUGUUGUGUUGAGAAUUUAUUGAAUAAAAGUUUGAUUCCUACUUUCUCAAUAUUGGCGAGUUUGAUAAAACAUCUCCUCGGUCGUUAGUGUGCCGAUACACGUGUUAAACUUAUCAAAAUGCUUGUUCAAAUUCUUCACAUUGUGAUAAUAUUUUUGUGGUAGGGUUUUUUUUGGCUUGAUAUUCUCGAUUAACUUGACUUGUCACCAAUUGGGAAUCACUAUCAAUGUAGUACUUGGGUUUCUUCACUCCUAAUUCGUGUGCCAACUUUAAUCUUGCUAUUAAAACUUCAUACUCAACCUCAUUGUUGGAUUGCAUGUUCAAAAUAAUUUCACAUUUAUCCGAAUUGACUUCAAUUCCCUUUUGAGUAAUCAUGAAGCCAUGAAAUUUUCUUGCUUCAACAAUUUUCAGGGUUCAUGACUCUUUAAUUCAACAAGUUAACCCACCUACCACACAUCUUCUAGACUGUAGUAGAAAUUCUGCAGUUUAGACAAAUGGCUUUUGUCUCAUCUUCUUCAUUGCAGAACACACACCUAACAUUAAGACACUCCUUUUAAAAAGAUUCACCUUUGUAAGCCUAUUAUGGAUUACUCUCCAACCUGAGUGACGAGUUGAUGGUGUUGUUUUUAAAUUCCACAGUGAUUUAAACAUCCAAUCUGUCAUUCUUAUUCUCCUUCCAUAACCAAGUAUAUUGUCAGAGAGAAACCAAUAUUAGGAGUUAUUGUUCAAAAUAAUUUUUAAUUAAGUCAAGAAUAUUUUUCUAAAAUUGGUUUUUAUUUAAUGAUUUUCUUAUAGUGAAAGGUUAUUUUUUUAAAAAUUAUAUUAAUUUUUAAUAAUAAUUAUACAUUUAUUUCUCUGUCUUUUUUUCUCUCUUAAAAACUAUAUAUAUAUAUAUAUAUAUGUCAAUAUACAAUAAAAUAAUUCAUUAUAAAAUGUAAAAUUAAGUUCAAUAUAUUAAAAAAAUUAAACAUAUUAUAUGUGAAGUUUGGGAACUUUAAAUUUAACAAUCUAGCACACUAGGUGUUAGAAUCCUACUCAGAAGUUUUCAUGAACUGAUACGUGUCUUUGUUGCGGCCUGCAUGCAUGCAUUCAUAUUCCCUAUUCCCAUUCCCUAUAAUCGACCACAGCUAAACAGAGACCAUUAAGUAAUAGCUUAACGUGGUGAUGAGUGAUUACAAAACUUCAGCAUGCAGCUCGAGUCUCUUACAAUCAAUUUUUUUAUCAUCAUAAAUCUUGUUCAAGAAAACACUAAUGCCUAUAAAUUCUCAUCUGCAAGAAGAAACUAUAACGCAUCACAAAACUCAGAAAACCAAAUCUGCAAAAUCAAAGAAUGGCUUAUGUUAGGGUUGCUCCUUUGGCUCUCUUCUUGCUUGCCACUUCCAGUAUGUACCUUUUCAUUCUUCUUCAUAUGUUUUCUAUCGUUUCUGUUUAUAUAUUUUGGAAAGUUAUUACAUAUAUAUACGUGUUCAUUUGUUCUGACUUUGAAAUGUCAUUCUUAGUAAUGUUUCCAAUGAAGAUAGAAGCUGUAGACUGUUCAGGUGCUUGUUCACCGUUUGAGGUGCCACCAUGCGGCUCACGUGAUUGUCGCUGCAUCCCUAUUGCACUAUUUGUUGGUUUCUGCAUUUAUCCAACUGGACUUUCAUCUGUGUCAAAGAUGAUAGAUGAACAUCCCAACUUAUGUCAAUCUCAUGGAGAAUGCAUGAAGAAAGGAAGUGGAAACUUUUGUGCUCGUUAUCCCAAUCAUUAUGUCGAUUAUGGUUGGUGCUUUAACUCUGGUUCUGAAGAACUUAAAGGUUUCUUGGCAAUGCCUAGAGCAAUCUCCAAGUAAUGUGUAUCGCUGUGAAAAGUGGUGAUGCACAUAUGAUGCGUCUACCACUACUUCUAUAAAUAAAAGUUAAGCUUGUAAUGCAUCUACUGCUAUGAAUAAAAAGACUGUUCCAUCCAAGUCGUAGUUGCUUACUGUAGACUCUUGGCACAUGAGUUAAUAAACAAAAAGGUUAUGAUAUUUUCUUUUGUUGGAAAUAGAUAAGAAAAAAGAGACAAAUAGUUACCUCAACAAAAAAAUUGGUAUAUUGGUGGAUCAGUUUUUUAAGCUAAAAUAAGAAUUGGUGACUUAAAAUAGCACUAAAUCAUUAAUCUUAGCAAAUGUUUCUUUGAUACUAACUAAAAAAAUACAUACACUUCACAACCCACAUUAAUAAUAUAAUAAUAUUUAUUAAAAUUUCAAAUUAAAAAAUAAAACCAAUGUUUUUAAAAUAGUAUUAUUUAGAGAUGUCAAUGCUUUUAAUUUGAUGGGUCAGCACCUUAAUCUUAACCACAUUACUGUGAAGAUCAAAAGGCAUAAACAUUUUUAUUCCAAACAAAGUAGUUUCAACAUCUUAAUCCUAAAAAUAUUUUAGGCUUUGUUUCGAUUAGAGGGUGUGGUGGAGUGGAAAGUUGAGGGUGUGAAAGAGUGAAAGUGCGAAGAUUUGAGAAGAAAGUGGAAAGAAAGUUGAUGUUGUUUGGAUUGUGUUAUCUUAGAUCGAAUGUGUGAGGAAAAUUUAUUGAAAUACGUGAGUGAUAUGAUGAUUGUAAGAGUAUUUUAAAUUAUUUUGAAUAGUGUAAGUUGUAAAAUUACAAAUUUACCCAUAUAUAUAAGAAAAGAAUAAAUAAUUAUUAAUUUUGUGCAUAUUUUAGUUAAUUAAAAUAAUUUAAAGUUUCAUUUAUAAAUAAAAGAAAAAAUAUAAAAUUCAAAGAAAUAAUUAAAUAUAAUUUUAAAUGUAAGUAUAAUUUUAUUAUUUUCCAUUUUAUUAAUUUAAAUUAAUUUUGUUACUUAAGUUAAUUUAUUUAAAUAAUUUCAAUAUUAUUUAUGAUUCUUUAAAUUAUAUUAUAUAUAUAUAAUUAUAAUUAAUAAUGUUUUUCAUUAUUAUUAUUAACAAAAUUAAUAUAUUUUAAAAAGUAAAUGGAUAUUUAGAACAUAUUAAGUAGUUGUCAAAAUAUAUAAUAUAAAACCUAUUUAUUUUUAAUUUAUAAGGGUGAUAUAAGAAUAUAAAGGGGUACAGGAAGAAACAAAGUAAUGUAAUUUUUUUUUUGAAAAGUUGAAGCCCAUAGUGAAAAAAAGGAAGCCCAAGUUAAUAUCAAAACCUAAAUUUGAAGGAGCAGUGUGAGAGAAAAGAUAUAGAGAAGAGAAGCCGCAGAGGAAGAAGAAGAAACAUGGGGCACGUGAGGACGAAGACGGUGAAUAAAUCUUCACGACAAGUGAUCGAGUGUUACUGUUCGAGGAUCCCUGCUGCAAAGCUAUGUAAUGACAAUGUAUGCAACUGUGUAACGUGAAAAAAAGUAAGGGCAGGAUGGUAUUUCAUUACAUCCUACGUGGCUUUCCUCUUUAGUCACUCUCCUUUCUCUUCAUAUUUGAGAGGAACCGAAAACCACCCAUGUUUCCACUUAAUCUCACCCUCACCCUCUCCCUCUCACAGAAUCAAACGGGGUGACACCCUCAAAUCCAUUUGUGCUACAGUGCCACCCCUUAACCCAAACAUAUGUUUAGAGUAAGAGAAAUAUUAUUUUGACACCAAUAUCCAAGUGAAGUGAUGCUUACGUGGCAAGGCCUAUGUGACAAGUGAUGUUUACGUGACAAAUUAUUGUUUAGUAAAUGUCAUCCAAUUUUUUUUUUAAAUUGGGAUGUAUAAUAUUUUGAAGGUUGUUUGAGGAAAGUGGGGAUUGGGAGAGAGACUGGGAGCUAGUAACCUAGGGUUUGGGAGCAAAGAGGGAGAGAACAUGUGAAAGGGGUCUAACACUACAAGAAAAUCAAGGAAUAGAAACAAAUUUUAGAGGAUAAAAAUAAUUAGUUCCUAUAGUGACUAAAUUAGAGAUCAUUUUAGAGACUAAAAAAUUUUUGGUUUCUAAAUUAGUUUCUAUUAUAGUUAAAUAGUUUCUAAAUUGGUAUCUAAUUAGCUAUCAAGGUUUUAACUACCAAUUAUUUAGAUUCUAAAUUUGGUAGCAAAAAUCUUGGUAGCUAAUUAGAUACCAAUUUAAAAACCAUUUAACAAUAAUAGAAACUAAUUUAGAAACCCAAAAAAAAAUUUAGUCUCUAAAAUGGUCUCUAUUUUAGUCACUAUAACAACUAAUUAUUUUUUGUCUCUAAAAUUGGUUUCUAUUUAAUGAUUUUCUUGAAGUGUAAGUUGUUGCGAAUUGGAAGAUUGGAAGCAUGAGGGAGAAUCAGGUGGUUGUUAGUGGUGCCGGUGUUGUAAGGUGUCUAAGGAGAAAAUUUUGGAUUGGAAACGCGGAGGAGAAUUAAUUCGGUGGUGGUUGGUGGCGAUGGUGUUACAGGAGAUGUGAGAAAAUUUUGAUUUGAAAGCGCUAAGGAGAAUUUAUGUCACCAACUCUAAGUUAUUAUUUUUUUACAUUUGUGUUGUUUGAGGGAGGGUGUUGACAAUGUUGGGUUUAGAUGUGUUGAUUUUUGUGGAAGGUGUCACCAAGAGAAGAAGUUUUUGAAAUGUGUUGAGGUUGGUGUAAGGCGGAUAAAUGUGAGUAUGUUGCAGUACACAAAUGAUAUAAUUUUUUUUUGUAAAGUUGACACCUAAAGUGUUAUGACUUUAAAAACAUUCUUGAAGUGUUUUGAACUUGUCUCUGGGCUUAAAGUUAACUACUCUAAGAGUAAGGUUGGUGGAGUGGGUGUGAGUGCAAAUCAGAUUAAUUAUGAGUUUUGCAACAAUUCUUAACUGCAGAAUUAUGAAGGCACCUUUUACUUAUAUGGAGUGACGGUAGGAGGGAAUUAUAAGAGACGUGCUUUCUGGGAAGGAGUGCUUGGUAAGUUAUGGGGUAGAUUGGGUUUAUGGAAAGGUAAAUUCCUUUCUCUAGCUGGUAGAUUAUGCCUUAUAAAAAAAAAUAAAAAGAGAAAAAAAAAAUCAUGUUAAAAAUCAUAAAAAGGUAGAAAGAAAAAUGAGGAAAAAUGUGAACUCAAAAGAAAAUGGUGAUUAGAUAACAUAUAUGUUCUUUAUAAUUGGAUUGUAGGUAUGUUCUUCUUUAAUAUGUGCAUUUUGUUAUCUGAAAAAUCAAUAUUUUUUGGAAGCCCCGCCUGAUUACAACCCUGGAAAAGACCUCAAGAUUCAUGUUUGUAAUAUGUUUGUGAUGUGAAGAUGAAAUGAAAAACAACUGUGAUUUGUUAUGAUUCAGUGAAAAUAGAGAGAAACACUUACCUAUGAGCAUAUGAAAAUAAAUUCCUUAAUGAAUUAUCAUUUAUUUGUUUUGAUUUAAUCUUGGAAGUUGAUUGUGUCUAUAUUUUUCUAUAUUUAAAUUUGGAAGCAUCAUAAGUUUCUAAUUUGAUCGGUUGUUUAGUGAAUUAAGCUGUUUGAUAUUUAAAUUCAAAUAUAUUCAUUUACUUUGUUUGAGGACAAGCAAGAUUCUAAGUUGAGGAGAGUGAUAAGUGUAUAAUUUCAGUAAUAUUUCAUAUUAAAAUAUAGGCACCUAUGAGUAUUAAUUGUUAAAUUACAUAUAAAAUAAUCCCUAAUUUAUGAAUUUAUAUACCUUUUUUUUACAUAUUUUAUGAUCUUUAUUUAAAUAGGAGUAUUUUAUUCCCAAAUUUGGUGUUAAUUUUGAUUUCUAUAGAAGAAUGGAGAUAUUGGGCUAAAGAGGAAUGAUAGCAGCUAAAAAGAGAAAGCUGGAAGGUCUCAGAACGCAUAAAAACGCCAAAAAGUCCAAAUCAGCAACAGAGAAUCUCCCUCAAGCGAGCUCAUUCUCGCUUGAGCGAGAAUACUUCAAAGACGUCUUUAAAAAUCGACGCCUUUCUCGCUCAAGCGACCUACAUCUCGCUUGAGCGAGAACGUGUCAGAAAAAUUGGACCAUUUUAUGUUUUUAUCAAUAAAUCCUAAACCUUAAACCUACCAAAAUUCCAAAAAUCCAUCAUUUACUAUCAUUAUUUUUUUUAUUUUUUCGUAUUAUUUAGGUAUUUUUUAGGUAUUUUGAGAUUUUAGUUCUCAUACUUACACUUAUAAGAAAAUUAUGAAAUUUUACAUGAUGUUUUCUAGUAUAAAUUAGAGAUUUAUCAAACCAUUAUGAUUACAUUACAUUCACAAAUUUAUUUAUUACUCAUAUAUUACAUUACAUAAUCUUAUGUGUGUUCUAACAUGAACUCUUAUUAUUUCAGUGCUUAUUCUGGAUAUAACAUGUUGAGUGGGGGGAGAAAUGCAAGUGUAAAUGCAAAGAAACUCACUUGGAUGUACCUUAAGGUAACCAUGUAUAACACUUUAGAAUUACACAAAACUUUUUCAUAUAUUUAUAGAACUUUUUGUACACUUUUUUAUAUUUAAAUUAUGAUAUUACAUGUAUUAUUGUUCUGGAAAUUUGAUAUUUUAUGUAGGAUUAGAUUAGAGUAAAUAUAUAAUAAUAAAAACUUAAAAAAAGCACACUUAUAACGACGGUUCUCCAUUAGAACUGUCGUUAUAAGUGUAUUUAUUUUAAAAUAUUGUUAAUUGGUAGAACAAUGACGGUUCUAGAACCGUCGUUAAAGUGAUUUUAUAACGACGAUUCGGGAACUGUCUUUGUAUGACCUUUUUAACCGUCGUUAAUUAGUUGUUUUGUACUAGUGUGUGCAAUGUUUCAAUUUGCACCAAAGGGGUCACAUUUUAAAUCUUGCAAGGAACUAAUUUUUUUUAUCAACAAUGAAUAAAUAAAAUUAAAGGAGUGGACUUCCUAUAUCAUCCACAAAAGAAACUCUCCUUUAUGGUUGGAGCAGAACAACCAUAAAGUGAGAAAAACAUACCCAAAAAUAUAACCAACAAGUUACCUCAAAGCAACAUUCAACUUUACCGAAACGCCCAAAACCGAGGCCACCUACAUUCACCUCGCCACGCGACAAGUUACCCAUGUAGGGAAUAACUCGCCAUGUAGCUUACUCUGGUGAGCACUAAGUGCCACGAGGAGCACAAUCUCUGCAAAAUCGCCUGCCGCCAAUGCUACUCGCCAUGUAUGCUCUGACCUAAGGAAACCCCGCUCUCGACGAGGAUCCACUCGGGAAAUCCCCUCGUCGACGGGCGAGCUGUUCCCUUCAUCUCAUUGCUCAUGUUGAGGUUGUGGUACUAAUGAAGUUGGUUUGUGUAACUUGCAAGGAACUAAUGAAGUUGGUUUGUGGUAUCCUUGUCAUGUUUCUUUAAAUUUAUUUACCUAUUAUGACUCUGACUUUGUAGGAUGUAAGAUGAGCAGGAAAAGUACAAGUGGAACGUGUUAUAAACUUGGAUCAAGUUUAAUCUCAUGGCAUUGUAAGAAGCAAGUAUGUGUGGCUUUGUCAACAAUAGAAGUUGAGUACAUAGCUACAGGGAGUUGAUGUGCACAAGUUUUAUGAUUAAAACAACAGGUAAGUGAUUUGGGGAUAAUCUUGAAUAAAAUCCUUUAUUCUGUGAUAAUAUUAGUGUUAUAAACUUGAUUAAAAAUCCUAUCAUGUAUUCAAACACAAAGCAUAUUGAGAUUAAACAUCAUUUCCUUUGUGAACAUAUUUCAAAUGGUAAUUGUAAACCCUAAAUUAAAUUCAUUGGAACAAAAAAUAAUUAGUUUAUUUGUUUACUAAACAACUUGCACGAGAUAUAUUCAAUUAGCUCAUAACUAAAUUAGGAUAGAUUCAAUUAGCUCAUAACUAAAUUAGGUAUCAUUAGCUUAAGUCGAGAAGGUAAAUGUUUAAUGAAGGAAAGAGAGGAUUCUUGGGUGUGGAAAAAUGACGAAAACCUAGGGUAUUUAGUCAAAUUUGUAUACGAAAUCUCAAGGAAUGAGACAUGUGGGGAAUAUAGGGCUGUAUACAAAUCAUUUUGGGAUACUAAUGUGCUACCUUCGGUGCAGCUAGUAGCGUGGCGAGUUCUAAUAGAUAGAUUACUAACAAGAACUAACCUAGAAAGCAGAGGAAUGGUUUUGGAAAGUAAAUGUGGGGCAAAAUAGGAAACAACAAAUCAUCUAUUCUUUAAAUAUAAAAUUUCCUUGAUUUUUUUUUUAUCAGCAAAGAAUGAAAUUUAAUUAAGAGGGAUACAAAAGGGGUAUCCCAACCCUUGAUGUACGUGGAUUGCAAUGAUUGGUGAAAUUUGGAAACAGAGGAAAAAAUCAUUUUUAAAAAUGAUCUGUAGAGUGGAUAAUGAUGAGAUAUUUUCUUUAACACAACUAAAGAUGUGGGAUUGGAUUAAAAAUAAAGAAAAAUUAAUUGAUUUUACAUACUUACAAUGGUGUAUUGAACCUAAGAAAUGCUUGAAGUUUUUAGAAAGAAGUAAAUAUAGAAAAUGCAAGUUGGGUAUGCGAAUGGAUUUUAAAACGGUUAGUUUUGUUUAGGUGGGUAGUACCUCGAUUUAGCUUGACGAAAAGGAAAGUUGUAAGUAAGUUAAAAGGAGUGGGAUGGAAUAAGGGUAGAUCUUUCGGUAGAUGGUUAAGAUUUAAAAGAUUGAGACUUAAAAGGUAUUUAUGAUGAGAUGUUGGAUUGGAAGGUAGGUGUUUUCUUCAUUGAGAAGUGUAUAUGUUAUUACUGUUUACACAGUUUUUCUUGGUUUUGUUUGGGUUUUGGUCUUUAUUGUUGAAUAAGGUUAGAAGAAAGGUUUGUUAAAGGGUGUGGACUGGAACGGGGGAGUGCCUUUUGGUAGAUGUAUGAGAUCUUAGUGUUAGAAAAAUAUGUAAAUUAAUUUUAUAAUGUGGCCCAUAUGAAAUAGAUGUUGGACUUUGGACCAAAAUAUGAUUUAAUAAAAUAAAAGGUCCAUUGGUUAAUGGGAGAAAUUAUAUGUAUACACCUUAUGAUAUUUAAUGAAAACCUAAUCUGAUGGAGAUUGAGAAAGAAUAAAAAUGGGUUCUGUCUCUGCAAAUGAGGUUGUCUCACUGGUUGACCAUCAAGAAAGAGUAUGACAAGAAUAGGAAUUCCAAGAGAUAGAUUGAGAAAAUGAGAUUAAAGAAACUGCUCACUUAAGGACUCUCAUGGAUCAAGGUAAGUGUCUAUCUCUAUUAUAAAGAAUGUAUAGAAUGUGAGAAUCAUAGUUUGUAAGAUCUUAUACAAUAUGAUUUUACAAUUAAGAGCUUGAGAAUUAAAGGAACAUGAUAUAUGUCAUGAUUUCAUAUGUUGAUGUCUCAUAAUUCUCUAACAUAGUUUGUUAUUUCUUAGUGAAUAGGAUCUGUCAAUCUUACCAGCAUGCAUAUAUUGUUAUCAUUUGGGUUAGAUCUUUCUAUAUACCUUUGCAUCUCAUGAUCUUACCUUAGUAUAAGGCUGGAAAGGUUUUCUAUCUUGCAGCUUAAUUGUCUGAUGAUUGGAUGGAGGCAACAAAUGUUUGUUUGGAUGUGGAUGCCAUGAGUGGAGUCAUGUGAAAGUAGAUCCCAACUUGAUAAUUAAAAGAAUUUCAUGUAGGACAAGACCUAAUCAUUUUGCAAAAGUUAUAUAUGUGCUAUGUUUUUGUAGUUGUUGUUUAGUCUGAUUGUCUGAUUGUUUUUUUUUUUAAGAAUUUAUAUAGUUAUAGUAUGGAAGAAAGAUAUUGGUCCUGUUUUUUUUAUGGGAUUUUUCUCCUUUAUUGUUUUUUAGGGUUGAUCCUUAAACAGGGAUUUUAGGUCAUAUCUCAGGGAAUGUUUUCCAAUUUUUUUUUUAUUUAUAUAAAAGGUUAAAACAUUCUUAAAAUACUCUGUUUAUAUUUUAUUCAUUAUUUAUUAAUAAAAAAACAAAAUAUUAAAUAAUGUAUUCUUAUCUUUCUCUGGCUCACACAAAAAAUUAUUUUAAAUGUUUAACGUUGGUUGUAAUUAAUUGACGUAGUGAAUACUUAAUGAAGAUAAAUAAGUAAAAGAUUACUAUAUUGUGAUGGUGAAUAAACUCUUGUGUUAGUAUUAAAAAUAGAAAAUGGAAAUUUUUUAUUGACAUUAACAUAGUAGAUAAUGUCAAAAUAGUUUUUUUUUUUAAUGACAUCUUUUACAUGCACCCAUAAUUAGUGAUUAUUUUACCAUCCUUUCAUACUUUCUAUGAAACUUAUAUUCAUUAACCACAAGUACAUAUUUUACAAGAUUGCACAUGAAUUAGGUUCCCAAAUAAUUAGGAUCCCAAACUAAUACCUUCUUAUUUGGAUCUAUUGUAACAUAAAAAUUCUUAUAUUUUAUUUUUAAAUAUUAUGAUAAAAUUUUAUAUACUGAAUCAAUAUUACAUUAAAGGAAGGAAGGAAAAAAAGGAUUAUUCUGAAAUACUUCAUCAGAUUCAAUAAUAUCCAGAGAAUUUUCAUAAGCAAUUUUGGAAUAAAAUAAUUCUAAUACUUUUCAAUUUUAAAUUUUUAUAAGCAACAUUUUUACAUAUUAAUAUAUGAAAAUGUAAAGUGAUCUUUUUUAAAUGUGAAACAGUUAUGAUUUUUAAAUUCAGUAUAAUAAUUUUUAACUAUAAUUAUACAAUUUAUAAUUCUCUAUUACAUAUAGUUUCUUCUAAAUUUUAAUAUAUGUAUAUAUACAAUAAAACAAUUCAUUAAAAAUGUGAAAUUCAAUUUAAAAUAAGUUGAAAAAAUUAACCAAGUGUUUUAGCGUGUAAUAGUAAUAUGUAGGAGGCGUGGGAAGGUUAAAUUUAACGAGCUAGCAUUUAGCAGGUGUUAGAAUCCUACAAAGAAGUUUUCAUAAACCGAUACGUGUCUUUGUUGCUGCAUGCAUGCAUGCAUUCAUAUUCUCUAUGAUCCACGACAAUUGAAAGGACAAUUAAAGAGCAUCACGUGAAGAAUGAUGACAAAACUUCGACAUGCACCUCGUAUCUCGUGCAAUUAUUGUUUUUAUCAUCAUAAAUCUUGUCGAAGAACACACACUAAUGCCUAUAAAUUCUUACCUGCAAGCACAAACUAAAACACAUCACAAAACUCAGAAUAAGAAAUCUGCAAAAUCAAAGAAUGGGUUAUGUUAGGGUUGCUCCUUUGGCUCUCUUCUUGCUUGCCACUUCCAGUAUGUACCAUUCCAUUCUUCUUAUACUUUUUCAUCGUUUCUGUUUACAUAUUUCAGAACUACAGAAAAUUAUUAUAUAUACGUGUUCAUUUGUUCUAAUUUUAAAAUGUGAUUCUCAGUAAUGUUUUCGAUGAAGAAGACAGAGGCAGUAGUAUGUUCAGGUGUUUGUUCACCAUUUGAGAUGCCACCAUGCGGGUCAAGUGAUUGUCGCUGUAUCCCUUAUGGACUAUUUAUUGGUGCCUGCACUUAUCCAAGGGGACUUUCAUCUGUGGCAAAGACGAUAGAUGAACAUCCCAACUUAUGUCGAUCUCAUGGAGAAUGCAUGAAGAAAGGAAGUGGCAACUUUUGUGCUCGUUAUCCUAAUGAUUAUGUGGAUUAUGGUUGGUGCUUUAACUCUGAUUCUGAAGAACUUAAAGGGUUCUUGGCCAUGCCUAGAGAAAUAUCCAAGUAGUGUGAAUGGCUGUGAAAAGUGGUGAUGCAUGAUGCAUAUGAUGCAUCUACUCCUACUUCUAGAAAUUAAAGCUUAUGAUGCAUCUAUUGCUAUGAAUAAAAAAGAGUGUUCCAUGUAACUCAUAGUUGGUUACUGUACACUCCUGCCACAUGAGUUAAUAAACAAAAAGUUCUCAUAUUUUCUUUUGUUGAAAAUAGAUAAGAAAAAAAGAGACAAAUAGUCACCAUCAAGAAAAAAAAAUUGGUACAUAAACUAUAUUACAUAUAAAGUACUUAUAUAAAGGAUUAUUUAAUUGUCUUUUCAUUUAGUACGGGGCUUACAUGCAUGGCUUUGCAGCAAUUAAUAGAACACUUUGCUCACAUAUUCUCUACUAUCCCACACAAUCCAUAACCAAAAAGUUCCCUGUAUGAUUAGGAUCUUGUUCAUAAAUAUGUUUGGAAGAUUAGUUAUGAAAUUAAAAGACUAAACGUAAUUUUAAAGUACAUUAAAUGUCACUUUAAUUCAUUUUAUUCUUUGUUAAAAAAAAUCCAUAAGCACCCUUCAUGUUAAAACAUGAGGUUUGGUGGAGCCCUCACAACCCAUAACAUUAUUUUGAUACAACAACUGUUAUUUUGAGAACUAUUAUGAAGGGCCUCAUAAGAUGAUUGCACAGAAAGCAAGUAUCAUUCCAUAAGCUUAUUUUUUCUCCAUUACCCACAAACCCACUGAAUAUUCUCAUUAAGCCAUCUCAUUGAUCACCAUUUCUUAUACUCUUACACCACCUAGACUAUUUAUUAUUAUUUUUGUGCGAAGAAAGGUAAUAUUUGUCCUUUUUUUUUAUGAGGUUGAAUCAUUUUAAGUGACUGAUUUAAUUUAAUUGUUUCUUGCUAACCAAAAAGAAUAUUAUUUUUAUCUCCUAGACUUCUUCAACCUCUAUAUUUGGAUUGUAACACCUCUAAACACAAUCCUUUUGUCUUAUAGGCGAGCCUCCACAUCCUUUUUCCUAACAGAGCUAGAUUGAAAAGUUUUAGACAUUUUACACCUAACCCCCAUACUCCUUAGUUAUGCAAAUAUCAUUCCAUUUCAGCCAUGAUAUUUUCCUCUUUUCAUGCCCCCUUCCCCACAAAAUAUUAACCUCUUUUCAUGCCCCCAUCCCCAAAAAAUAUUAAUUUGGAUUUCCUAAUUCUUUUGUGAACCGCCUCAAGCAUCUUGGAAAAAAAAUAACACUACAAGAAAUUAUUUAUUUACAUUACAUACAGAUCUGAAUCCAUAUAUAAAUAAACGUUACAUAUAGAUAUUUACAUACAAAUUUAAUUCAAUAUGUAAAUAGACAUUACAUACGAACAAUUCGUAUGUAAAAUCAAACAUGAUUACAUAUAGAUUUAUUCCAAACCAAACUAAUAUGAAUAUGCAUAUGUAAAUGGAUCUCAAUUUCAAACUAAAAUUGAAUUUUAAAUUCUCUAUAAAUAUAACAUUUAUAUCUCUACAUAUGAAUUUCUUAGCAAAUUAAAAUUAAACUUUAAUUUCAAUAAUAAAGUUUGUAAAUUUCUAAAGUAAAAUUAAAUCUGAACAAAAAUUAAUUUAAAUAAGAAAUCAAAUUUAAAAGAUCAAUACCAUCUACCAUGGAGGAUGGAUCACAGGACAAGUUUAGAAACAAAAAAACAAUUGAAAUCAUGAACCCUAAAAUAAGCCUCAAAUUGUGUCUCAUCCGCUCACGCCUUCGUCGCUUGUGUCUCCUUCAUGCGUGCCUGUUGUUCUCCUCGUCGUCAACGGCGUCGCUUCAGUAUUUUGUUGUUAAAGAUAUCGUCACUACUUGCAAUAGCAGUUGUCUUCGCGUUCAUCGUUGUUGCACCCCUACUGUCAUGUUCGUUGUCACCAAAUCUCGCGCGACAAAGUUUCAAAUGACCAACGGAACUCGUUUCACCACCAUCUACCACCGCUCACCUUCAACAACGGCACUAGGCAACCGCGUGCAUCUUCAUGGACCUUCCCCGCAGCUUCACCAAUGACGAUUUUGAGGAGCUGGUUUUGGGAAAUUUAUCGUAGACUAUGAUUUAAGUAGAAAAGGAAAGAGAUUAGGGUUUAAACAUAUAGAAGGAUAGUAAAUCUUAAGUGUUAUCUGAUAUUUUUUUUUAUUACAAAAAAUCUUUUUAUAUGUUGGCCUAGCCUACCUGGAUCAUUAGAAAUGUUAGCCAAUCUUGCAUCCGUUAAACCUUUGAUAUUUUAAAAAUAUUUUAUUAUAAAGUUUUCACAUAAUUUUUUAUUUAAUUUUAAAGUUUAUAAAAUCAAUUGCGGCAUCCGUUAAACCUUUGAUAUUUUAAAAAUAUUUUAUUAUAAAGUUUUCACAUAAUUUUUUAUUUAAUUUUAAAGUUUAUAAAAUCAAUUGCGUAAGUUUAACCUUCACAAUGUUUUAUUAUUAAAAUAAUAUGUAUUUAUUAUCCCACUUUUAGUAUGUUAAGCCUACAUGUUUUUUUUUUUUCUUUUCUUCUUUGUGAACGGACGUUAAAUUUUUUAAAUUUAUUUAUGUGGGUUUGACCGACAAUAAUAGUUUCCAUUUUUGGGUCAAUGCAAAAUUUCGAAAGCUAUAAUUUGUAAUUGUUUUGUAAUAUUUUUCUUUUAAUGUACUUUAAAAUUACGUUUAGUUAAAAAGGUCUUUUAAUUUCAUAACUAAUCAUUCAAGCAUAUUUAUUAACAUGAUCCUAUUUUAUUAAAGAAAUUCUCCCUCCAAGCAUUAAAUCGUACAGCAACUUUUUGGCUAUGGAUUGUGUGGGGCCGUAGAGAAUAUGUGAAACAAAAGAAAAUAUGAGAACCUUUUUGUUUAUUAACUCAUGUGCCAGGAGUCUACAGUAACCAACUGUGAGUUACAUGAAACACUUUUUAUUCAUAGCAGUAGAUGCAUCAUAAGCUUUAAUUUAUAGCAGUAGUAGUGGAUGCAUCAUGCAUCAUGCAUCACCACUUUUCACAGCCAUUCACACUACUUGGAUAUUUCUCUAGGCAUGGCCAAGAACCCUUUAAGUUCUUCAGAAUCAGAGUUAAAGCACCAACCAUAAUCCACAUAAUCAUUAGGAUAACGAGCACAAAAGUUGCCACUUCCUUUCUUCAUGCAUUCUCCAUGAGAUCGACAUAAGUUGGGAUGUUCAUCUAUCGUCUUUGCCACAGAUGAAAGUCCCCUUGG